rnacentral:lncRNA from 1 species
UUUUUUCCAACCUGUACCAAUAAUCAAGAAUAAAAGAGACACCCGCACCCAUCUCUGUAUACAACAUUACUAUUUCAUUUGUUUUCCAAUAGAUGUCGAGGCAGGUUUGAGAUAGUGUCUUCGCUGGAGCUCCAACGAGCUUAGCCUAUAAUGGGAAGAGAGGUUGGUCAUUAAUUUUGAUAUUUCUAGUGGAAUUAAAUGGUGAAAGGGGCUUUUUGGAUCAAAACCGGUGGUGGGGUUGACUGUCGGGGAGUUUGUGGUCGGAAUUAGAUGGUGAUUCCGAUGAACCUUCGCCGAAAUAUCUGAAUCAACGGCCUAUUCUCUCUAUUUUUCUCUCUUCUCCAUUCACCCUCUAUUCUCUCACUCUCUCUCCAUCCUCUCUCUAUCUCUCUAUUCACUGUGCCUAUGUGUAUAAGGCUCUUCCCUCUGAUAGAGUGUGUGUGUGGUGUAUUAUAUAAAUCUUUGGGUGUGGAGUCUGUGUGUGCGUGUGCAAAUUCCCUUUUUCUUGAUGGUGUGUGUAUUGUUGUGUAUAUAAUGAAAAAUAGUCACUGUAUCUAUAUUCUUUGAGUGUGAAUUAUUGAGUGAAAAAAAUAUGCCAAGAGGGUGGGGUAUGUGGGUAUGAGGUUAGGGGGUAUGUAGGUAUGAGGUAGGGGUAGGUGGUUAUUUUUGUAAGGGUGAGGUUUCAAAAGUAGGAUAUUUUUGUUAGGUUAGUUAUUUUUUGUCUUUUUAUGGGGAAAUUAUUAAAUGGGUGAGGGUGUAUGACAAGGUGAGGUAAAAAAUGGAUAAAUUGAGUUUUCGGGAGGAACAAAAUUAGGUGUCUGCACUUAGCUAUUUAUAGGACCAAGAAUUACCCAUCACGAUCACGGGGGUCCUUGGUUGCAAAUGUGACGUACAAUAAAAAUGACUUUCACAAACAUGGACAACCAGCAGUGAUCACGAUGAAGAAAGUUGACCAGGUCGGGGCUGACCCUCGUGAAUGUGAGACGUGAGGAUCACGAUCAUGAAGGUCAAGAACAUGGCCCUUCGUGAAUGUGACUUAAGUCUUGCGAUCACGAAGAACAAAAAGUUUGCACCAAAAAAAUAGUAAUUCUUCUAAGUCCACAUGGACUUUGAUCGGGGCUCGAUAUUUGUUUGAAACCCCGUGCACGCAAACAAACUAUGCUACAUACCAAAUUUGAUAUUUCAGACUUAACAAAACCAUCCAAACUUCCAUUCGACAUUGUUUUGAUCAAAUGUGGAUCCUACCCCUAUAGUUUUAUUUUCACCAAAUCUACCCAAUAGGUCAAAAUAUGUUUGGAAUCCUCAAAAUCUAAAGCAAGGUUAUUCUAGCCUAAAAUUAAUCUUAGGUGGAUUUAUGUACCUAAGUGUUGUUAUCUACGCUUACUUAGCCUAGUUUUGAGGAAAUCUUGUGUGUGUAAUGAGGUAAUAUUUGUAUAAAUGAGCAUCUAAGUGCUUAGUUAUGUGUUUGUAGUGUUUAUGGUGUGUUCAUAAUAAGUUUAGAGUCAAAACAUUAAGUUAAAGUUCAAACGCGAGAGCUAGUACUCUUAGUUUGAGUUAUGUUCCUUUCUAGUUUAUCGUGUUGGAUGCAAUAUGGUUUUGAGCUCUAAUUUGUUGUGUUUGAUGUUAUAGGAUGCUUUAUAAGUUGAUCAAGGUGAUACUUAGAUGAUAUCAAAGCUGUAAAUCAAGAGUAAAUGUCACCACAAAUCUUGGACAUGAAGGACAAAUACAAUGCACUAAGCUUGACAAAAUCUAGAAUUUUUGGAUAUAUUGGCGCGCUACGUUCCCUAGAUGCCACGAUAAUGGUGUGGAAAACCCUUGGUUGCAUUGUGAAUUGUCCAAACUAGUAUCCCUCCACUAUAUUUACAUUCCACGUACCCUAUCUUCCUCGAUAAAGGCAUGGCACAGAGGCUAAAAAAAAUCUAACAGCUAGGUCCUAGUAUAAAUAGGAUUCUUAAACUCUUAUAUAAACACCUUGGACGACCUUAGGGAUUGGAAACACAAUUGAGAAGGAUGAAAAUAGGAUUUUUAUUCAUUUAGAUUAGUUUGUUUAUGGAUUCAUCGAUUGUGAUUACGUGUAUGUCCAUGAGCGGCUAAACACCAUUUUCCAUGGUUAAGGCCAAGAACAUGAUUACUCUUGUUAUGAACUGAAUUUGUUUUGGUUAUUUAUAAUUAUUGGUUGCUUAUUUAUAUUUGUGGUAACUAUUUUAAGAAUUAGCGACCCUUAGAGUAUAUGCUUAAUUCUAUCAUGAGACCGGAAGGAGGAACAAUAGGAUAGACUAUGGGAUAGAUGGAAUAGGAUCGUAAUAUUUCAAUUGAAUGAUGUUAUGAUUUGCAUUUAGGAUAGGAUUAUACCUAAGUGCCCUAUUUGUUUCAAUUACAGGAUAAAAUAUGAAUGUAUUUAACUUAGUUAUCGCAUCCCUGCUUAACGUUGUACUUACGGGGCUAAGUUAGAUAGUUAAUUAGAGAGUCCAAAGACUAUAGUCAUAAUAUCAACCCUGUGGACCAAUAACCAAGAUAAUUAACCUAAACAACGAAGUUCUAUAUCUUAGUAUGAUUGUUCAUAGUGCCUUAACCUAGGUUUAUCCCCAUUGUUGUUCAAGAACUCCUAUUUUACCGUACUGUUUAGUUUACUUUUAGUUUAUAACUCUCAAACUCUGUUGGUUACUUCCGCACUCACUUAAUCUUGAUAGUUGAACUAGAAUUGAGUAGUUGUUUAACAAAACUACCUGUGGGAUUGAUACUUGGAUUUCUUAAGGCCAUUUUACUACUUGGUGGACCACGUACACUUUGUGUGCACUUGCGCACAACAAGUUUUUGGUGCCAUUGUUUAGGACUUGUAAAUUUGGAACCAUCUUAGUUUUAGUUUUGCUUUUUGAUUUCUUAAGUGAUAAUUUCUUGAUCUCAACUUUUAAAUUUGCAAGCACAAGUUUAAAAAUCUAGUAAGAUGGAAAGGGAUAGGGAGUUAGUUGAGCAACAUCUCGAACUUGAGUAACACUUAAACCAAUUGAGGAGAGAAGCAGUACUUCUCAACAGAAUUCCUCAAAUUCAUAAAAAAAGUUAUUCCUACACCCAUGGCUAAAGAUCCACUAGUCCACAAGACAGUUCGUGAAGUGGCAAUCCCAUUUACAACUAAUGUAACCUCCGUCAUAUGCAGACCCACUGUAGGAGGUAAAUUUGAGUUGAAACAGAACAUGGUGCAACUUUUGCACAGCAGCGGGCAGUUUAUCAACUUGUCAUAUAAAGACCCACAAGUCUACUUGUAAAAUAUUUUAGAGAUCAGUGACACAUUCAUCCCUAUGAGAGUGUCCACUGAUUGUGUGAGGCUGACACUCUUCCCCUUCUUGAUUUUUGGUGAAGAAAAAAAGUGGUUCAUACUGAGUUGACAGUUUUUAUCACAACAUGGGAUGACUUGGCCCAAAAAUUCCUCAUCCAUUUAUCAUGCUUGGGAGAGGUUUAAAUCUCUUCUCUGAUACUGUCCACACCACCAAUAGUCUAACAAGGUACUAGCUCACACCUUUGUUGAAGCUCUUAACUAUAACACAAAAAUUUUGCUAGAUUCAGUUGUAGGUGGUCAAGCACUAGAGAAAAUAUAUGAUGAGAUCUACAGCUUUUUAAACCUAUUUCUUAAGGAAAUUAUGAAUGGCAUGGUGACAUGUCCACAAGUUCAGUGAAAAAGGCUACGGGCAUGAUUGAAGUUGAUAGUAUCACAACCUUAGCCACCCAAUUAUUAGCUAUGCAGAAUCAAAUGAUGACUCAAUUCAGCAAAUUGGGUAUGAAUCAAUCUCUGGCUCAAGUGAAUAUUGUACAGGAGAUUCCAGGUUGGUAUGAUAUUUGUGACAAUAGUGGCCACUCUACAGACUUGUGUGGUGCGAAUCAAAAAUCAGUGAGCUUUGUAGUCAAUGUUCAAAAGCCAAACUACGGGAAUGCCUACAACCACAAGUGGUAGAGUAAACCAAAUUAUUCAUGGGGCAAUAAUCAGAAUCAACAAUUUCAGCAGUAGCAACACAACUCAAAGGCCAGUAAUAUUGAGGAAACUUUGAAGAAUAUCCUAGCUAAGCAAGAAGAAAUAGUUGCUGAAAUAAAAAAUCAACAAGUGGCUCAACAGUAGUUGGAGCAGCAAUUCGGUCAACUAGAUCAUAAAAUAUAGGGACACAAGGUGGAUUUCCAAGUGAUAUAGAGCAUCCAAAACAAGUCAUGUCAAUCACCUUGAUGAGUGGUAAAAAUCUUAGUGACAAACUUCUAAAGAAAAAUAAGGAGGUAGAUGUAGAGUUGGUUCCACAUCAGUUUGCAAGUAAUGAUGCUGAAAAUUUGGAAAAAUCUGAGUUCCCAAAAGUAAAAGCUAUUGAACAAGUGAAUGAGAGUCCACCUCUACCAUUCCCUCAAAGGCUAAAUAGGCCAAGGAGAAUGUAUGUUUCAAGAAGUUCUUUGACACGUUCAGAGAACUUCACAUUAAUCUUCCUCUUUUAGAUGUUUUGUAGGGUAUGCCCAAGUACGCCAAGUAAUUGAAGGAUGUAGUGACUAACAAGACUAAGCUAUAGGAUAUUGAGACUGUGGAAUUGAUGAGGAGUAUAGUUCAGUGAUGAUGCGGAGAAUGCCCAAGAAACUAAAGGCCUCGAGAGUUUCACCCUCCCUAUACAAAUUGGUGAUAGUGAUGUGGUCCAUGCUUCUAGUGACUUAAGGGAAAGUAUAAACUUGAUGCCUUUAUUAGUGUUCAACACUCUUAGUUUAGGUAAGCUGAGGCCAUGCUCUGUGGUGCUCUAGAUGGGAAAUAAAACCCAGGUUUAGCCCGAAGAAAUCAUCGAGGGCGUGCUCAUUAAGGUUUGUAAGUUUAUUAUUCCUACUAAAUUUAUUGUUCUUAAUUAUGAUGCAGAUGACAGGGUACCAAUUAUAUUGGGACUUUUACUUUUGACGAUGGGUAGAGUAUUGAUUGAUGUGAGAGAGAACACUCUCAAGAUGAUACUAGAUAAUGAAGAGGUGGUUUCCAAAGUCUACAAACCACUCAAUCAUCCUUACAUUAUAAAGUCUUAUGUAUGAUAACUGCCAUAGAAGUAGAUGAGUGUGGGGUGGUGGAAGGCGUCAUAAAAGACUUGUUCAAACUCUCUUAUAUAAUUGCCUAAGCCCCCAAUUAUGCUCGAAAGGGUGAAAUUAAAAGAAGAGCCUGAAAAGGUUGUUGAGGUAAAGAAUAAUGACCUUUAGAGUACACACUUAAGAUAUAAAAAAUAAGUGAUAAGAUGGACUCCAAGUAAAAGAAAGAAGAUAAAGAAAAAUGGUUAAGAUGUAGUGAAGUAGGUUAUGCCGCAACACUGUAUCAAAAACUUUUUGGGAGGAAACCUAAGUUAAGGUAGGCAUUUCAUUUUAGUAUUUUUAUUUUUUACUUCACAUAGUUUUUAUUUUUGUCGAGUCACAAGUUAAUGGGAAGUCUGAGUACUGGAGACUUGAGUUAACAAGUAUGGAAAAGACUGGGUGUGGGGUCCCCGAAUUCUCUUGAUGUUAAAAGAUGGUACUAGCUAGUCCUUAAGGCCUCAAGGAGUAUUUCUAUCCUUACUUUUAAGUUUACUUUGGGGAUAAAGUGAGUUUUUAAGUGUGGGGUGGGGAAAUUUUCAUGGUUUCAGGUGAAGUGAUGCUAUAGGAUUUUCAUUCUUAGUUGUUUUAGUUUUUGGGUAAAUUUGAAAAAAAUAAAAAAAAUGUUUUUUGUUUGUUUAAGCUUUUAGUUAUUGGGAUUAGUUUAGUAAGUGCACACUUCACCUAUUUUGUGGUUAUUCUUUUCGGUUCUUUUUCAUAUGGGGACCUUUGAACCUAGUAUCAUUUUUCUUUUUAGAAGUAAAUUUUAAUAUUUUUGUGUUAGGUAAGUGAGUUGUUCUUGUUAGUUCUAUAUGUGAUUUCAUGAUGCAAGUUGUUUUGGUUGUGAAGCGUGUUGAUUGUGUGAAUAACUAAUUUUGAGACUCUUAGGCUCAUGAAUAAAACUCUUGAACAUUGUUGACUUAAUUCUAAAUUCAUGUUAUUGCUUGGUCUGGAGUCUGUAGUAAUCCAACUUAAGUUGAGCAUGUACUAUGUUUGAGUGAGGUUGUUGUGUAUUCCUUAUUUAUUUGAUGUCUAGAACUUGUCUAGUGUGUGUGCAAAGUGAAAUAAAGAGUGUGAGUUUAGGAGAUGAUAUAGGCAUUUCUUUGGUAGCCAUAUUUCACAUACCCUCUCUUUUACCUACCCUUAAGCAUAAUCUUAGUUAACCCUGUUGAGCCUUUAGCCUAUUCUUUGAUAGCCUUAUAUAUAGCCUGUUUCUUUUUUUGUUUAACCUUAAUUUGAUCUAAAGCUCCUAAGCACUUUAGUUGAAUAUUAAUGAGUUUAAGGAGAGUGAAAAUAAGAAGGAAAUAGGUGAAAUUGAAGCCCCAAAAUAGUAACUAUUGGUGUUGAAAAAGCAAUGUGUGUGGUUGGGAUAAAUUAUAAUGAAAAAGAAAAAAAUUGGUGCUUAAAUUUUAUCAUAAGUUGAUGAUGAAUACUCUUUCCAUAUUAUAUGUGACUAGCUUAAUGAGAUGGGGCAAAACAAAAGAGAAUUAAAAGGUAGAGGUGGUCAAAAGUGUGAUUGUUUAGAGGUUGAUCUUAAUGUAUAAUGUUAUGUAUUAAAGCGCUUAGGGAAGAUAGUUACUAUUCCUGGACAAAAUAGCUUCUAUACGUCCCCUAGCCUACAUUACAACCUUCAAAGUCCUAUUUGAUUCUGAUUCUUAACAUUCUAAUAUUUGUAGAGUACUACACUAAGGGAUAGUCUAUGGUUCAUCUUAUGUGACUUGUGAAUUCUUUUUUAGAGGGAGCAUAAUUUAAUUUUUAUACCCAUUCUUGUGAUAAUGGCAUCUGUAUAAGUGAAUAUGGUUAACUCCCUUGUGGUGAGGGUACAUGUUUGAUGAUAGUUAGCUGAGUUAUAUGAUCUCUUUGAUUGAGUAAUAUGCAUGAGUUUGCCAACUUGGUGUGUCAAAUCUUAAGGUUAAGAUAUUUUUUAGUAGUGUUCUUGAGGUUUCAACUGUAUAUAACAUGGUUAGAGUAAAACUUGCUAUCUGUGCAGCUGUUGUCAUGCUAGCUUGAGUGUAUUUCUUUUAGUAAUAGUGUUAAAUUAUUUUUUGAUAUUAUACUUAAAGUGAAGAGUUAUUCGAGAAAGAACAAGACUUUAAGUGAGAGGUGAUGAUCUUAGGUGGAUUUAUGCACCUAAGUGUUGUUAUGUACUCUUACUUUGCCUAGUUUUUAGGACAUAUCAUAUGCGUAAUGAGGUACUCUUUGUAUAAAUGAGCAUCUAAGUGCUUAGUUAUGUUUUGUAGUGUUUAAGGUAUGUCCAUAAUAAGUUUGGAGUCAAAACAUUAAGUUAAAGUUCUACUGUUAACUUGAGCUAUGUUCCUUUCUAGUUCAUCUUGUUAGAUUCUAUGUGGUUUUGAGCUCUAAUUUGUGGUGAGAUGAUAAAUAUGAUACAUAGAUGAUAUAAAAUCUGUAAAUCAAGAGUUAAAUUCAUGCUUGGACAUGAAGGACAAACACAAUGGACUAAGUAUAAUGAAAUCUAAAAUUUUUAGACACAUUGGCAUGCCACGCUGCCUAAAUGCCGCAAUAAAGGCAUGGCAGGACCUUGGUUGCAUUGUGAAUUAGCAAAAUUAGUAGCCCUCCAUUAUAUUGAAGUUCCAUGGAUCCUAUCCUCCACGAUAAAGGCGUGGCACAGAGGCUAAACAAAAUUGGGCAGUUUGGUCCUAGUAUAAAUAGGACACGUAAACUCUUAUAUAAAAACUUUGGAUGACCAUAGGGCUUGGAAACACGAUUGAGAUGGAUGAAAAUAGGGCUCUAUUCCUUUACUUUAGUUUUUUAUAAACUAUAAUAUGGAUUCAUCUAUUGUAAUUAUGUGUAUGUCCAUAAGCGGCUAAACACCUUUUUCCGUGGUUAAGGCCAAGAACAUGACUAUUUUUGUUAUGAAUUGAAUUGGUUUAGGUUAUUUAUCAUUGUUGGUUGUUUAAUUAUCCUUGUGAUAAUAUUUUAAGGAUUCACUACCCUUAGAAUACAUGUUUAAUUCUAUCAUGAGCCGAAAGGGAGAAUGAUAGGAUAAACCAUGGGAUAGAUGGAAAGAAUCGUAAUCUUUUGAUUGAAUGAUGUUAUGAUUUACAUUUAGGAUAGGAAUAUACCUAAGUGCCUUAUUUAUUUCAAUUAUAGUAUGAAAUAUGAAUGCAUUUAACUUAGUUCUCACAUCCUCACUCAAUGAUGUAGUUGUGGGGCUAAACUAGAUAGUUGAUUAAAGGGUCGGAAGGCCAUAAUCGUAAUAUCAACCCCGUUGACCAAAAACCAGAUAAUUAACCUAACCAACGAAGUUCUAUAACUUAGUAUAAUUUUUUGUAGUGCCUUAACCCUGGGUUUCUCCCUAUUGUUGUUCAGAAACCUUUAUUUUACCUUAUUUUUUUGUUUACUUUUAGUUUAUAACUCUCAAACUCUUUUGAUUACUUCCACACUCGAUUAAUCUUGAUAGUUGAACUAGAAUUGAGUAGUUGUUUAACACAAGUACCUAUGGUAUUGAUACUUCACUUUCUUAAUGCCAUUUUAAUAUUUGGUGGAUCAGGUACACUUGCAUGUACGCUUGGGUGCAACGAAACCAACAUUUUAGAGCUGAUGGCGCUGUCGAAAUUCUCAUCUGAGGUCAUUUACUAGAAUUUUUGGUCCAAGAUCAAUUCUUUAACAACAAAGGCUCCAAAAUAGGGAUGAGACUAAAAUCUAAAUAAACUUUUCAAUAAUCGAACAGAUAAUUUUUACAAGUCAUAUAUGACCUGUAGCCACUGGGAAAAGACUCAAAAUGCCAAAGUGUGAAAAUGAGAAAAUAACCUGAGGAUCAUUACAGGAAAAUGUGGAUAAGUGAGGGAGUAGUAGUUGGUGUUUAUAUGUGUGUCGUGUGUUGUGUGAGUAUGUGCAUAAAUAAGGUUGUGGGGAUGUUGAAGGAGAAUAGAGAAUGGGAAGCGGAGGAUUAGAAAUGUGAGGGAGUUUAGGAUUAGUAGGGUGGUUUGGUAGUUUUAGGUUUGUCCUGUCUUUUUUUUUUUUUUGAAAUUUCUCUCCUUCUCUCUCUCUCCCCCCCUCCCUCUCUCUCUCUCUCUCUCUAUAUAUAUAUAUUAGUUUAGGGUACGCGUCUCGCACGUGUACCUUGCUGCAACGAGUUCAACUUUAUAAAAUCAUUUCAAAAUUAUUAAAGAAAAUGUCUUGAUUAAUAAAUAAAUAUGAUUUUAUUAAAUCCAAUAACUCUUAAAUAGAAAAUUAAUAUAUUCAGACAAAAUCAUAUGAAAGCAUUGAAAAUCACUUUAAACUAGAUUAAGAAAAACUACUAUGCCAAUAUGACAUAUGAAUACUUUAUUAUGGACCACAUAAAAUUUGUGAGUGUCAAUAUGAACACUUAAUUAUUUGUUUAAGUGCUUGAUUGAAGCAAAUCAUAAUUCAAGUGUUUAAAUAAAAUUUAUCAAAAAAUUUAAAGAGUUACCAAUCUAUUUCCUCAAUAUAUCAUAUCAUUAUAUUUACCUUAUGAAGUCCUACAUUCCGUAAAUCCCAAAUAAGUCCUACACUUAUCUUUUAAGGUUUUAGUUAAAAAGUUUUUUGUUGUUUCCAUCCAUAAAAGUUUUUUUUGUGUUUUGAAAGACGUAUUCAUAUGAACAUUAACAAAUGGGAAGAUAUAGUAUUUCAUUAUAAAAGAGAAACCAAUAUAUAGCUUUUAAUGGAGUAUUGUAAUUAUUAAUCCAUGUUGGGCUUCUUGCUACUAGAACUGACAUCCCUCUUAUCAAUGAUGACUUCAAUGUCUUUGUCAUAUGAUGCGGUUACGAUCAUAGAUGCACUUGGUGACAAUUUUAGUCUUGGAUUCUCUGUCUUCAUGAUAAAGUUGUAGCAGACUUGCAUAGCUUUAAGUGUAGUAGCUAUUUUAGUCGAUAAGGAAUCUCAAGAUAAAAUUAUACUUGAUUUUUAAGCUCUUAAAUUUUAGUAUCCUAAUUAAGAAUUAGUAAGCUUAUUUUUAGUUGAUUCCAAAGCUUGAAAUAUUAAAAAAAUAAUUAAAUAAUAAUAUUAUCUAGUGUUAGAUCUAUUUUUUUUUUAAAUGAUAUAAAAAAAGACAUCAAAUGCAUCUUGAAUUUGUCUUAGAAAAUCAAAUUCGUAAUCAACUAAUCAGGCAAUUUAUUACUCCUACACAUCUUUAAAAUGUAUUUAUUUAUUCAUUAUCAGACCUCAUUAGAAUUUAAAUAAAACAUAAAUCAAAAAAGAGGAGGAGGAGAUGCAAAGACACAUGCCUUGAAGAAUAGUUGAUUGAUAUAUGUGGAUAUAUAAAUUAGCUGAUGGUGUUUAGAUAUUUUUUGAUGAUUUUUUAACUCGCAUUUUUUUUGUUUCCCACCCCAUAUUCAAUAUCCAUAUUGGAGCCCGACUAAAUUCGAAUUCGCGUUGGAAAGUCUCACAUUAAAGAAUAAAGUGCUUUCUAACAAAGGUGAGUUUGUACCCAUAGGGACUCGAACCCAGACCUCUAGUUAAGAAUGAAGAUUUAGCCCGCAAUCUCAAACAACAUAAUCAUUAUGUCUAAGAAAACUGAAUUGUAAAGAGAAUAAGAAACAAAAAAGACUAUAGCCACAAAGACUUGGAAAGAAACUAUUAGUUAAAAAAGACAACACGAAUAUUGAUUUUAUAUAAUUUCGUAGUAAUACCACAAUUGGCAACAACAACAAUAAUAACAACACACUCAUUGAAAUCCUUUAAGUGAGGUUUGGGAAAGGAUAAAGUGUAUGCAAACAUGAUCACUACCUCACGGAGGUAGAAAAAUUAUUUUCAAAAGAACCUUGAAUAAAGAAAAAUGAAGGAUGCAAUCUGAGCAAAAAUCCACUUUCUUGGAUUAGAUCAAAAUUAUGGACGUGUCUAUCACUGUGUUAAGAAUCCCUAAACUACAAUAAGGAAAAUAUUUCUAAAAAAAAUUUCCACAAACCCAACAUCACCCAACUGUAUAAACAAACUAUAGACAAUUGAUAUAAACAAAAUUAACCUACAUGUAUAAAAAAAAAUCAGGUUAGAAACAUCCUAACAAAAAAAAAACUUUAUUCCCCUUCUCACAUUCGCAUGUAUUAUAUAAACAAAGUUAACCUUAAAAUCUAUUACCAAUAAAAAAUUGCACUAACGAAUAAAACAUUGAUGUUUAAACCUUUUACUCGAAACAUAAUUCCUUUUUUUAUUUAACCUAAAAUAUUAACAUCAUAAUUUUUUAUUUAAAUAAAUGAGUUGGAUGAUAAAUUAGAAAAGACUCAAAUGGAAAAAUGAUUCUUCAAGCAUAAUAAAAAAAAUAAAAAAAUUAAAUGUUAUCAAAAUCUAUAAAAUAACAUAAAUAAAGUUGAAGAGCUCACUUAUUAAGUAACAAUGCGUAUGAAUCAUAUGCAAGAGUAGGUGAUAUCUUCCUCUUCCUUUAUUCAAGAGUAGGUGAUAUCUUCUUCUUCCUUUUCCUUUGAAUUCCAGGUUUUCAAUGAAUAAAAGUAGCCUCUCACUAUUAGCUCAUCCUCCAACUUAAAAUUUAUAAAAUAAUAUUAUCUUCAAUUUCUAUCAUAAAAUUUACUCAAGUAUCAAUUUUAACUGUAGAUCUCAUCAAGAUAUCAUGAGAAUGAAAAACUGCAUAAAGGAAAAGUAAUUAGAAUAAUUUUUCAAUAAUUCUUUCAAGCCAUUACAAUUAUAACGUAAAUAAUAAUAAAAAUAAUUUUUUCAAAAUAAAGAAGAAGCAUCAAACAACAAUUUUGAGCACAAAGGAUUAACAAGUGAUCUAAUUUAUACCAAAAAUCAAAUGAAGUAGUAUUUAAUUAAACUUUGCUUUUAUUUCUUCAAGCAAAAUAAAUUAUGUUAGAUAAAAAAAAGAAAAAAAUACCCCAUAAAAAUACUCUUAAGGUAUUGUGCGUCUCUUACAUUUUAUACAAAUAACUUUUUAAAUUAACUUUUUCACAUUAGAUCUUUCAAAGACACUAAAAGACAUGUUCUCAUCCUAUUUAAUACAUCUGCAAAAUCACUCCAAACUGGAGGGGACAUCAUAACAAAUGUAUAGAUACAAUAAUCGCAAGCAAUGUCUCCAUAUUGUCAUCGUCAAAUUUUGGGUUAAAAAGUGGUUCAUAAUAGAUUUUAAAAUCAAAAGAACCAACUUUUUUUCAAAGCAAAUUUUGUAGAACAUAAUGCCACACCAAUAUAACAAAAAAUAUCAUCAUAUCAUAAAACGAAGCAUAAAACAAAAUUGAAGCAUUCUAACCUUUAAUAUUUGAGUAACUUUUUAUAGUUGAUGUCAUGUACUCGUGAAACUUGUGGGAUAGAACUUUUGGCUGCAACAUCAAUAUUAGAAAUUUAAUAUCUUUGACAAUAUAAGAAUAUGUUUGGAUAAGAGAUGGCUUUAGCAAUUAGAUUAAUAUCGUUGCUAUUGUAACUCGUCAACACAAAACCAUUUGUUGUAGAUUAAUAUUGUCUUGACAACUAUUACUAAACCUAAACCUCCCUAGCCCUACGUACAACAGUAGUACCUUUGUGGUAAACCAUGUUAAAGCUAAUUAAUAAAGAGAAGACAACCUAAUUAAUAAACAAAAGACAACUAACCCAAUUAUACUUGAUCUCUUUUUUUCGGGGCUUGGUUCUUAUAUUUGGUACCCUUUUUGGCCCUUCUUUUAAUUUUUUUAAUUAUAGUUGUUUUUCAGUGGGAUAACUACAUAUCUUAGCAAACAUAAACUCUUAAUUAUUUCAUUUAGCCUAAGGUUUAAUUAAUUAUAAUUCGUAACCCCCUCUUUCCUAUUAAUUAUUCCUAAUUACAAUUUAUGACUUCUCUUGUGUAUUUUCUCUCUUUUUCUAUUUUCUAUUAUUCUCCUCUUUUUUUUUCAAUUUUUUGUCUUCAUUUUUUCUUUUCCUUUUUUUAGUUGUUUUCUCUUUCUUUUUUUCUUUUUUUCACUUUUUUCGUUUUCGUUUUUUCAUUUUCUUUUUCUUUUUUUCCAUUUCAUUUUUUCUCUUUUCUGUAUUUUUUCUCUAUUUUCUAUUGCUCUUCUUCUUCUUUUUCUUGUAUUUUUUCUCCUUCUUUUUCUCUCAUUUUUUCUCCUUGUUUUUUUUUAUCUUUUCCUUUUCAUCUUUUUCCUUCUUUUUAUUUGUGCGAACUAGUAAACACAAAUACAAGUGUCAACUAUAAAAUACAAAUACAAAUACAAAAUAUAACAUACAAAUACAAGUGUGAACUAUAAAAUACAAAUGUAAAUGUGAACUAUAGCAUAUAAAUACAAGUGCGAACUAUCAUUUGUAUUUUUUAAUUAUUGAAAAGGAACGAUUGAUUUUCUUUCUAUGUAUACUUUUUAUAUUUAUUGAUAUGAGUUGUAUUUUUUGAUACAAAUAAAUAAAAUUUAAAUUAUUAUACAAAUACAAUAUAUAAAAAUACAUAUUAUAUUUUUAUUUUUAAAAUCAUUUGUCUCAUUUGUUUGUAAUUGUAUUUUUAUCAAUUGAUAUUUGUUUAUUUACAAAUAUGAAUGAUAAUUUGAAUAUACAAAUACAAAACGGUACAUUUGUAUUAAAUGAUACAUUACAUAUUUAUAUAUUUUAGAAUCAAGAAAAUACAAUUAAUGCAUUUACUUGUUUGUAUACAAAUACAAAUGAUAAAUUGUACAUAGUCACGACUAAAUACAAUAUUCAAUCAACUUACAAAUACAAAUAAAAAAUAAUUCUUUAAAAAUAAAAAGAUAUCGACGAAAAUAGACUAAAAAUAUAGGUAUAAUCUAAAUAUACAAACACCAUAAAACCAUAAUAUAAAUAUAAUCUAAUAUAAUAUGCAGUCAAUUAUAAAAUACAAUUUUUUGUCUUCAUUUUUUCUUUUCCUUUUUUUAGUUGUUUUCUCUUUCUUUUUUUCUUUUUUUCACUUUUUUCGUUUUCGUUUUUUCAUUUUCUUUUUCUUUUUUUCCAUUUCAUUUUUUCUCUUUUCUGUAUUUUUUCUCUAUUUUCUAUUGCUCUUCUUCUUCUUUUUCUUGUAUUUUUUCUCCUUCUUUUUCUCUCAUUUUUUCUCCUUGUUUUUUUUUAUCUUUUCCUUUUCAUCUUUUUCCUUCUUUUUAUUUGUGCGAACUAGUAAACACAAAUACAAGUGUCAACUAUAAAAUACAAAUACAAAUACAAAAUAUAACAUACAAAUACAAGUGUGAACUAUAAAAUACAAAUGUAAAUGUGAACUAUAGCAUAUAAAUACAAGUGCGAACUAUCAUUUGUAUUUUUUAAUUAUUGAAAAGGAACGAUUGAUUUUCUUUCUAUGUAUACUUUUUAUAUUUAUUGAUAUGAGUUGUAUUUUUUGAUACAAAUAAAUAAAAUUUAAAUUAUUAUACAAAUACAAUAUAUAAAAAUACAUAUUAUAUUUUUAUUUUUAAAAUCAUUUGUCUCAUUUGUUUGUAAUUGUAUUUUUAUCAAUUGAUAUUUGUUUAUUUACAAAUAUGAAUGAUAAUUUGAAUAUACAAAUACAAAACGGUACAUUUGUAUUAAAUGAUACAUUACAUAUUUAUAUAUUUUAGAAUCAAGAAAAUACAAUUAAUGCAUUUACUUGUUUGUAUACAAAUACAAAUGAUAAAUUGUACAUAGUCACGACUAAAUACAAUAUUCAAUCAACUUACAAAUACAAAUAAAAAAUAAUUCUUUAAAAAUAAAAAGAUAUCGACGAAAAUAGACUAAAAAUAUAGGUAUAAUCUAAAUAUACAAACACCAUAAAACCAUAAUAUAAAUAUAAUCUAAUAUAAUAUGCAGUCAAUUAUAAAAUACAAAAUAGUUCUUUAAAAUACAAGUGAGAAUUAUAUAAAAUAUAAAUGAUGAUGCAAACUAACAAAUACAAAUACAAGUGCGAACUAUAAAACACAAAUACAAAUGCGAACUAUAAAAUAUAAAUACAAGCAUGAACUUUAAAAUACAAAUACAAAUACAGUUGUAUCAAUGAAUACAAAAAUAUAAAUGAUGGUGUGACUACAAAUACGAUAAACAAUUAUAGAAUUUACAUUAUCAUCCAUGACUUGUGCUCGACUAGUCAUAUUUUUUGAAAAUACGAAAAAUAUAAAAUAGAACAAAAAAAUGAUAAAGAAAAUAAGUAUAAAAAAAGAAAAUAAAAAAAAUCAAACAAGAAAAAAAAGAAGAAAGAUAAAUAGAAGUUAGAGAUUAAAAAGAGAAAAAAACCAAAAAAAAAAAACAAAAAGAAAGAAACAAAAAAAAAUAGGAAAAAGAAGAAGAAGAAAAAAUUGGGAAAACACGAAAAAGAAAAAAAUAUCAAAAAAAGAAUGGUAGUUUUUUGGCGAGACUAAAUAUGUAGCAUAUUUAUAUUUUUUAUAAAUACAGACUACUGAGUAAAAGUGAAUACAACAACUGUGAAUCGAAUAAAAUGACUAUAAAUAAUAAUUAUGUAAAAUGUAGCUAUGGAAUAGGGGUUUUAUAGCAAAGUGUCGCUAUUUCUAAAAGAUCCCCUUUUUUAAUUCAUACCGAUUAAUUUUUCCUAAAAUUAUUAAUUAUUUAUGAAAGUUCUAAGGAAAAAGGCCUUAACAUACAGGUGUGACACUUUAAUAUUUUUCAAAAAAAUAUGUAAAGUUAUUUAACUAUUUUAAACUUAAUUUUAUGUUUCUUUUUUUCCAAAUUUAGGAGCCUUUUUCAUUGGUUGGUCUACUUUUCUAUCAUAAUUAUAAUUACCCUUUUUAGUGAUUCUUUUUACAAUAUAUUUUUGUACUCUUUAUUUUAAAUAUUAUAAAUAUAACGAUAUAAUAAUUAGAGGAUAUAAGAGAAAAACGAUUUUGUAUAAUGUAGAGUCUUUUAAUAAAAAAUAAAAUGUUCAAAUAACAAUUCUAACACUCUUAACACUUUUAAUGUAGUAUAAAUAUAGAUAUAGUGUGUGCGUGUUUCGUUAUGUGUUGUGGGUUGUCCCAGAAAAAUGGGGAUAACUGAGGGAGUAGUAGUUAGGAUUUAUGUGUGUGUCGUGAGUUGAGUGUGUGCAUGGAGGGAGGUUGUGGGAAAGUUGAGGGAAUGGGGAAAUAGGACGUGGAACACGGGAAAUGUGCGGAAGUUUAGGAUUAGUAGGGUGGUUUGGUAGUUUUAGGUUUGACUUUACCCUUUCUUUUUAUACUAGUGGCGAUCGGCACGGCCCAAUUUGCUAAGUUCAAUUUUUAAAAAGAAAAAAUUAUAAAAGUAACAUAAUUAAGACUAUAGUUAUAAUAAAUAAUAAUAUUUUUGUAAAAUUACAGUUUAUAUUAAUAGCUAGUAAUAUUAUUUUACUCAUUAACGAUGGAAGUGCAUAUUUUAUUCUCACUACUUUAUGUUUUUUAUUUUCACUCCACUAUUUCAUCCCACCAAAUAUAGUCAUAUCUUUUACCUCUUUUUUUUCAUCUUAUUUUUUUUAUCAUUUUAUUUUUUUAUUUUCACUUUAUUUUCUCUCUUCUAUUUUUUUUUUCCUUUUUUUUUUCAUAUUUAAAGAUAAUUAUCUCGAUGAUCUUCAAGAUUUCAAAAAUAAAUAUCAUUACUGCCUUUCACUCUCUUAUAUCUCUAUCUAUUUUUUCUUGUUAUUUUUUUUCAUCUUGUUUUUUUAUCAUUUUAUUUUUUUAUUUUGAUUUCUUUUUCUUUUUAAUUUUUUUCUUUCACUUUAUAUUCUCUCUUCUAUUUCUUUUUUUCCUUUCUCAUAUCUUUUUUUUUUCUAUUUUCAUUUUCUUCUUCUUUUUUCUAUUUUAUUUUUUUCUUUUAUUUUUACACUUUUAUUUCUCUUUCUUCCCUUUUUUUCUUUUUCACUUCAUUUUUUUAUUUUAUAUUUUUAUAUUUUUUUCCUGUUUUUUUACUCUUCUAUCUCUAACUUUUAUUUUGAAAAGACAAAUAUGUAUAUCACCUACACAUAUUCAAAAAACAUACAAAAUAUAUAGUCAUACAGAUCUGGAUAUGUAUUUACAGUACAAAACUUACAUAUGUAUUUACGAAAUACAUAUCAUAUUCAUAUUAAACAGUAACAAAUAUAGCUAUACUAUAUAUCUUCAUAUGUAUUUGCGAAAUACAAAUGUGACUCAUAUAAAAUAAGAAUAUACUUAUGGAUCAGGUAUGUAUUCNNNNNNNNNNNNNNNNNNNNNNNNNNNNNNNNNNNNNNNNNNNNNNNNNNNNNNNNNNNNNNNNNNNNNNNNNNNNNNNNNNNNNNNNNNNNNNNNNNNNNNNNNNNNNNNNNNNNNNNNNNNNNNNNNNNNNNNNNNNNNNNNNNNNNNNNNNNNNNNNNNNNNNNNNNNNNNNNNNNNNNNNNNNNNNNNNNNNNNNNNNNNNNNNNNNNNNNNNNNNNNNNNNNNNNNNNNNNNNNNNNNNNNNNNNNNNNNNNNNNNNNNNNNNNNNNNNNNNNNNNNNNNNNNNNNNNNNNNNNNNNNNNNNNNNNNNNNNNNNNNNNNNNNNNNNNNNNNNNNNNNNNNNNNNNNNNNNNNNNNNNNNNNNNNNNNNNNNNNNNNNNNNNNNNNNNNNNNNNNNNNAGCAAAAAAAAAAAAAAGAAGAAGAAGAAAACGAAAAAAAAUACGAGAAAAGAAUAAAAAAAGAAAAUAAAUAAAUAAAUAAAUAAAUAAAUGAAAAAGGAAGAAAAAAAAGAGAAGUAGAAGAGAGAAAAUAAAAUACAAAUAAAAAAUAAAAAAUAAAAAUAAAUUAAAAUAAAAAAAUGAAAAAUAAAAAAACUAAAAAGAAAAAAUAGUUAGAGAUAUAACAGAAUGAUAUUUUGAAAUUUUGAAGAUCAUGAAAAUAAUAAUCUUCAUUUUUUAGUUAGAUUUGGAAAAAGAAUUUACUAAUUUAAAUAAAAGUAAUUUAUGAGAAUUUAAUUAGAUGUGAUAAUUAUUCCUUAUUUAACUCAACUAGUUUGAGUAAAACAAAGGCAGUAAAUCUUGUUUUAUAUAUAUUUGUAUAGCAAUAGUUUACUUAAAUACAAAAUACAAUUUGCUAUAUUUCGUAAUUAUGAAACUGUUGUUACAAAAGUUACAAUUAAGAGUUUAUAAUUGCUAUUUCUGAAAUUUCUCCUUUUUAAAACUAUUAUGAAAACAGUGAAACAAAUUGUCAUUAUUAAAUAGUUUUAAAUAAUUUAAGUUUUUAGUUAUUCUAAUUUAGAAUUUUUUUUUAAUUUUAAUUUAAGUGACACAGAUAUAAUUUUGAGAGUUAAGCAAAUAUCAUGAUUGAAGGAGUGAAACAGAUAUAUGUUAAAUGACUUAUAAUAACUAAUUAGAAGUGAUAUAAUAAAAUUGCUAUAAAAAAUACUUGUGAAAAUAAUUUAAGUGAGCUUCACCUAAGAAGUCGAGUUAAUUUAAAACAUAAAGAGUUAAUUUAUCAUUUAUGUCUAUUUUGCUUUUUUUUUUUAAUCAAAUUUAUUAAUUUCUUGAUACUUAAAUAAUCUAUAAUUAGAUGUGAUGUAGUAAAUUAGGGUUGAAGCAACUGAAACAGACAUGUCAUAAAUGUCUAUUUUACUUAUUUAUUUUAUUAGUUAUUAUUAAUUUUCUAAUACGUAAAUGACAUAUAAUAGUUAAUUCGGGGUCAAAUAGUAAAAUUAAUGAGCAAGCAAUGGUUGACAAGCAUGUCGAUCACCAAAACGAAAAUGUUGUUAAAAAAUAAAAUUUAAUUUCCUUGUUUACGUAUUUUAUGCUUCAUUUAAUUGUACCUGAAAAAAAUUAAUAUUUUAGUCACUCAGAUCUUAGACCAUAACUAUGCAUUUAAUUUUUUGUUUGAAUCUAAUCAUUUAGAUCUCAAUAGGUGUACUACUUUAAUACCCUUUUUAACACAAAUAUUACUAUUGCAUAGUACUUUAUCUGAUCAUUUUUAAUUUAUAAUUUUUUUAUUUAUUUUAUCCUUGUUAUUAAAUAUUAUUUAUAAACUAAUACUUCAAUGACUUAUAUAAUUAAUUAGGGAUGAUAUAGUAAAAUCACGAUUGAAGCAAAUGAACCGGAUAUGUCAUAUAUAUCUAUUUUACUUUCUAAAAUUAAAUAAUAUUAAUUUUCUAAUACGUAAAUGGAUUAUAAUAAUUAAUUAUCUAAUACUUUAAUGACUUAUAAUAACUAUUCAGAAGUGAUAUGAUAAAAUUACUAUAAAAUUUAGUUGUGAAAUUUUUUUUAGUGGAUCCCGUAUAUGUCGUCAAGUUAAUUUAAAAUAUCAAUGAUUAACUAAUUAGAAGCGAUGUAAUAAAAUUACUAAAAAAAGUACUUGUGAAUUUUAUUUUUAAGUAGACUCCAUAUAAGUCGUCAAGUUAAUUUAAAAUAUCAAGAGUUAACUUAUAAUUUUGUGUCUAUUUUAGGUUUUUUAGGAAAUCUUAUCAAUUCUCUAAUACUUAGAUGAUCGAUAAUAAUUAAUUAGGGGUAAUAUAAUAAAAUUACGAUUGAAGUAGUUGAAGCAUCCAUAUCGUAAAUGUCUGUUGUACAUUUUUUAAUUAAAUAUUAUUAAUUUUCUAAUACUUAAAUGACUUAUAAUAAUUAAUUAGGAAUGAUAUAGUAAAAUCACAAUCGAAGUAGCUAAAACAGACAUGUCAUAAAUAUCUACUUUGUUUUUUUUUUUUUAAUUAUGUAUUAUUAAUUUUCUAAUAUAUAAAUGACUUAUAUAAUUAAUUAGGGAUGACAUAGUAAAAUCACAAUUAAAGCAGACUGAAAUAAGCAUAUCAUAAAUAUCAAUUUUACUUUUUAAAUUAAAUAAUAUUAAUUUUUUAAUUCAUAAAUGACUUAUAAUAAUUGAUUAGGGAUAAUAUAGUAAAAUCACGAUUGAAGCAGCUGAAGUAGGCAUGCCAUCCACAAGCUGCCUGUUUCAGAUGCUACUUUCACACUUAUACAUAAGUAAUAGAUAAUAGAAAUAUAUAAGUAUUGCAUACACACACACACAUAUAUAUAUCAUGAUAAAAUAUUAGUUUAAUAAUUUUAUAUUAUUAAAAAUAUUUUAAAAAGUUAUAAGACUAGUAAAAACUGUGCUUGACUAAUAAAACUAUUAAAAAUGAUUAAUUUAUUUAUAAAAAUCUAAAUUAAAUAUACUAUUUUAUGAUAUGUGCAUUGCACGUAUAUCAAGUUAGUUAAUAAUAAAUUUACAUAAAAAUAAAUUCCUUUUAAUAGAUAAUGUAGAAUAUUCACUACGUUCAUACAUAAGCUCCUUCCUAUUUUAAAUAUUUUUAGUUUUAAAAUUCCGCAUAAGUAGAUGCACUUGUAUCAAGUUUAUUAAUAAUAAUUGUAGACACUUAAUUUUGUCUCUCCCGAAAUUCAAUUUUAUUCAUUUUUUACUCACCUUAUCAAUUCCAUCCAUGUGAUUAUACCUUACAAAAAUACAAAAAAAUAACAAAAAAAUCCAUAACAAGUUAAAUCCCUAAUAUUCUCUUAUCCUAAUAAACUUUAUCUCAACCAACUCACACCCCUACCCCUACCUCACCACCCCUAUCCCUACCCCUACCCUUUAACCCCCUCCCCAUGUUUCUUUUCUACGGGGAAUAUAGGGAUAUAUAUACAGAGAGAGAAUACAGACUCGAGGAAAUGAAUAAAAAACUCACAUACACACCAUUGAAAGGGACAGAAUAGGGAACUUCUCCAUUUUUUCCUUUCUUUAGAGAACAAUAUCACGCACACCCAGCCAGAUAGUUCCCUUUUUCUUCAUCAUAAUCACACAAUUUCCACACACUAAAAACACACACUGAAAUCUCGAUCUACACGGGCAACAACAAACAGAGAGAGACGAUGGCUGAUUCUUGUUUUCUCAAUUAACAGUAAAUACACUAUCACACACUCACGCACGUACACAGUGGAAAGCGAGAGAGAUUUGAAGGAGAUCGAGAGAGGGGAAUAGAGAUGAGAGAGCUAAUCGAAGAUUGAGGGAGAGUGAAGAGAAAAAUUCAGAGAGGGUGAACUAGGGAGAGAACAACUAGGGAGGUUUGAACGGAGAGAGUGAAAAAGGGUGUUGGUCCAUUUUUCCAGCAAAAUCUUUGCUGGAAUUGACCCGUGGUUACUAGUUCGGCCCCAAACCUGUUGGGAAAAUGCCAAAACAACAUCGUUCUUUUCCGUUCUAGAUUUGGUGGAAAAAUAGUCAAAUUUAGUUUGGAUUUUUUUUCUUGUAACAUCGAGUGGUGCGAGACUAUUUGGGGUAGCGUUUGGUCAUCGUUGAGGUUCUUCGAUCGAGGUCCGGUGCGGCUGAGGAUUUGUCUUAGCAUGGUUUUUCUGUUCUGAAUCCAGCAGCAUGUUUCUCAAUCGAAUAUGACGGUUUUAAGCCCAAUUGAGGUUUAAUUCUUCUUCCGUUUAUCUUAAAUCUAUUGAUGCUAUGAUUAUAUGAUUCGUAUGUGGUUGAUGACACAUUUUUGAUUAUGUGAUUGAACAAUUCUAUUUAUUUUGGAUCGAUUGAUCAAUUCUAUAUUAAAAUUGGUUAAUUGGUUGAGAAUGACUCAAAUUCGUUUUGGGGUAAAUGAAAUAGAGUCCGGAAUUGAGAAAUUGAUAAAAGGGUGAAUUUAGAUUAAUUUUAGUUUAUUGUUGUUUUAUUUAAUAGGAAUAAAUGUCAAGUUUGUUAACUCAACCAUAUUCUAGUCCGAAAGCUUAAUAGGCAAAAGUUUAGGUUUGGGUAGGCAAAUUUAUGAAUUGUUGAGUAAUGUGGAAUGUUUGUUGAAUAGUUCUAUUUUUCUCGCAUUCGAAAGAUGUAUUCAUUUAACCGGGGAAUGCCCCGUGGUCAUUUGUAUUUAUUCACUGAAGAAUUCCCCAAAGUAUUGUGUAUGCAAAGGAUGCUCGUGAUCAAGGCCCGAAACAUCGGGUGAAGAAUUGGAGCGUAGUUUAGGAUUAGCGUAGGUUAGAAUAGGAUUUAUAUUUUUUGCAUUUUUCUAUGUUGGACUGUAUAAUUGGAUUGGACACUAUAUUUUUGAUUAUUUUACUUUGUUUGUUUGAUUGAUUGUUUAUGUGUUUUAGUGUGGUUUAUACAUUUUAUAAUGUCAAAUUAACUGAUAUACCCCACCAAGCGACCGUGGUCGAACCAUGGAAUCGAGGGGUGCCUAACACCUUCCCCUCAGUCAACAGAAUUCCAUAGUUGGAAUCUCUGUUUGCAAAUCAGUUUUAAAAAAGCAAAUCAUUUUUGAAAAAGAAUCUCCAAAGGUGACUUGACACAUUAAAUUUAUGUCAAGUGGCGACUCUGAAUAUAAUUGUGGUUUAAAAAAGCAAAUCAUUUUCAUCUUUUGUCACUUUAAUAAUAAAAAUCUUUUUUGCACUUUAAAAUCAUAUUUUUGGUUAAAAAAAAGGUGUGACAGCCCUGGCAACUCCGUUGGGGAAUUUUCAGAACUCGAUCUUAUUUUUUGGAGUUGCUUGGUUUGGUAUUAUGAUUGUAUAGACGUUGUUUGAGUUAUUGUUUGUUUUUGUUUUAUCAUUUUUUAGUGUUUACGUGCUCUGUGUUUAUAGAAUUCCACUUAUGUGUUACUGCUUUAUAUCUGGAAUCAUUUGCAUAACUCGAGUUAAUUUUUCUGCAACAAGUUAUAUAGUACACGCUGUGUACACGACCUAUAGUUGGGUCACCUUUAUUUUAGGAGAAAGAGCUGUCGGCUAGUAUGGAGUAGGUGGAAAGUAAUCGUAACCACUAUUAACCUACGCUCCCCCGAACAACCUUGUUAAUGGACCCCAGUGUAGGUCAACCUUUAGGUCAUGCUUAUCUGCAUUAUAUUGAGGCCUAGCAGGACCCACAUGACCCUUUGUAGGAGACUUAUCUCUAAAGCAUCUCUACGUGCUAAAUGUUGCAUCUUUGAGAGUAAUAUGAUCAUUUAACAGUUUGAUUUGGGGAAAACAUGUGCUAGAAUUAAAGGAAAGUGUGUAGGCAAGAAAAAAUUUAAAAAAAAGGAAAAAAGAGAGAAGGUGAAUCAAAAAAGAGUUUCGUAGUUGUUUAGAGUUUUUAUGGCUUUUAUUUUUCAUAUCCAAAAAAUCAAAAGUUUCAUAGUUGUUUAGAGUUUUUAUGGCUUUUGUUUUCCAUAUCCAAAAAAUAAAAAAAAGGUUUUACCUUAUGCACUCAUUUGUCAAAAAAAAAAAAAAACAUCAAAAAGAUAUUCCCUUUAUCUCCUUUAGCAUAAUUUCAUAAUUCAAAAUUCCAAAAAGAUUUUUUUAGGAGAUUUUAUAAAAGAAAAUUUAAAAAAUGGUAGUAAUUGUGUCCAUUUCAUAAAAUGAAAAUACCAAAAAGAUUUUUCUUUCGAAGUUAUUGGUGUCAUUUUUAGACGAAAUGUCUAAUUAGAAAUCCCAAAAUAUUUUCUUGACGUUGUUCAUCGUCUGUCUUUAGUCGUGUCUCCUAAGUUAGGUUGAGUUGGUUGUUUAACCUUUUAUUGUCCAAUCUGGUGAACUACGCAUCCCUGAUUCUCCUCUCUCGGGAGUGAGAUACGUAGGUAGCCUAUUGUGGGUUCAGGGAUCUUAUUUAAAAAAUUUCAAAAAGAUUUUCUUCAUUCUUCAUUUAGAGUAGGUGUUCAUAUACAUUUCUAAAAGAAAACUACAAAAAGAUUUUUCUUUAAUAGUUUCAGGUUUCUUUGUCAUAUGAAAUUCAAAAUAAAAUAAAAAAAUUUCUUUGGUAAUCAUAGGUUUCAUGUUGUAUAGGAAUAUGAAAAUUCAAAAAGAUUUUGUUUCACUCUUCAUUUAGAGUAGGUGUCAUAUACAUUUUUAAAAGAAAACUACAAAAAUAUUUUCCUUUAGUAGGUUCAAAUCUCAUUUUUGUAUGAAAUUAAAAAUCGAAAACCCGAAAAGAAUUUUUCUUUGGUAAUCAUAGGUUUCAUUUUGUAUAGAGAUUUAAACCUAGAAAAUGCAAAAAAAGAUUUUCGUCAAUUCUUUUGACAUGUUAUUACUUUUUUUUCUUCUAAAGUUUCAAGAAAAAGAAAAAGAGCUUUAUUGGCCCAUUUGCGGUCAAAUGUCAUGAACUAUGCACACCUGAUUCUCCUCUUUCAGGAGUGAGAUAUGUAGGCGUCCUUUUCAGAUUCGGUGAUCUUUUCAAAAAGAAAAAAAAGAGAAAGAUUUUGAGAAAGUGUUGUACUCUAACACAUUUGUUAUCCCUUGUUCAGUUAGUUUAAGGUGGUUGGUUUGUGGCUUUCUGGCUGGUCCUCCACAUUACACCAAGUCUAAGGAAGAGUUAGUCAUGUCCAACAAGGAUAUAGAAAGUAACCUCAUGGAUCAAACAAAGAGUCAGGAAAAUGAGAGUUUAAAGGAAGAGAAUUUGAGACUAAGACAGGAAAUGAUGGAAAUGUAUCGAGCUUGGGCCAGUGGGCUGCCUCCUCCUCCAUUACCCACUAUUGACCCUGCAAAUAUCUUAAGUUUUCUAUCAUAAUUGCAAAGUCAGUUUCCUAUUGUUGUUGACGCACCACAAUAUGCCUUCAAAUUCAUUCCUCGUCAGCUUCAUCCCAAUACUUCCACCACUCCUUCUCUAGCUCCUCAGUAUAAGCCUACUAUAUUCACAACACCACAUACCAUCUGUGAUUUUGCUGCUCAACCCUCUACUGAGGCCUCCACAUUGGCUAUCUGCCCAAUGGUUAUAGUUUCCCAGGCCGCUAGAGAAACCAUGUUCAAUACUCUUGAUGAUCAUUUCUAUACUCUUGAACCUACUUUUAAGUUAACUGGACCACCAAAAUUUCUUACCAAGAAGUUUGACAUGGCAGAAGAGCGAAUGGUUGAAAAAAUGAAUGGUACAAAAAAUGCUAUGAAAAGUUCCCUAGGACUCUCGGGUAAAGAAGAUGUUUCUUGUAAAGACUAGGGCAUGUUUUAAAGUGUCAACCUUCUUCAAAGCUUUGAGAAAUCAAAAUUUGUCUGUGGAACAUUUGGGACAAUACUGCAAUCAAUCAAGUGAAAUUGAAGGAAAGAAGAAGGAAAACACACCUAUUGUCAUGCCAGGUCCAAAACAGAGUUUGAGAGGUCCAACCCACCAGUACUAUCAGCCUCAGUGCCGAGCUUACAUAUUAUAUCCACAUAACCACUUGCAACAAAGUUCCUUUCUCUAAAAUCCAAGAAAUCCCAUUCCACUCCCUCAAUAAACUUUGAACAAUGCAUAGUCGUAUGCUCAUCCGUCUUCCUAUCCAUAAUGGCGUGUCCCGGUCCCUCAACUUCGUCCUUGACCUCCAAAAAUUUACCAAGGAACCUCUAAAUCCAAGUUUCAUACAAGGCCAUAGUUUCCAAUGAGGAGGAAGACAAAGGAUAAUUUCACGCCAAUUGGGGAGUCCUAUACCAGUUUGUUCCAGACAUUGAGACAAGGGGGCAUGAUUACUCCUAUCCCUGGGUAUACUUCCGAUCCACAUUAAAUUUUUUUUAUCCUAAUGUAUGAUGUGCUUAUCAUUCUAAUAUGCAAGGUCACAGUACUGAAGAUUGUCGUAUUUUGAAAAGAGAAAUAGAGAAAAUAAUUCAAGAAAAAAUGAUUGUGGUGCAAAACAUUGGCACCUCAACCGUCCCACAGAGUUUUUCGCCAGUACGUGGUACUGCACAAUAUAUGGGAAGCAAUGAGUUAAUCAUGAGGAUCCUAAUACAAGAAUCAACUACUAAAAACGAAAGUAACAUUAAGAACCUAAAAAUCAGUAACAAUAAAAAAGGAAAACAACACAUAGAAGAAAAGAGAUUAAGUAGAAAUGCAUGAAAAUGAAAAGGAUAGGUAGUGAGACCCUUACUAUCACCAAUGAUUAGCACAAGAAUGCGUAUCAAACAUUCAAACACACCUCACCAAUGGUAGUUCAAGCCUCACUCUUAGGUGAACCAAAGGAAUUCACAUUCCCCAAUCAUACCUUUCUUGCCAAUUGAUCAACACAAGCGAAAUCCAUCUAAUGUAUUAAUCCCUAGUUUCGAUGUCUUUUUCAAGACCUACACUAAGAUGGAUUUUCCAAGCCAUACACUAAGGAAAUAAAAUACAAUUUGAGUUUUAACCAAUCCAUUAUAAUAAAAAAAGAAGCUAAAAUGUCUAUUUAUACUUAUUACAACACAAUGACUAAAAUGCCCUUAAUAAGGGAUUCAAGAAAGGCUCCUCUUGAGUGUAUUUUAUAGUGUAAAAAGUCUACCAUGCCCUUAAUGUGAGGCGCCUAUGAUGUGUAAGAUCCAUCCUCCUUUCUUCACUUGGACAAGGCUUUGAAAAGGCUCCAAAAGGUUUUUAAUCACUUGCACCAUCUGAGACUUGAACCUCCUACAAGCCCUUGUACUCUUUGAGCUCUUUAUACUUGUAUCAUUCUCUCCAUCUUGAAAGAAAUUUGUCCUUAAAUUCACACCUUGCAAAAAUCAAUGAGAGGAACAAAAAGCACACAAUCCUUAUGAUAGGAGGGUUGGCAUUUGUACCAUAAUUAUAUGAACACACCAAGGGGGUAUACUCUUGGAAUAUAACCAAUAAUCAUUUGCUAUGAUCAUAAAACACUUAGUACAAGUAUUACAAAGGACAUGGCUAAGAUAGAUAUAAAAAAGAGAGGAGUGCAACCUGAAAUCACCAUCACAUAUAUCAACAAGCCAAGGUUGUUCACAUUUGAAAUACAUCCAAAAAUACUUUGUAUGUGACAUGAAAAACAUAGUAUGAAUGGAACAAAGGAGGUGGUUUUGGACAAUAUCAAGAGAUAAGGAAACUACAAUGGUAUUAAUGGCUUUACUUUCCCAAAAGGUAAGACUGCCUUUGGCUAAGGAACUAUAAGAUACAUUUGUUUCAUUACCUCUACAAAGAACUUCAUCAAAUAUGGUUCCACUAUUGAUCCUAACGUCCACCUUACCCACAUAUCAUUAUCAUUCAACAAGGAAUCUAACCACCAAACCUACUACCUCUAUACAUUACUUCAAAAUUAACAUGGUUAUCAUCAUAGGUAAAGAGGUAGUAUAGGAAGGAAUCAAGUAUGAAGACUUCACGCCGAGGGGGUGCACUUUUAAAAUACAACCAACAAUCCCUUGUUUUGACAAUGAAACAUUUAGUAUGAGCAUUACAAAGGAUAGGGAUAUGAUGAAUAUCAAGGAGGAAUGAGCACAAAUAGAGACAGUUCCUUUCCCACCCCACUAGUGCACCGAGAUCAAAUGGAUAAAGUAGACAAGGGCAUAAGCUGAGGAUACUCAUUCCUUUUAGUAGAAUAUCAAGCCCACAAUCACCAAGGCAUUACUCACAACUUUGACAAACACAUGGUCACUAUGAACAAGACUAAAAUUAUGGAUUUCAUCACACAAGUUCAAAGGACCAUAUCCAUUAUCUAGAUCAACAUUACAAACAUCAAUACUAACUUGAAAAUUUUCAAUCAUACUAUUCACAUGUUCAAGUAGUGGACUACAUUCGUGAGUAAGUUGAUCAUCAUUCACAACCUCACUAGUUGUUGGCAACCAUAUACCAAUAUAGACUCACCUUGUUUUUCACAAGGGUCAACUAGUGUGUGAAUACUCCUAUCACUUGGUAAUGUAACCUUAUUCAAGUUUUAAGUGAUAGCACUAGGUGGAAACAAAUCAUUCUUACAAAAAAAUGAUUUUGUCAUCUAAAAGAUCAACUAGUGCUUGCGUACUCACAAUAAGAGCUUGGUUCUUAUGCAACCUAAAAACACCAAGAGUAUCACAAAAGGAAGAUUCAUACACUUCUUCACUAAGAAAAUCCAAAACUACACUACUUUGGCCACUACUAGCCACAUCACAAUAAUUUAAGUUUCUAGGAGUGUAGAAAAUAGCUUUGUUACCUUGUAGAUCAUGGGAAGUGUGUUCUUCACUUGGUUUUGCAUUAUGGAAGCCUUCAUGCUCAGCAUUAUAAGUGAAUAUGUCAAGGUUUUCCUUUGGACUCACUUCUUCAUCACUUAUCCCAAAAUUGAAACUUUCGGCUAAAGGCUUGAAGAGAACUUCCUUGGGCUUCUCCUUGGGGCUUCUAGGGUCUUAAACUUGCACAUAAGAAGAGAAAAUACUAGGCAAAAUGCUAGUAUUUGGGUUAGUUAGUAAUAAGGAUUCUUUGUGGACAAGAUACACAAUCAAACAUUUCUUUCCCUCUCCAACUUCACUACCCGCGGUUUCUCUUUCCCUUUUUCCCUAUUUUCUUCACAUUCCUCUUGUAUCCCACUACUAAGUUUCUCUCCAUCUUGAGGCUUGACCUCAUUCUCCUUGGAUUCUAACUUGUGGAGAGGAGGCAUUGGAUUUGGUUGAUGAUGGGUUUAGAUUUGUGGCAUGGGGUUUUAUAGUAUGUAAGGUUUUUGGUCAAGUGGAUUUGGGACUUGGUGGUUUGAAUUUUGUGGAGGUUUUGGUGGACAUAGUCUAUCAGCCCCCACUUUAAUAAUAAUCAUGUCACCUCUCAUGGAUCCAAAAUCACCUCAUGGAUCCUACAUCACCCUUCAUGGAUCUCAAGUCACCUUUUAUAAGGUCCAAAAUCACCCUUCAAGUCUUGGUUUAGUGCAUCCAACCGAGCCAUCAAGACUCCCAAAACAUCAUUUCCCAAAGGUUGAGAUGUGGUACCUUUGGAUUCCAUUACAAUUUUACCUAACAAGAAGCAAAAAACAACAAAGGAAAAACCUACAAAACGAACAAACACGUUAGUUCAAUAAACGUCACCACACUCGCACUCGGAUCUCAUAUCACACUUGGUCUCACAAGUGUUGAAAACUUGGUAAUACUUGGCAAGUGAAUGAGUGGUGAAUAUGAUUUGGCCCGGAAUCAAUUUUUGUUUGAUAUGACUAAAAAAAAUAAUGUACGGACUUGAACCAACAAACUAUUACGAAUUAAACAUGAGAACAACACAUAAAAAUUGAAGACAUGAAAUAAACUAACUCUAGACUAAUUAUCAGCCUAGUAGGAAGUUACUAGUUUGCUAAUUAGUGGUAGAGUCAACUCAAAAACAACUAGAAACAACAAAUAGAAACUUAGGAAUCUAGUUAAGAACUCAAUUUGGUCGUUUAUAUAAGUGAUGAUGUGGCAGCUUGGAAUUAGGCUUCACUUUUCAAAAUUUUUAACUUCUAAAUUUUUGUUUUCGGCCAAACACUCCUUUAGGGAAGAAGAAUUUCGGUUUUAGAGGGAAAAAUGAAGAUUUGAAGCCUUUUUUAGAGCUUCAAAUGAAUUCAAAAUGGAUUGGUCCCCUCAAGAGUACUUUCAAUUGUACUUGCUUGUCCCCCUUUCCUUUCUGGAAGACUUAUAAUAUGCUAGGGAAUAUUCUUGUACAAACACUUAUUACAGUUUCUUUCUUCUUCCUUUUUGGAUCAAACAAGCUACUUGAAUAUUCUUCUUCAAUAAGAUUUGAAGAUGGUGGAUGAACAAUGUGAAUAUUAAAGAGUUGACCAUGGUUUGACCACUAGGCAAAUAAACCCCAAAUUCAAAUUUUCUUUUAGAUCUAGGUUCCUUUAGCAAAGAUAAGUUCAAAUAUCAAAAAAUCAGCCACAACACACCACAAACAAGGUGUUCACCACGAGAUCCCCCCUCAAAAAGCUUCAAACAAGUUACAACAAUGGUGGAUCUAGCUAAAAAGCAACCAAAUCUUGUUCUAAACUUAGAUCUAGACCCUUUAAGUGCUAGAGAACAAGAAUCUAACACUAGAAACUAUCAAAAAAAGCUAAAAAUUAGUAGAUCUAAGUUGAAAAAUUUGGAUCUACUAUCAAACACAUAAGAUUCAACACUUUUUUUGUAUUUUUUUUUGACUCUAGACUCUUUUUUUGUUGAGAUUUUCUUAGAUUCAAGGCUUAGAGUUGUGGGAACAACUCUAAUACAUGGAUUUGAUACCAAAUGAUACAAGAAUCAACUACUAAAAAUGAAAUUAACCUUAAGAACCUAAAAAUCAAAAACUAUAAAAAAGGAAAACAACACAUAGAAGAAAGGAGAUGAAGUAAAAAUGCAUGAAAAUAAAAAGAAUAGGUAAUGAGAACCUUAAUAUCACCAAUGAUUAGCACAAGAAUGUGUAUCUAAUAUUCAAACGCACCUCACCAAUGAUAGUUCUAACCUCACUCUUAGGUGGACCAAAGGAAUUUACACUCCUCAAUCACACCUUUCUUACCAAUUGAUCAACACAAGUGAAAUCCAUCAAAUGUCUUUAUCCCUAGUUUCAAUGUCUUUUCCAAGAUCUACACUAAGAUGUCUUUUCCAAGCCCUACACUAAGGAAAGAAAAUAUACUUUGAGUUUUACUCAAUCCAUUCAUCAAAGUCUAAUGAAAAGGGAAGCUAAAAUAUCUAUUUAUACUUAUUACAAGGGCUUCAAGAAAGGCUCCUCUUGAGUGUUAUUUUAUAGUGUAAAAAUUCCAUCAUGCCCUUAAUGUGAGGUGCCUAUGGUGUGUAAGAUCCCUCCUCCUUUCUACACUUGGACAAGGCUUUGAAAAGGCUCCUAAAGGCCUUCAAUCACUUGAACCAUCUGAGACUUGAACCUUCUACAAGCUCUAGUACUCUUUGUGCACUUUAUGCUUGUAUCAGAUCUAGAACUUAUUUAUUGAAGGGAAUUUAUCUGAUCGUGGUGGAAGUUGUUGUCAUGCUAUGGAAACCAGUGGCUAAGUUGUUAGUAUGAGCAAUUGAGAAGUCACCCCCCUCUCUACUAGAAAGAGGUCUGGUAGUGUGUUUUGUUUUCUUUUUUAUUUUUUGAAUCAUUCCAGGUUUGUUGUUUGGGAUCUAUCUUAUUUUGUCCCUUUGUCGUUUAUGUUCAAACCCUUCUAUCUUUUAUCUCAACUAAAUGAAGUAUCCCUUUCCUUUUGUGUUUUAUAUAUGUGUUGUUUAUUUUCUUUACAUAGUACAUUUUAUGUUGAUUCUAUAGAUAUGACAUGCUAGCGGAAUUUUUAGUCAAAUCUUAAAAUCCAGUUUAAGGACGAACUUUUAAUCAGAGGGCUAAAGUCAGAAAAAACAUUUGAGAAAAUUGGUAGGGUGUUGAAUAAUUUGGUGACAAGUUGAAGCUUUUUUUUUUCAAAAUUAAGGUAAUUAUUUUGAGAAUGAAAAGAAUAACUUGGUCAUCAAUUGAAAAGUAUAGCUCAAUCAGGUCAAAUAGUAGAUGUGUGAUCCCUAUAUCAAGAGGAGAAGAAAGAUAAUUAGCUCCAUGAAAGCAUAGAUAAUUUGAUGUGAGGUAUGUACAACAAACAUAGAGUUCUAUGUUUGACAAGUGUAGAAGAAAAGUGGCACAUAUGCUCAGUUAAAGUUAAUGCUAUAAAAGAUAUCACAAAUGAACUUCAUCUUUCACUUUCAUUUUGUAUGAUGUGUACUUGCAUUUUUAAGGAUUGAUAUGACGAAGAUAUUUCAUUCUGCUAUCCAAACAUUGUGUCAUCCUUUGCUUACCCCAUUUGAUUUUUAGUCCUAUUUUCCUUUAUACCCCUCUUUUGGAAUCAAGAUAGAGUCAGCAAGGUUCAAAAGAGAAGGUGGUGAGCAAAACAAUAGGGUCAGAAAGGUUUCAAAAAGAAAAAAAGAGAUAAAAAUGUAUCCAAAAAGAAAGGAAAAAAAGAGUGUCAAGAAAAAAGAGUUAGAAAAAAGUUUCAAAAAGAGUCCAUAAAAAAAGAAAAAAUAAAAAAACAGAGUCAAGCAAAGGAAUAAGUUGUCAGAACUAUGGGUGACCUAAUUCACCUCUCUCGGAGGUGAGAUACGUAGGCUGCCCUACUCUGGGCUCGGUCCAAACAAAUAAAUAAUUUAGAAUUAUCCAGUCAAAAGAAACUAGGGCAUGAGUUAAUCCUCAUUUUUUGAGUCAAUUCCAAAAGUUGUAAGUACUACCACACUUCAAGUGUCGUUUGAGCCGCAUGACAUCCUUUCUUUGUAACUCUAUCCAAAAGUCAAGUUACAACCAAUGAAAGACCUUCAGAUCAAUCUUUGAGAAUAUUAAGGCUAAGCAUGCAGUGGAUAUGAUGAUGCAUUUUGGGUACUAUUUGUCUUCCUCAGUAUAAAGAAUCAAGAGAGAAAUAAAAAUGAGAAAGUCUUAUUGGUGAAAACCCUCAUGGGCAUCGUAAGUCGAGAGAGAAUGAAAUAAGAGUCUUAUUGGUGAAAACCCUCACAGGAAUUGUAAGGUGAUGGUAAGUUGAGAGAAAUAAAAAUGAGAGAGUCUUAUUGGUGAAGAUCCUCACUGGCAUCAUAAGACGAUGGUGAACUGAGAGAAAAGUGAGAGAGGCUUGUUGGCGAAAACCCUUCAAAGUGUCACUAGCUGAAUGAGGUCUUAAAUGCAAUUGACCUAAGGAAGCAACUCAGUUUCAAGGCCAUUAACUUAAUCCAAAUGCAUGGCAUAAUCGUUAGAGUUGACUGUCAUUUUUAGAUAAAUUUUUUUAUUUCUUCGUUUAAAAUAGGACAUUUAUUUUCUUUUCUUUCUUCUCUUUAUUUUUAUUUUAUUUUCUUGAGUCAGUUAUCCAAAUAAAAAAAUCAUUGUCAUUUUUCCUCUUGUCUUUGAGUCAAGUCCAUGUCAAAACAAGUGAAAAAAGAUUUCAAAAUUGGCUACCAGCUUCUUCAAUUAUACAAAGCAAUACAGAAAGGCCAGAACAUGAAAUAGACAUGAUUGUGAUUCGAAGUAAGGCAAGCAAAAAGUUUUGUCAACAGACAAGUCUGGGAACUCAUAAAAAUACCAAGGUUCAAAGGGUUUAUCUGAGGAGCAUGGCAAAGAAAAGAUACUGUGGUUGUUUCAGAGUCACUCUUAAUAAUAUGAGUUUGGGUCAAUGAUGCAGCAGGUCAGUGACAUAUGCUAAUGGUUGGAAGAAAGGUUAAAUGUGAUGAGAGCAAGAGCGAUUUGCCAUGAAAGUUAAAUCCACAAACCAACCACUAUAUUUUUAUACUCACAAGUUUUCUUUGUAUGAAAUAGAGACACAAGUUGUCUUCAAAUGAAGGAUUUCAAUGCCUAAACAUCAAAGGCCGUAAUAUUCUCACUUCUACAAAUACAAGAGGCAAUGUUUCUGCACAGGUUUCGUAAUAAAAACCAUGGUAAAACUCAUAAUUCAAUAUCCCUAGUAGACAUACUUACUUGUCCAGGAGACGCAUUUCCUUAGGUAAUUCAAGUGAUAUUUGUAAGGAGACACAUUUUCUUGUAUGAGUAAUUUAAAUGAAAUUUGUAAGGAUAUAUAUUUCCUUGUGAAAUUCAAGUGGCAUUUGUAAGGAGACACAUUUUCUUGUCUGGAUAGUUUAAGUGGUAUUUGCAAAGAGAUGCGUUUCCUUGUAUGAGUAAUUCAAGCAACAUUAAUAAGGAGACACACUUUCUUGUUUUGGGUAAUUUAAGUGACAUUUGUAAGGAAACGCACUUUCUUGUUUGGGUAAUUCAAGAAACAUUUGUAAGGAGACGCAUUUCCUUAUUUUGGGUAAUUCAAGUGAAUAUUUGUAAGGAGACACACUUCCUUGUUUGGGUUAUUCAAGUGACAUUUGUAAGGAGACGCACUUCCUUGUUUGGAUAAUUCAAGCGGCAUUUAUAAGGAGACACACUUCCUUUUUUGGGAAAUUCAAGAGGCAUUUGUAAGGAGACACAAUUUAUUGUUUGGAUAAUUCAAGAAUUAUUUGCAAGGAGACACACUUCCUUAUUUGGGAAAUUCAAGUGACAUUUGUGAGGAGACACAGUUCCUUGUUUGGGUAAUUCAAGCGUUAUUUGUGAGGAGAUGCACUUCCUUGUUUGGAUAAUUCAAGCGGUAUUGGUAAGGAGAAACACUUCCUAUUUUGGUAAUUCAAGCGGCAUUAGUAAGGAGAAGCACUUCCUUGAUUGGAUAAUUUGAAUUUUACUUGUUAGUUGAUGCACUUCCUAACUUAAUUAUUGAUUCCUAGAAGAUGUACUUCCUAGUUGAGUCAGUCCCCUUGAUUCCUAGAAGAUGUACUUCCUGGUCGAGUCAAUCCCCUUGAUUCCUAGAAGAUGUACUUUUUGGUCAAGUCAUCCACCUUGAUUCAUAGAAGAUGAAAUUCCUGGUCGAGUCAGUCCCCUUUAUUCCUAGAAGAUGUACUUCCUGUUUAAGUCAUUUCCCUUGAUUCCUAGAAGAUGUACUUCCUAGUCGAGUCAGUCCCUUUGAUUUAUAGAAAAUGCACUUUCUAGUUGAGUCAUUGCACUUAACCCUUAGGAUACACACUUCCGUGUUAGUUUUCAUUUGUCAGGUGACACACUUUUUUAACUUAAACUUUUAUCUCUAGAAGACUCACUUUCUAGUCAGAAUUCCUAACUUUAAUUCUUAGGAGAUGCACUUCCUAAUCUUGGUCAUUUAAUUUUAAUCUCAAGAGAUGCAUUUCUUGGUCAGAGUCUUGAUUUAUGAUUGCAACAUACAAGUAGUUAUGAUGUGACUUUACAAAAGUCCUCUGACGAUAAUCUGGGGCAAAAAUAAUUUUAAUUCUUAUUGUUCGGAACUUUUCUUUUCUGGCAAAUGGAAUCUCUCUUUAUAAUAAUAUUUGUAUGGAAUAAUUUUUUUUAAGUUUUGAUGUGAUUUCAGGAGCCCGCCUGAAGAACAGGAAAAUAAAUGAAAAGUCAACCAACAAGGUGAAGAAGUUGAAAGUCAACAGAUUAAAAAAUAGCAAGUCAGGAGCCCACCUAGAGAAUAGGGUGAAGAAAUUGAAAGUCAAAAUUUAAAAAUAGAAAGUCAGGAGUCCGUCUGGAGAAUAAGGUGAAGAAAUUGACAGCCAAGCAACAAGUUGAAGAAAUUGCAAGUCAGGAGCUCGCCUGGAGAACAGGUGAUGAAAUUGUAUGUCGGAAGCCCGCCCGGAGAACAAGGUGAUGAAACUUAAGUCAAGAGUCCAGAGAAGCUUCAUAGAUAAGACUUUUGUAAUUUUAUUUAUCUUUUAACUUGUAAUUUUUAUUUUUGAUGUUACGACAGAUCCGCGGACCGGAACCUCUAUAGGACCACACUGGACUCUCCAAUUCGAUCGUUCUUCUUUCUUUUAUAUCUUUCUUCGAAUAAUGGUCGGAUCAAAAUUUGGUAUCGUUGUCUACUUUUUUGUCUAAAAAUAAUGUGUUUACACCCAAAAAGGGACAUGAUGUAGACACCUAAUUUUGUCACUCCCGAAGUUCAAUUUUAUUCAUUUUUGCCUCACCCUAUCAUACACUCCCACCUAUGUGAUUAUACCCCACAAAAAUACAAAAAAAUAACAAAAAAUUCAAUAAAUCCAUAACAAAUUAAAUCCCUAAUAUUUCCUUAUCCUAACAAACUUUAUCUCAACCAACUCAUACCUUUACCACUACCCCACAUCACCACCCCUACCCCUAACCUUACCCCUACCCUUAACCCCCUCUCCCCAUAUUUAUCUUCCAUGUAGAAUAGAGAGAUAUAUAAACAGGGAGAGAAUAUAUAAUCAAGGAAAUAAAUAAAAAACCCACAUACACACCAUUGAAGGGGACACAACAGGGGAACUUCUCCAUUUUUUUCCAUUCUUUAGAGAAUGAUAUAACGCACACACUGCCAAAUAAUUUCCCUUUUCUACAUCAUAAUCACACAAUUUCCAUGCACUAAAAAUAUACAAUGAAAUUCUGAUCUGCACGGACAGAAACAAACAGAGAGAGACGAUGGUUGAUUUUUUUUCUCUAUUAACAGUAAAUACACCAUCAUACACUUAUGCACGCACAUAGUGAAAAGCGAGAGAUAUUUAAAGAAGAUUAAGAGAAGGGGAUAGAGAUGAGAGAGUUGAUCAGAGAUUGAGAAAGAGUGAAGAGAAAAAUCUAGAAAGGGUUAACGAGGGAGAAAACAACCAAAGAGGUUUGAACGAAGAGAGUGAAAAAGGGUGUUGGUCUAUUUUUUUAAAGAAAUCAUUGCCAGAAUUGACUCAUAGUUAAUGUUCCAACAACAAACCUUCUGGAAAAAUUCCAAAAUAACAUUGUUCUUCCCCGUUCCAGAUUCAGUGGAAAAAUAGUCAAAUUUAGUUUGGAUUUUUUUUCUUGCAACGUCGAGUGGUGCGAGAUUGUUUGGGGUUGUAUUUGGUCGUCGUUGAGGUUUUUCGAUCGAGGUAUAGUGUGGUUGGGGAUUUGUAUUAUCAUGGUUUUCUAUUCUGAAUCCAGCAAUAUGUGUCUCAAUCGAAUAUGAUGGUUUGAAGAACAAUUGAGGUUAAAUUCUUCUUCUAAUUCUAUUCUUCUUUCGUUUAUCUUAAAUCUAUUGAUGCUAUGAUUAUGUAAUUCGUACGUGGUUGAUGACACAUUUUUUAUUAUGUGAUUGAACAAUUCUAUUUGUUUUGGAUUUAUUGAUUAAUUCGAUAUUAAAAUUGGUUAAUUGGUUGAGAAUGACUCGAAUUCGUUUUGGGUAAAUAAAAUGGAGGCGAGAAUUGAGAAAUUGACAAAAGGGUGAAUUUAGAUUAAUUUUGGUUUAUUAUUGUUUUGUUUAAUUAGAAUAAAUGUCAAGUUUGUGAACUUGAUUGGAUCAUAUUCUAGGUCGAUAGCUUAAUAGGAAAAAGUUUAGGUUCGGGUAGGCAAAUUUAUGGAUUGUUGAGUAAUGUAGAAUGUUUGUUGAAUGGUUCUCUUUUUCUCGCAUUUGAAAGAUGUAUUCAUUUAGUUGCAGAAUGCCCUAUGGUUAUUUGUAUUUAUUCACUGGAAAAUGUCCUGAAGUAUUGUGUAUGCAAAGGAUGCUUGUGAUCAAGGCCCGGGGCAUCGGGUAAAGAAUUGUAGCAUAGUUUAGGAUUACCGUAGGUUAGAAUAAAAUUUAUAUUUGUAUUAUUAUAUGUUAGAUUGUAUAUGUAACGCCUCAAGAAUACACCCUAUGCAUCACACGGUGCUUACAGUCCCGAGGGACCGUAAGCUAACCCAUGAGCUGGUACCUGCUGUGAGCAAUGGAUAACAUGAUCAUAAAUGCAGAAGAAUAAUGACAUGCCAUAAGGUUUUAAUAACUAAAUUCAAAACUGAAAUAUGAGUUUAUAAAAAUAACUGACUGAAUCUGAUAAAAUAAUGAUAACCUAGAUAACUAACUGUAAUGUCUGAAUACUGAAUACUGACUCUAAUGUCUAAUAAGCCUCUAAAACUGAAUGACUGUGAGGUGAUCGGACAGGUCCCAAUUAACUCCAACUAAGUAGUAACUGAGACAUGAAAUAAAGUAAGCCUGUCCUCAAAGUAUGAGGACUCACCACUGCUACUGCUGAGGAUCUGAUAAGUCUAAUCGCGAGCCGAAAAUUGAGUGUCAGAACCUAUGAUAUAAUACAUCAUAGCACAAAAGAAAAGGUAUGCGAUCAGUACUUUGAAUGUACUUGUAUGAUAAAUAAGGUGUACUGAUAUGCAUGAUUUCAUGAACAAAACUAAUAAUUAACUGAAUAUAUAUGUAAAGCAUGGAGUAUUGAAUAAAGAGCAUGAAAUUUGUAGGUACUGGGAAUAUGUGGAAAUAUUUAAAUACUGAGUAUGCAUGAAUAUCUGUAAAUACUGAGGAUGCAUGACCAAGCAUAUAACAUGAACAGAGUAACAUUUGUAAACUAAAAUACUGAAAUAACUAAAAUCUGUAUGCUUUGGUCAAACAACACUAAGACUGAAUAACAUAACUGGGACUAUAACUGAGACUGUAUCUGAGACUGUGGGAGGUAUCAUUUAACCGACAUUCCCCAAUUUGAGCUAAUCGGGGUCCAAUCUAUAACCCUAAUUGGAAGGGUAAUCAUAUCGUGCCACGAGUACUAACGAUGGGUAUGUGGAUGUACUAAACUUAUUUAAUGUCCAAAGGACUAAGGGUGUUAACCCUGAACUAAAGGGUGACCUCUGCGAGAUAGUCAAGCCUAAUCUGAUAGGUGACUUCUCAUAUCCUACGCUGAUUACGUAGUUCUAGAGUAUAGGGACUGCUACUAAUGACUCUGCCUAUCUGACGGGGAAGCCACCAUCCCUACACUCGCUCGGUGCUAAAUCCUACUCCCAACUAAAAGACACUGAAAUACUAGACUGUUCUGAGUUUAUAUAACUGGUAACUGACUGUUCUGAUAAUGCUCAUAGUAUGUUUUGAAGACUUUUCUGUAAUGUACUGAUACUAGACUAAGUAAACAACUAUAGAUUUCAGGUAUUCAAUACCCCAGGACUCAAAAACAAUAAUAGUAAAAUGAUACUAAAGCUUGAAGGACAAAACAUGAAGGCUUUUAUUUAAAUCAAUCACUCUUGUAGGCAUUUUAUCAAACACUUGUAGUUCAGGGUUUAAAACAAUCAUAGGAAUGCCAUAGAACUUAUAAAAAUAGCAUGAAUUCAACAUAAUAGUACUAAAUUAUGGUUUUAUUCAAUAAAUAAUAAUAUAAAAACAUGGAGGAUUGAAUGAUAUUUUCGAUUGAGAAAGCGGCAGGCCCAAUGAGUUCUCCUAUAGUGCCUCGAAAUAGCAAUUUCAUGGUAACAUGGUAUAAAAUCAAUAGUACGUGAAGGUUCAUGGGCGAAAUUAUAAUUUAAAAUCAAAUAGCUUGUAAAGAUUAUGACUUGUAAAUUAAAAUAGGAUAUUUGGACUUUAUGGAUGAAAUGAAUCCAGGGAUAAACAUCUAACAUACCUGGGAUAGUGAAUUUCUUGAAGUUCUGGGUGAGUUCCUGAGGAUUGAUCUAGAAUUUGAGAGCUAGGGUUUUUUGUUAUUGGAAAAGGGGAUCAUUAAUUUGAGAGAAAGUUGAAUAAAGAAUGAUUAUCUAGGUCAAUUGAGGCUAAAUUUUGUGUUUUAGGACGAGUUUAGGACUUAGGUAAAAGGACCCAAAUACCCUUAUAUGGAUUUAAAACGUAAGCUGAAAACUGACCAUCCCAAUUUUUAGCCUUGGCGCGAUGUGCGACUAUCGUGCCAAGCCACUAGAAAUGUGCAAUUAGGACCUGAACAAACAUCAUGACAUGGAUCAAUCGCAGUAAGCCUUUGGAAUGCCAAUUUGGCUACCUCUGCGAUGCACCAACAUCACAGAGGCCUACUGGAAAUUGCCAAAUUAGAAAUUGGCCUGCUCCGCGAUACGCCAACAUCGCAGAGUAUCACUGGAAAUUGACAAUUGUUAUUUGGACUUUCUUCGUGAUGCGCUAAGGGUAAAAAUGAUGAGGCCUAACAACUGAAACUUAAAAUCACCAUAACUUCUUAUCCGGUUAUCGAAUUUGGGCAAAUUUUAUAUCGUUGGAAAGCUAAUUGAAUUUCCUACGCAAUGACAGGCUCUAAACUGAAAAAUAAUGAGUGUUCCAAAAAUUUUAUAUGCAAAUACUCAUGUAUUAAGACUUAGAUUAUGCUAGGGAAAUACAGGGUGUUACAAUAUCUCCCCCUUGGGAUCAUUCGUCCUCAAAAAAACUAGUUAAGCUAAGGAAAACUGCUGGACUUAGCUUAUACAUUGAACAUACAUAUAUGAUGCAUGGAUUACAUGACUGAACUGAUUUGUAAAUAUACGGCUGACGUGAACAUGAUGUGCAACUAAAACUGAGCACGAUAGAGAGAAAUCUUAAGAAGAUUAGUACCUUAUACUGAAUAUGGUUUCGCGGAGAAAAGAUAAGGGUACUUGGUCCAUAUAUCUGCCUCUGAUUCCUAAGAUGCCCCCUCAAUGGACUGAUUCUGCCAAAGAAGUCUAACUAGUGAAACUUCUUUGUUCCUUAGCCUAUGAAUUUGAUGAUUAAGAAUUUCGACUGGAACUUCCUCAAAGGAAAGGCUGUUCGAAAUAUCUAAACUUUCUAAGGGAAUAACAACAGCUGGAUCACCAAUACACUUUCUCAAUAAUAAGAGAUAGAACACUGGAUGUACUGAGGCUAGAUCUGAUGGUAACUUAAGCUCGUAAGCUACCUUUCUGAAAAGACUGAGAAUUUUGAAGCUACCGACAUAUUAAGGACUGAGUUUCCUUUUCUUGAUGAAUCUCUUCACUCCUUUCUUGUGAGAUAUUUUUAAGUAUAUGAAAUCACCGACCUCAAACUCGAGAUCCUUAUCUUCACAUAUGCUUACGAUGUCUGUCGCCUCUAGGAAACCCUAAGCCUUUCUCUGAUCAACUGAACCUUCUUUAACACAUCAAACACUAAGUCAGGGCCUACUACUGCAGCCUCACCUACUUCAAACCAACCAAUUGGAGAUCUAUAUCUCCUACCAUAGAGAGCCUCAAAUUGAGCCAUACGAAUACUGAAAUGAUAGUUGUUAUUGUAUGCAAACUCAAUUAAAGAAAAGUGGUCAUCCCAACUAUCUUUAAAAUCAACUGCGCAUGCUCUCAGCAUAUCCUCAAGAGUCUGAAUGAUCCUUUUUGCUUGAUAGUCUGUCUGAGGGUGAAAGGUUGUACUGCGAUGGAUUUAGGUACCAAGACCCUUUUUGGAAUGCUUUCCAGAAAUGAGAGGUAAACUGGGUACUUCUAUCUGACAUGAUAGAUAAGGGAACACCGUGCAACAUAAAUAACUCUCUGAGAUAGAGUUUGGCACAGUCCUCGAUUGAAUAAGAGGUAUGGAUUGGCAAGAAAUCAGCUGGUUUGGUCACCCUGUCUAUGAUAACCCAAAUAGAAUCAUGCUGAUGACGGGUAUGAGGUAAACCUAUCACAAAAUCUAUGUUCACUUCCUCCCACAUCCAAGUGGGAAUACUAAACUCCUGCAUGGACCCACUAGGUUUUUGGUGCUCAAUAUUUACUUGCUGGCACGUAGAUCACUUAGCCAUAAACUUCUUAAUAUCUCUCUUUAUCCCACUCCACCAAUAGAUCUCUUACAAAUCACGAUACAUCUUAGUAACCCCUAGAUGAAUAGAGUAACGUGCACCAUGCGCUUCUGCAAUAAUUCAUUGCCUCAAGUUAUCUAUACCAGGCACAUAUAGCCAACCCUGACAACGCAACACACCAUCUCCCCCUUGGGAGGAAACCUCCACCUUCUUAUCUCUGAUUGAUUCUUUUAACAUAACCUGACUGGGAUCUCUAUCCUGCUUUUUUUUCACCUCGGAAACUAGAGAUGAUUCUGAGCUACUCUGUACCCACACACUACCUUCUGCUAAGUCGUCUAAGUGGAUACCUAGCCGGGAAAGCUAAAGGACUUCCUGAGCUAACUGCUUCUUACCAUCCUUAACAUGAGCUACACUACCCAUGGACAAUCUACUGAGAGCAUCAGCCACUAUAUUGGCCUUGCCCGGAUAAUACAAAACACUCAUGUCAUUAUCCUUUAAUAAUUCUAACCACCUUCUCUGACAUAAUUCAAAUCUUUCUGAGAGAACACAUAUUGAAGGCUUUUGUGAUCUGUGAACACAUCCAUAUGUACCCUAUACAAGUAAUGCCUCUAUAUCUUUAAGGCGAAUACUACUACUGCUAACUCAAGAUCAUGAGUUGGAUAAUUCUUGUCAUGGGGUCUAAGUUGUUUAGAAGCAUAGGCUAUAACCUUACCUCUCUGCAUGAGGACACAACCCAAACUUACUCUGGAUGCAUUACAAUACAUAACAAACCCAUCUAAACUAUAUGGUAGAGUCAAGACUGGGGCUGAGGUGAGUCGAGUCUUCAACUCCUGAAAACUCCUCGCAGGAAUCUUACCACUGAAACUUAACUUUCUUCUGAGUCAAUCUGGACAUGGGGGAUGUAAUAAAUGAAAAUCCUUCAAUACACCAAUGAUAAUAGCCAGCUAAAACUAUGAAACUCCUAAUGUCUGAUGGAGAUAUGGGUCUAGGCCAGUCUCUCACCACUUUAGGCUUUUGAGGAUCAACUCUAAUGUCAUCACCGAAAAUAAUUUGACCAAGGAAAGCAACUGAUCUUAGCCAGAAUUCACACUUACUGAAUUUAAUGAAUAACUAGUGAGCUCUAAGAGUUUGCAACACUAUUCUAAGAUGGUCUGCAUGAUUAGUUUCUCUAUGGGAAUAAAUAAGGAUGUCAUCAAUAAAGACUAUGAUGAACAUAUCUAAGUGCUUCUUAAACACUCGGUUCAUCAAGUCCAUGAAGGCUGCUGGGGCAUUCGUGAGACAAAAGGACAUGACUAGAUAUUUGAAGUGACCAUACCGAGUUUGGAAAGCUAUUUUCGGAAUGUCACAUUCCCUAACCUUAAGCUGAUGAUAGCCUGAUCUGAGGUUUAUCUUUGAAAACUAACUGGCACCCUGAAGUUGAUCAAACAAGUCAUCGAUUCUAGGAAGUGGAUAUUUAUUCUUGACUGUGACUUUGUUCAACUGACGGUUGUCUAUGCAUAUUCUGAGAGAACCAUCUUUCUUAUGCAUGAAUAGAAUAGGUGCAUCCCAUAGGGAGAUGCUGGGUCUGAUGAAUCCCUUAUCUAAGAGAUCCUUCAACUAUUCUUUCAAUUCUUUGAGUUUGGCUGGAGCUAUUCUGUAUGGCAAAAUAGAUAUCGACUGAGUAUAUGGAAAAAGGUCUAUUUUGAAUUCGAUUUCCCUUUCGGGAGAAACUCCAGGGAGAUCCUCAGGGAAUACAUCUAAAAUUUAUUUACUACUGGAACUGACACAAUAGUUAAAGUUUCUGAGUUAGAGUUUUUGACUCGCCUAAGAUAGUAAAUACACCCCUUCGAUAUCAUCAAUAUCGCUUUGAGGUACGAAAUUAAAUGACCCCUAAGAGCUGUAGUUCUACCUCUCCAUUCAAGGAUUGGUUCAUUUAGGAAAUAAAAAUGAACUAUUCUAUUUCUACAAUCAACUGAGGCAUAGCAUGAGUGGAGCUAAUCCAUGAUGAGAAUGACGUCAAAAUCUUUCAUCUCUAACUCUACGAGAUCAACUGAGAUAACUUUCUGAGAUAUUAUGACCGGACAGCUCCUGUAUACCUAUCGGGCUAUAAUGGAAAUGCCUACUGGGGUAGACACUGAAAAGGGCUCUACUAGAGUUUUAGGACUGACUCUAAAGUUGACGGCUAUACAUAGAGUUACAAAAGAAAGAGAAGCUCUAGGGACUAGUAAAGCAUAAACAUGUAAGUGAAAGACCUACAACGUACUAGUAACUACAUCAGAAGAAUUUUCCUGAUCUUGGUAGGACUGAAGAGCAUAUAAUCUGUUCGGACGCUGACCACUAGUAGCACUGGAAGUGGCACCCUGCUGAGUUGGGCGACCGGAUGAAACUGAUGACUGAUGGGACUGGCCUUGUUAGCGUACAUCCCUACCUUUUUGAGCAACUACCCGACACUCCUAAAUUUGAUAGACUGGCUUUCCAUACCCAAAUCACACUUCACUACCCACUCUACACUCACCUUGAUAGUAUCUUCCAUAUUUCUAUCAUAGGAGAUUUGUACGAGCACUGCUAACACUGUCCUGGGACUUAGAGCCUAGUGCUCUAUCCCUAUUGUCAUUUAUGAAUUUGGGUAUUGAGGCACUGGCUGAAGAUGGUGCUGGGGCUGAAGACCUUUGCUGAAAUGAGGCAGUUACCACCCUCUGACUUUGGCUGACUAAAGUUAAAACUACCCAUCCUAGCCCUCUUAUUUCCUCUCUCCCUUCUUAAUCUUCUACUACUUUAUCUAUUGAGCAUGGACCAUCAGCCUAGACAUGACCAUCUCACUAAUUAGCAUUGCGGUCCUGCACUCCUUGACUACACUGUCAGAUACACCAAAUAUAAACUUACCCAUCUUGGACCUGUUAUCAGAUACCACAUGGGGAGCAUAUCUAGCUAAUUGAGUGCACUUGAGGGAAUACUCUCUCACGCUCAUGCUGCCCUGCCUCAAGUUAAUAAACUCUAACACCUUGGCCUCCCUUAACUCCAAUGGGAAGAAACUAUCUAUGAAUGCUGUGGAAAACUCUUCCCAUUCUACACGCCCUGCAUCUACACCCCUAUCAACCUUCCACUACUUAAAAUAAGUAUGGGAUACAUCCUGCAACUAGUAUGUAUCCAACUUAGCACUCUGACUAGAUGUCACCCCCAAAGCAUCCCUGACCUUCUAAACCAUGUCUAAGAAUUCUUGUGGAUCCCCUUCAGACUUAAACGUUGUGAAUGAAGGAGGGUUCAUCCGGGUAAAGUCCAAAAUUAUUUUUACAGCAGUAUUGGCCUAUAGGUUGGAUGGAAAAACAGCUGGCCAUUCAUUCUAUACUGCUAUAGAGUUUGAUAGAGUGGUAAAUGCAACUUUAAAUUCUGCAUGAGAGACAUGCUCGUCUAGAGGAUAUGCUUAGAUGGGCUAAGGGGCUGGCUGGUUUCCUAUUCUUUUUUCAUUCUUCUUGGGAGGCAUGUUCUGUAAACAAAAGGAAGAAAUGGAUUAUACAGGGAGUUUAACUUGAGCUUAUGCUCACUUGCAUGACAUGAAUACUGAAAGAAGGGAAACUUUUCCUAAAUGCCUCAUAGCCUCUCGCCGAUAAGUGAGGUGUGCUACACACCCAUACACAAGACUCUACAUGACAUGAAUUUCAGACUUCCUUGGAAACUUUAAAACCUUAGGAUCUGAUACCAAGUUUGUAACACCCCUAAAGUAUACCCUGGGAGACAGACGGUAUUUACAGUCCCGAGGGACCGCAAACUAGCCUAUGAGCUGGUACCUGAUGUGAGCACUGGAUAACAUGAUCAUAAAAGCGGAAGAAUACUAACACACCAUAAGGUUUUAAUAACUAAAUUCAAACUAAAAUACGAGUCUACAGAAAUAACAGACUGAAUCUGAUAAAAUAAUGAUAAACUGGAUAACUAACUAUAAUGUCUGAAUACUAAAAAACAGACUCUAAUGUCUGAUAAGCCUAUAAAACCGAAUGAUUGUGAGUUGAUAGGACAGGCCCCAACUAACUCAAACUAACUAUUAUAUGAGACAUGAAAUAAAUUAAGCCCGUCCUCAAAGUAUGAGAACUCACCAUAACUAAUGAUGAGGAUCUAAUAAGUCUAAUUGCGAGCCGGGAACUAAGCAUCAAAGUGUAUGAGGUUUAUCUUAAAUUGGGGUUGCAUUUGGUUAUCAUUGAGGUUCUUCGAUCGAGGUCUAGUACGGUUGGGGAUUUGUAUUAUCAUUGUUUUUUGUUCUGAAUCCAACAAUAUAUUUCUCAAUCGAAUAUGAUGGUUUGAAGAACAAUUGAGGUUAAAUUCUUCUUCUAAUUCUAUUAUUCUUUUGUUUAUCUUAAAUCUAUUGAUGCUAUGAUUAUGUAAUUCGUAUGUGGUUGAUGACGCAUUUUUUAUUAUGUGAUUGAACAAUUCUAUUUGUUUUGGAUUGAUUGAUCAAUUCGAUAUUAAAAUUGGUUAAUUACUUGAGAAUGACUCGAAUUAAUUUUGGGUAAAUAAAAUGGAGGCGAGAAUUGAGAAAUUGAUAAAAUGGUAAAUUUAGAUUAAUUUUGGUUUAUUAUUGUUUUGUUUAAUUAGAAUAAAUGUCAAGUUUGUGAACUUGAUUGGAUCAUAUUCUAGGUCGAUAGCUUAAUAGUAAAAAUUUUAGGUUCGAGUAGGCAAAUUUAUGGAUUGUUGAGUAAUGUAGAAUGUUUGUUGAAUGGUUCUCUUUUUCUCGCAUUUGAAAGAUGUAUUCAUUUAGCUGCAGAAUGUCCUAUGGUUAUUUGUAUUUAUUCACUGGAAAAUGUCCUGAAGUAUUGUGUAUGCAAAGGAUGCUUGUGAUCAAGGCCCGGGGCAUCGGGUAAAGAAUUGUAGCGUAGUUUAGGAUUACUGUAGGUUAGAAUAAAAUUUAUAUUUGUAUUAUUCUAUGUUGGAUUGUAUAUGUAAUGCCUUGAGAAUACACCCUAUGCAUCACACGGUGCUUACAGUCCCGAGGGACCGUAAGCUAACCCAUGAGCUGGUACCUGCUGUGAGCAAUGGAUAACAUGAUCAUAAAUGCAGAAGAAUAAUGACAUGCCAUAAGGUUUUAAUAACUAAAUUGAAAACUGAAAUAUGAGUUUAUAAAAAUAACUGACUGAAUCUGAUAAAAUAAUGAUAGACUAGAUAACUAAUUGUAAUGUUUGAAUACUGAAUACUGACUCUAAUGUCUGAUAAGCCUUUAAAACUGAAUGACUAUGAGUUGAUCGGACAGGUCCCAACUAACUCCAACUAACUACUAACUGAGACAUGAAAUAAAGUAAGCUUGUCCUCGAAGUAUGAGGACUCACCACUGCUACUGCUGAGGAUCUGAUAAGUCUAAUCGCGAGCCAGAAACUGAGUGCCAGAACCUAUGAUAUAAUACAUCAUAGCACAAAAGAAAAGGUAUGCAAUCAGUACUUUGAAUGUACUUGUAUGAUAAAUAAGGUGCGCUGAUAUGCAUGGUUUCAUGAACAAAACUAAUAAUUAACUGAAUAAACAUGUAAAGCAUGGAAUACUGAUUAAGAGCAUGAAAUUUGUAGGUACUGGGAAUAUGUGGAAAUAUGUAAAUACUGAGUAUGCAUGAAAAUCUAUAAAUACUGAGGAUGCAUAACCAAGCAUAUAACAUGAACAGAGUAAAAUUUGUAAACUGAAAUACUGAAAUAACUAAAAUCUGUAUGCUUUGGUCAAACAAUACUAAGACUGAAUAACAGAACUGGGACUGUAACUGAGACUAUAUCUGAGACCGUGGGAGAUAUCAUCUAGCCGACAUUCCCCAAUUUGAGCUAAUCGGGGUCCAAUCUAUAACCCUAAUUGGAAGGGUAAUCAUAUCGUGCCACGAGUACUAACGAUGGGUAUAUGGAUGUACUAAACUUAUAUAAUGUCCAAAGGACUAAGGAUGUCAACACUGAACUGAUGGGUGACCCCUGUGAGAUAGUCAAGCCUAAUAUGAUGGGUGACUUAUCAUAUCAUACGCUGGCUACGUAGUUUUGAAGUAUAGGGACUGCUACUAACGACUCUAUCUAUUUGACGGGGAAGUCGCCAUCCCUACACUCGCUCGGUGCUAAAUCCUACUCCCAACUGAAAGACACUGAAAUACUAGACUGUUCUGAGUUCAUUUGACUGAUAACUGAUUAUUCUGAUAAUGCUCAUAGUAUGUUCUGAAGACUAUUCUAUAAUGUACUGAUACUAGACUAAGUAAACAACUAUGGAUUUUGGGUAUUCAAUACCCCCAGGACUCAAAAACAAUAAUAGUAAAAUGACACUAAAGUUUGAGGACAAAACAUGAAUGCUUUUAUUUAAAUCAAUCACUCUUGUAGGCAUUUUAUCAAACACUUGUAGUUCAGGGUUUAAAACAAUCAUAGGAAUGCCAUGAAACUUAUAAAAAUAGCAUGAAUUCAACAUAAUAGUACUAAAUCAUAGUUUUAUUCAAUAAAUAAUAAUAUAAAAAGAUAGAGGAUUGAAUGAUAUCAAUAGUUUCAUGGCAACAUGGUAUAAAAUUAAUAGUACAUGGAGGUUCAUGCGUGGAAUUAUAAUUUAAAAUCAAAUAGCUUGAAAAGUUUAUAACUGGUAAUUAAAAUAAGAUAUUUGGACUCCAUGGAUAAAAUGAAUCCAGGGAUGAACAUCUAUCAUACCUAGGAUAAUGAAUUUCUUAAAGUUCUAGGUGAGUUCCUGAGGAUUGAUCUUGAAUUUUAGAACUAGGAUUUCUUAUUCUUGGAAAAGGGGAUCUUUAAUUUGAAAGGAAAUUGAAUAAUUAAUGAUUAUCUAGGUCAAUUGGGGCUAAAUUUUGUGUUUUAGGAUGAGUUUAGGACUUAGGAAAAAGACCCAAAUACCCUUAAACUGAUUUAAAACGUAAGCUAAAAAUUGACCAUCCCGAUUUUUGGCCUUGGCGCGAUGCGCCACUAUCGCUCCAAGUCACUGGAAAUCGACAAUUGGAACCUGUACAAACAUCGCGAUGCGGAGCUAUCAUAGUAAGCCUACCAAUUUGGCUACCUUCGCGACGUGCCAACAUCGCGGAGGCUCACUUGAAAUUGCCAAACUGGAAAGUAGCCUGCUCCGUGACGCGCCAACAUGGCGGAGUCUCACUGAAAAAAGAUAAUUGUUAUUUGGACUUUCUCCGCGAUGCGCUAAGGGUUAAAAUGACGGGGCCUAAUGCAUGAAACUUAAAAUUUCCAUAACUUCUUACCCGGUUAUCGGAUUUGGGUAAAUUUUAUGUCGUUGAAAAGCUAAUUGAAUUUCCUAUGCAAUGGUAGGUUAUAAAUUGAAAUAGAAUGGGUAUUUCAAUAAUUUUAUAUGCUAAUACUCAUGUAUUGGGACUUAGAUUAUACUAGAGAAAUAUGGGGUGUUACAAUAUAAUUGGACUGGAUACUAUAUUUUGGAUUAUUUUGUUUUAUUUGUUUGAUUGAUUGUUUAUAUGUUUUAGUGUGGUUUAUACAUUUUAUAAUGACAAAUUUACCGAUAUGCUCCACCAAACGACCGUGGUCGAACUACGAGAUCGAGGGGUGCCUAACACCUCCCCCUCGGUCAAUAGAAUUCCUUAGCCGGAAUCUCUGUUCGCAAACCAAUUUUGAAAGAGUCAAAUCAUUUUCGAAAAAAGAUUUCGAAAGGUGACUUGGCACAUAUGAUUUAUGUCAAGUGGCGACUCUAAAUAUAAUUAUGAAAUGAAUCCUUUUCGAAAUAAAUUUUCAUCUUUUGUCACUUUAAUAAUAAAAACCCUUUUCGAACUUUAAAAUCAUAUCUUUUGAUUAAAAAAAGGGUGCGACAAUAACUGUAUAUAAAUUAUUUUUUUUAAUAAAUAAUGUAUAUUAUUAACAACUUUUUAAUAGAUAAUGUAGAAUAUUGACUACGUUCUAAUAACCAUAAGCUCCUCCUUAUUUUAAAUAUUUUUAGUUUUAAAGUUCUGCAUAAGUAGAUGCACUUCUAUCAAGUUUAUUAAUAAUAACUGUGUAUAAAAUAAUUCUUUUGAUAAAUAAUGUAGAAUAUUGUCUACUUUUAUAGUUUUCAUAAGCUCCUCCUUAUUUUAAAUAUUUUUUAGUCUAAAAAUUCUAUAUAAGUAGCAUUACUUGGCAAAAAAUCAUUUGGUAAAAGGAUCCUACAAGUAAAGAGAAUCUUAAGCCUAAGGAAAAUAUAUUAGGGAUGAUUUCACAUAUAUACAAAAAGUAAUUAGGUUACAACAAAUAUAGUCAUAUUUUUAUUUUCAACAAAAAAAAAGUCGCCCAAAAGAAAAUCUUGCAUUUUAGCCAUGUGUGGACCAUGGCUAAAUGGUGAAAAAACUGUGGCUAAAUGACCAUUUUUUGUAAACUAAUAAUUUUAUUAAUCACCCAGGGAAAUUCAUGUAUAACUUCUCGAAUAUUGUAUAUGUAGUGUAUAUAUAAUGUAUGUUUAAUGUAUCAAUAUUGUAUAAAUAAUGUAUAAAUUGUAUCGAUAUUGUAUAAAUGGUAGAUGAACAUUUAUAUAUGAUGUAUAAACAGUUACGUAGUGUAUAUGUAAUGUAUCGAUAUUAUAUACAUAUGUAUUAAUAUUGUAUAAAUAGUUAUGUAAUAUAUCACUAUUGUAUAAAUGUUGUAUAAAUGGGUAUAUAUGAUAUAUAAUCAUCUAUUGGAAGUCAUUCAUUUGUAUGCUAACUAAAACUACAUCACUACUGGCCUUCAACUUCUGUUUCCUUUAACCCUCACUUUUCUCUCCAUUUAUCCUCCCCACCCUUACAAACUCACCACUACAGCCCUAUUGCACACACAGAGCACCAACCACUACUCUUCUUCUUUUCACUCGGCUCUUCUCUCCAUUUUUCCUUUCACACCCUCAAGAUUUCAUGCCUAAUAGAACCAAUUCGGGGAAAAAGGAAAAAGAUAUGAACAUCAUCCACUAACAGAGAACCUUAAAACUAAAAACAACCACCUCCUCUACCAUCUCCAGCUUACUACCACCAGCUGGCCUCCACCAAAACCCGUCGACACACCCUUAUUCAGUAUAGAACAACAAAUUUUUUUAAAGCUUUUAAAUAUAAAGUUAGUUCUCCCCUAAUUUGUCAUUUUUUGGUAAUUAAAUUGACUAUUUAUUAUUCGUCGUGUUACCAACUUUUUGUUAAUAAAAGUGGCCGAACUACAAUGUGUCGUAAUUAUCCCAAUAUAUAACAAAUACGGCUAUGCAAAUAAUUUUUCUUGGAAUUGUUAAAUUUUAAAUUAAUAGGCCAAAGUCCAAAUAACAUUAAUUGAUAUAAAGAAUCUCCAGCAAAAGUUGCUCUUAGAAGGUUGUCCAUGGGAAGAUUAUAUCAUUUAGAUGGGGAUAAAUGGGAUUUGGUGAAGGAUAUUCAUCGUUUAGCUAAUCUUGGAGUCCUUAUCUUAUAUUCCAAGGAUAGUGGUAUGAUUAUUCAAGAGGUGGCAAAGUUAUCUCUCAGUGCUGAAGUGAAGGAGAAGCAGAUGUUGGAUCCUAUUUGGAUGCAGAUCAAGAAUGAUGUAGGUGAGCAGAAAGUGGUGAUUUUUGAUAUUAGUGGUGAUGGUAUCUUGAGGUACCAAAGUAGACUGUAUGUCCCAAUUUUUAUGGGUUGCGAGAAAGUAUUUUGGCCGAUGCUCAUGAGUCACGUUAUACUAUUAAUCUUGGUUCGAUAAAAGUGUAUCAUGAUCUUAAAGAGAUUUAUUGAUGGAAUAAAAUGAAGCAGGAUAUGGCCAAUUUUGUGGCUAAGGCAUGGUAUCUCAACAAGUAAAGGUUGAACACUUAAGGUCCGGUGGAUUGUCUCAAGAAAUUGAGUUUCCAGUGUGGAAGGGGGAAGUGGCCAAUAUGGAUUUUGUUACCGGUCUUCCGCGGUCUCGCCAAUAGUUUGAUUCGAUUUGGGUCAUCGUGGAUAGGAUGACUAAGUCCGCUAACUUAUUGCUAUUGAGGACAAAUUUCACUUCUAAGGAUUAUGCCAAGCUUUUCAUUGAGAAUAUUGUGAAGUUGCAUGGUACUCCAGUUUUCAUCAUAUGUGAUCAGGUUACUAUGUUUCAUAUCACUUUUGGAGGUCUUUUCAACGUGGUUUGGGGACUAAGGUGAUCCUUAAUACCACUUUCCACCUAUAGAUGGAUGGUGAAGCAAAAAGGACAAUUCAGGUCUUGGAAGAUAUGCUUUAGGCUUGUGUGUUGAUUUUGGUGGUAGUUGGGUUGACUUGCCUACAACAACAGUUAUCACUCUCGCAUUGGUAUGGAUCCGUGUUGUGACCAAGCGAACACAUAAGUGUACGUGGUAUCACCAAGUAGUAAAGUGGCCUUAUAAAAGCCAAGUAUCGAUACCUCAGAGACUUGUGUUGACAACUAUUCAAUUCCAAUUUACUAAUGAGAUUAAUCAAGUGCAAACAUAACCACAGAGUUGAGAGUUGUAAAUUCUAAGUUAAGUAAACAAUGUGGUAAAAGUAAAUUUCAUAGAAAAUCAAUAAAGACAAACCCAGGGUUAAGGCUCUACGAACAAUAAAAUUACACUAUUGAACUUCAUUGAUUAGAUUACUUGUCUUGGUCGAUGAUUCACGGGGUUGAUAGUACGACUAUGGUCUUUUGAGCCUCUAGUCACCUAUCUAACUUAGACCCACAACUACAUUGUUGAGUGAGGAUGUGAGAGCUAAGUUAAAUGCAUUCAUAUUUCAUCCCAUAAUGAACCAAAUAGGUCACUUAGGUAUAUUCCUAUCCUUAGUGCAUAUUAUAACUUCAUUCUAUAGAAGAUUACAAUCCUAUUCUAUUUACCCCAUAUUCUAUCCUCAUGUUCCUUCUUUCAAGCUUACAAGAUGACAAUGGAUGUAUUCUAAGGGCUUCGAAUCCUUCUAAUAGUGAUAAAAAGGAUAAAUAAACAAUAAAAUAUAAUAAAUAAUCAAAAUCAAAUCAAUUCAUAACAAUAGUAAUCAUGUUCUUGGCCAUAACCCCAGAAAGGGGCUUUUAGCUGCUCAUGGACAUAACUGUAAUCACAAUAGAUGAAUACAUGAUAAAAUCCAUAAAACAAACAAAAUUUAAUGAAUAAAAACCCUAUUUGAAGUGUUAUCCAGCCUCCCUCAAGGUUUAAAGUUCAUCCAAGGUGUUUUACAACAAGUUUAAGUGUAUUAUUUAUAGGAGGACAAUUCUUGUCGAUUUUGAUAUGGGUCCGCGUCGCACCACUUAUCACGGUACACAGAGUGUGAAAAGUGCCCUAAUCUUGUAUAAACACUGGUUUUUUCCCUUAGUAAUCUCCCUAUGUGUGUAAAUCGAUCCAUAUCAGUUUCUAAGUCCCGCGAUACUCUAGUGAACACCAAGAGAUUCUUUUUACAUCAAAUCUCGUCCCAUGCUUUUGUCCAUCCAUUUCAAGAAUUGUGGUAUUGUUUCCACUUGAUUUACAGAUUUUUAAUCAUUAAAAUAUAAUCAUAACCAACUUACCAAGAAUCUUGUAGCAUUAAACACCACGAAUUAGAGCUUAAAACACCACAAAAUCCAAGACGGUGAACUAGAAACUUAAGCUAAGAAUACUAGUUUUGACGCUUUUGAUCUGUAACUUGGUUUAGAAUCUUGGAUUGAUUCAAUUUAAUAUUAAACACUAGAAACAAAUUUUUCCACACAUAAUUAUACAUUUAAACCAUUAGGAACUCAUUACACCCAUUAGAGUCCAUCGAGAUCAACCACAAUAACACCUAGCUCAAGCUAGUAACACUAGUUUUCUCGUUUGAACUCCAAGUGACCAAUUUUAGCCCAAACUUGUAAGAAAAACACCUUAAACAUUGUAAUCAAGUAAUUAAACACAUAUAUCCUCAAUUAUAUCAUUAUUAACACAUUAAUCAUGCAAGAAGUCCUUGAAAUAAAGCUAAAUAAGCCCGGAUUACAACUCUGUGGUGCAUAAAUCCACCUCAGAUCAUCACCCCACACUUAAAGCCUAGUACAUCCUCGAACAACUCUUUACUAUAAGAAUCAUAAUCAGAGAAGAAUCCAUACUUAUAAUACAAGAAAGACACUCAAGGUAGUACAAUAAUUACUACAUAGAAUGCAAGCCCUUAUACUUUGCAUGUUAUACACAAUUGAAAGUUCAAGAAACCUACUCCAAAUCAUACUAGCCUCAAGAAUUGGCUCACCAAGUUUGAAAACUCAUACAUAUUUCUCAAUCAAAGAUAUCCUACAAAUCAUCAAACUAUCAUCAAACAUGCAUCCUCACCACAAGAGAGUUACCCAUAACCACUUAUAUAGAUGCAACUUAUCACAAAAUGGGUAUAAAAAUCAAGUUAAGCUCCUUCUCACAAAUAAUUCACAAGGUACAUAGGAUGAACCACUGGAUUUCCCUUAGUGUAGUGCUCCACUGAUAUCAUAAUGAUGAAGACUAGGAUCAAAUAGGUCUUUAAGGGUUGUAAUGUAGGCUAAAGGUCGAAUAUAAUCUAUUUUGGCCAAGAAUAGUGAUUAUCUUCCAUAAGAACUUUAAUACAUCACAUUUUUCUUUUAAUGCACCUCUAAUAAUCAAUUUCCACCACUUUUGUAUAUGCAUAUAUUUUGUUUACCCCAUCUCUUAAGCAAGUGGUACUAUCUCAACAUCCUGCAGCUUAAUUUUAUUAGUCAUUAUGUCCUUCAAGUACUUAACAUACUUGCUCAUUCCCCACAAAACAUCUAAAAGAGGAAGGUUAAUGUGAAGCCCUAUAAACAUGUCAAAGAACUUCCUGAAGUAUGCGUCCUCCUUUACUUUUCUAAGCCUCUGUGGAAAUGUUGGUGAUGGUCUGUCCUUAACCUAUUCAAAACUUUUGUUUUCGAUUACUCACACUUCCUCGAAUUAUCAACAACUUUAUCAUCUGCCUAUUGAGAAGCCAACUCUAUAUCUACCUCCUUAGUUUUCUUUGGAGGGAUUUCAUUCAGCUCUUUACCAUUCCUCAAGAUGAUUGGCAUUACUUGUUUAGGAUGUUCAUUAGCACUUGGAAAACUAACUCGAGGCUUGUCAUUUUGUGUCUACUGCAUUUUUCCCAACCGAUACUCCAAAUUCUUCUGCAGUACUUGCUGAUUUUUGAGUUCAGUAGCCAUCUGUUCAUCGGUCGCCAUGAUCUUUUAUUACAUGUCUUGUGUGUCACUAUCCUGUGUGUUUUGUUAUUGCUGCUAAAGCUGUUGUUGUUGGUUGUUAUUCCAGGAUUUAUUUAGUUUCUGAGUUUGGUACUUUUGGUUGUAGGCAUUACCAUAAAAUUUGGCCUUUGAGAAUUUCCCACAAACAUGACUGACUCAGGAUUAACACCACACAUAGCUGCAGAGUGACCAUUAUUUCCACAAAACUCUCACCAACUUAUGGUCUGUUGCACUACAUUCACUUGAGACAUAGUUUGAUUUACACCUAAUUUUCUUAAUUUGGUAAUUAUCUAAUUUUGCAUGGCUAAGAGUUGAGUGGGCAAGGCUAUAACACUAUCAAGUUUAAUCAUACCUGCAAUAAUUUUCAUUGAGCGUCUUGAGAAAUCACUAUUCCAAUCUAGAUUUCCUUGUGCAAUUUGGUUCAACAAAGUAUAUAGAUUAUCAUAUGCCUUUUCCAAUUCUUGACCACUUGUAGCUGAAUCUAGCAAAGUUUUCCUGUUAUGGUAAAGUGCCUCAACAAAGGUGCUAUUUAAUACCCCAUUCGACUACUAAUGAUGUAGACAGUCCCAAAGAAAGACUUUGAACCUCUCCCAAUCAUGAUAUAGGUUUUUAUAUGGUCUUUGUUUAAAGCUCACAAUCUCACUGUGAAGUCUUGCAGACUUUCUAGAUGGAAAGAAGUGGAUAAGGAUCUUCUGGGCUAAGUAAUCCCAAGUUUUUAUUGGACUUAUCGGCUCAACGUUCAACCACUUCUUUGCUUUCCCCAAUAAUGAAAAAAGGAAAAGUGUUAGACUCACAUAGUUAAUUGACACACCCGUAGGGAUGAAUGUGUCACUAAUCUCCAAAAAGUUCAGCAAGUGGACUUCUGGAUCAUCAUGUGAAAACCUAGUGACCUAUCCACUACUGAUCAAAAGCUGCACUAUGUUCUAUUUCUGCUUGAUUCUACAUCCAGAAGCUAAUUUUUGAAUGGAGGAGGUCAAAUUUAUCAUAAAUGGGAUUGCCACUUUGCAAAAGGUCCUAUGGGCUGGUGGGUCCUCAUCCAUGGGGGCAGGAAUAUCUUAUUUUUUAUUGAUUUGCAGGAUGUGGUUGAGAAAGACUGCUUCUCUCCUUUUUUGGUGUAAGCAUUGUUUGGGAUCAGAGUCGAGUUCAACCAACUUCUUAUCCUUUGCUAGCUUAGUAUUCUAUUAAGCUUUUUCCUGCAAAUUCAAAACCAAGACCAAGUGAAAAUCACCAAGAAAAUCCAAAUAAUAGAACUAAAACUAGAGCAGAUUUCAAAUUACAAGUCCCCGGCAAUGCCGACAAGAAAUUAUUGUGCCAAAGCACACACACAAGUGUACGUGGUCUCACCAAGUAGUAAAAUGGUCUUAUAAAACCUAAGAAUUGAUCUCUUAGAGAUUGUAUUGACUACUAUUCAAUUCUAGUUAACUAUUGAGAUUAAUCAAGUGCAAACAUAACCACAAAGUUGAGGGUUUUAAACUGGAAGUAAAGUAAACAAUGCGGUAAAGUAAUGUUCAUAGACAAUCAAUGAAUAAAAACCUAGGGUUAAGUCUCUACGAACAAUCAUACUACACUAUUGAAUUUCAUUGGUUAAAUUACUUAUCUUGGUCGUUGAUUCAAGGGGUUGAUAUUAUGACUAUGGUCUUUCGAGCCUCUAGUCAUCUAUCUAACAUAGACCUAUAACUACAUCAUUGAGCAGGAAUAUGAGUGCUAAGUUAAACUGUAACGCCUCAAAUCUGGUACCUAAAAUGCUACACGGUGCUCGUUACCCCGAAGGACCAUAAGCUAACCCUUAAAUGAUAUUUGUACCUGAACACUACAUAAUAUACUGUAUAAAUGUGGAAAUAAAGGCUAUAAGGCCAUAAGGUUCAAAGAUAUGAGAAAUAAUAUCUGUUAAAAUAUAACGUCUGGGUGGGGUAUGAAAUACCCAAAUCAACUAAAAUAACUAAGUGAACAUUCUAGUCUAAAAAGCCUUUAACUGACUGAACUUUCUGAAUAAAGAGUUGAUGGGACAUGUCCCCAACUAACUCCAACUACUGAAAUAAAUUAAUUAAUGAGAUAAUAAAUUAAUGGCUAUGUCCUUGAAGGAUGAGAACUCACUACUAACUUUGACUGCUGAGACUGGAAUGCUACUGAUGCUCUGGAGCUCGUGCUUCAGAUUCUAUGAUAUAAAACACCAUAGCGUAAAAGCGUCAGUACGUUUGAAAGUACUAGUAUGCAUGUGAGGUAGGCUAAAUGCAAAGGGUUCACAUGCAUGACUACACUAACUAACUGAAUAACAUGAGCCUGAGAAUACAUGCAUGAAUACGUAAAACUGUAACUGAGUUCGUGAUAACAUGAUUACUGAGUCUGAGUACUGAUAACAUGAGAUACUGAUAUCUGUAUAACUAAAACAACUGAUACUGAGCAACUGUAUCUGACAGUCUAGAUUCUGAUGGAACUAGCUAAGUUUUAUACUAUUCUGAGUUGACUGUAUCUGACAGUCUUGAAUCCUGUAGAACUAUCUGAGUUCUAUUAUUGAGACUGAAUGACUGUAUCUGACAGUCCUGAUCUGUAACUGAAACUGUAGGAAGUAGUCAACUAACGGACAUGCCCCAAAUAAAUCAAUAUAGCUGAGGUGGGGUCCAAUCUGUAACCCCAAUUGAAAGGAUAUCACUAUUGCGCCACUGGUAAGGAUAAGUUAUGGGAAACCCUCAUCUGACAGUGUCCCCAAAAGAGAAUGGUGGGGCCCUCAUCUUAUAGUUCUUAUCCACCUCAUCAACCCUUAUCUGACAGUGUUGAUGUCUCAACCUAUGCUGUUUACAUAGUUCUGGAAUGUAAGGAUGACUUCUAAGAAUCACACCCUCAUCUGGCAGUGUGUGUUCCCAUCCUUGGGUUCAUUAGGGCUAAUUCCUACUUCUAUUUGAAUAGACACUGAAUAUGGAUUAUUGAACUGAACUAGACUGAAUUAACUGAGUUUCAUUGAUUGAUAGAAUACUACUGAGGUUACUGAGUUUUCUUGAGUCACUUGACUGACUAAUUUUCUAUGAACAUGGCUUGACUGAGAGUUUCUUGAAAACAUGACACUGGAUCUAGACACACAGCUAAUUAUCAGGUACAGGUACCCCCAUGACUCGAUAGCAUGAAACUGACAAAGCAUGACUUUCUUGAAUACAUGACCAACAUCGACAAUCUAUAAGAUAAUAAGAUAGGUAUUUCAUAAAGUAGAAGUUCUAAAUCACCACAAGGGUUACACAUGUAUCAAUAAUUCACCGAUUAAGACAUUUUAUCAAACAUUUGACAUUCAUAAAUUGGUACAUGAUUGGGGAUUUAAUAAUAUCAUAUAGCAUGGAACUUUUCCUUCACAUAGGCAUUUAAUCAAACACAUGGGGAGUAUUCUUUUGUUAUACAAUCAUAAACACAUCUAAUAAUCAUAGUUACAUCAUUCAACAUGUAAAUUUAAGGGUUUAUCAUGAUUAAUAUACAAAUCACCACAUCCUAGGGUUAAUCAUUGGAAUAUGUAAUUUCAAAUAUGAAUCAAAACCCCAUAACAUCAUGAACAUGAAUUUCAAUUCAAUUUAAAUCAUGAGCAUUCAUAAAUACACAAAUCUUGGAUUUUGAAAAGAGAUUCUUAAGCUUCAUAGGUGAAAGGGACCCAUUAAUCAACACAUACAUACCUGGGUUGUGAGUUUCUUGAAGUUCCUGGACUUGAACAACUUCGAAUCUCUUAUUUGUUUGAAGAAUGAUUUGGAUCUUGUUCUUAGGGAUUAUCUUUGAGAGAAAACCCUAAUUUGAUAUUGUAGAUGAAUAAUGAACUUAUGAGUCUUAGUCUGAUAUUAUUAGGGGUUAAAAUGAGUAGAAAAGGACCAAAAUACUCUUUUAAAAACUACUUCAAAAUAACUAAAUGAACUAUCCAAUGGUGGGCGUGAUGGUCCAUGGCUGGGUCGAUGGUCCAUCGGUCCUGACCGUCGCACCUGGGCAGAAUAGGGGUUCACUGCCUCUGCUGCGAUGGCUUGGGCGACGUUAUGUCUCUAGCUCGAUGGUCCAUCGGACUGAGCAAUUGCCCUUAAGAAAAAUAUGGUCUCACUACCUCUGCUACAAUGGUUUAGCUGACGGUCCAUCGCUAGCUCGAUGGUACGUUGGCCCUCAUCAUCACACCUGGGUAGUUUUGACUGCUUUCUAUAAGAAAGCCAUAACUUUCUACCCCAAUAAUGGAUUUAGACAAAAUUGGUAUUGUUGGAAAGAUAAUACAAUUUCCUACUUGACAAAAUGUGAAAAUAUUAAAAAUUACACGUGUACAAAAGUGGAUUCAUCUUCCAAAGUAAGUUUUUAACAUCCUCGGGAUGAUUUCAAGAUAGGUAGACGUACAGGGUAUUAUAUAAAUGCAUUCAUGUUUCAUCCCAUAAUGAACCUAAUAGGUAACUUAGGUAUAUUCCUAUCCUAAUUGUAGAUUAAAAAUUCAUUCUAUAUAAGAUUACAAUCCUAUUUUAUUUACUCCACACUCUAUCCUCCUGUUCCUUCUUUCAGGCUUACAAGAUGACAAUGGAUGUAUUGUAAGGGUCGAAAAUCCUUUAAAUAGUUAUAAAAAGGAUAAAUAAAAAACCAAAUAUGAUAAAUUAUCAAAACCAAAUCAAUUCAUAACAAUAGUAAUCAUGUUCAUGGACUUUACCUCGAAAAGGAGGCUUUUAGCCUGUCAUGGAAAUAACUGUAAUCACGAUAAAUCAAUACAUGAUAAAAUCCUUAAAAAACUAAAUUAAAUAAAAAAAAUCAUAUUUGAAGUUUUAUCCAUCGUCCCUCAAUUUUUAAAGGUCGUUCAAUGUGUUUUGCACCAAGUUCAAGUGUCCUAUUUAUAGGAGGACAAUUUUUGACGAUUUUGACAUGGGUCUGCGUCGCGCCACUUAUCACGGUAUCUAGGGUGUGCAACGUGAUAUAAUCACUGAUACACACUAUUUUAUGUGAAUUAGGAAGAUCCCUAUUUUUUACAAGAGUCCCAUAUUAGUGUCUAAUCCCCACGCCGUACUAGUGAACUUCAAGAGAUCCGUAUUACAUUAAAUCUUGUCCCAUGCUUUUGUCCAUCCAUUCCUAGCUUUCUAGUGUUGUGUACCCUUGAUUUAAAUAUUAUGUAUCAUCAAUAUAUAAUCAUAAUCAACUGAACAAGAAUCUGAUAGUAUCAAACACCAUGAAUUAGAUCUCAAAAGAACAUAACAUCCAAGAUGGUGAACUAGAAACUUAAGCUAAGAAUACUAGUUUUGCCUCUUUUGAUCUUUAACUUCGUUUUGACUCUAUUCUUGAAUCAAUUGAUUCUUAAGCACAAUAAUCAAGUUUUUCCAUACAUAAUUACACAAUAAAACCAUUAUAAACUCAUUAGAGUCCAUCAAGAUCAACCAUAACAACACCUAGCUCAAGCUUUUAACGCUAGUUUUCUCGUUUGAACUCCAAGUGACCAAUUUUAGUCUAAACUUGUUUGAAAAACAAUUUAAACAUUGUAAUCAGGUAAUUAAAAACAUAGAUUCCCAAUUCUUUAUUAUCACAUUAAGUACACAAAAAGUCCUUAAAACAAAUCUAAAUAAGCUUGGAUUACAAUUCUAAGGUGCGAAAAUCCAUCUCAGGUUAUCACCUCACACUUAAAGCCUUGUUCAUCCUGGAACAAAUAUUCACUAUAAGAAUAAAAAUUAGAGAAGAUUCCACACUUCUACUACUAGAAAGGCACUCAAGCUACUAUUAAAAUGACUACACAGAAUACAAGUCCUUAAACAAGCAUGUUAUACACAAUUGGAAGUUCAAGAACACUAUUCCAAAACAUCCUAGCCUCAAGAAUUAACUCACCAAGUUGGCAAACUCAUACAUAUUGCUCAAUCAAAGACAUCAUACAAAUCACUCAACUAUCAUCAAACAUGUUCCCUCACUCUAAGAGAGUUACCCAUAACCACUUUAAUAGAUGAAAUUUAUCACAAAAUAUAAGAAUUAAGCUAUGCUCCCUCUUACAAAGAAUUCACAAGGUACACAACACGAACCAUAGGAUUGCCCUUAGGGUAGUACUCCACUAAUAUCAGAAUGAUGAAUCUUAGGAUCAACUAGGUCUUUAAGGGUUAUAAUGUAGGCUAAGGGGUGAGUAGGAAUUAUUUUGGCCAAUAAUAGUGACUAUAUUCCUUUAAAUCUUUAAUACAUCACACUUUUUAUUCAAUUCACCUCUAACAACCAAUUUCAACCACUUCUAUCUACCCAUAUCUCUUUUUUCCCCAUCUCCUAAGAAAGUGCUACUGUCUUAACAUCUUGCAGCUUAAUUUUACUAGUCACUAUAUCCUACAAGUACUUAACGUACUUGGGCAUUCUCUGUAUAAUAUCUAAGGGAGGAAGGUUAAUGUGAAGCUCUCUGAAUGUGUCAAGGAACUUCUGGAAGCAUGCAUCUUUCUUUGCUUUUCUAAGCUUCUGUGGAAAUGGUGGUGGUGGUCUCUCCUUAACCUGUUCAACAACUUUUAUUUUUGAUCACUCAGACUUCCUCAAAUUAUCAACAACUUUGUCAUCUUCCUAUUGAGGAUCCAACUCUGCAUCUACCUACUUAGUUAUCUUUGGAGAACUUUCACUCAACUCUUUACCAUUCCUAAAAGUUUUGCCAUUACUUGUUUAGGAGGUUCAUUAUCACUUGGCAAACCAUCUUGAGUCCUAGAAUUUUGUGUCUGCUAUAUUUUCCCCAACUGAUACUCCAAAUUCUUCUACAGUACUUGCUUUUUUGAGUUCAACAGCCUUCUAUUCUUCGGUGUCCAUGAUCUUCUAUAACAUGUCCUCUAUGUUACUGGAUAGUAUGUUUUGUUACUACUGUUAAAAUUGCUGUUGUUUGUUACUGUUCUAUGAUUUCACUGGUGUCUGAGUUUGCCACUUUUGGUUUUAGGUAUUAUGAUAAUUUGGCCUUUGAGCAUUGCCCACCAACAUGACUGGCUCAGGAUUUGUACCAUAUAUAGUUGUAGUAUGACCACUAUUUCCACAAACCUUAUACCAACUUGUGGUCUGCUAAACUGCAUUCACUUGAGCCACAGCUUAAUUGAAACCCAAUUUGCUUAAUUAGGUCAUUAUCUAAUUCUGUAUAGCUGAGAGUUAAGUAGGCAAGGCUCUAACACUAUCAACUUUAAUCAUACCUGCAACCUUUUUUAAUGAGUCUCUUAAGGCAUCUGCAUGCCAAUACAGAUUUUAUUGUGCAAUCUGAUUCAACAAAGUAUAUACCUCAUCAUAUGUCUUUUCUAAUUCUUAACAACUUGCAGCUGAAUCUAGCAAUAUUUUCAUGGUAUGGUCAAGUUUCUCAACAAAGGUGUGAGAUAAUACCUCAUUGGACUACUGAUGAUAUGGAUAGUCCUGAAGAAAAUCUUUGAACCUCUCUUAAGCAUGAUACAAGUUUUCAUUUGAUCUCUGUUUGAAGCUUACAAUUUCAUUGCAAAGUCUCACAGUCUUGCCAGAUGGAAAAAAUUGAUAAAGAACUUUUGGGUUAUGUAAUCCCAAGUUGUGAUUGAACUAGCUGGCCUAGUGUUUAACCACUUCUUUACUUCCCCCAAUAGUGAAAAGGGGAAAAAUGUCAGCCUCGCAUAGUUAGUUGACACACCCAUAAGGAUGAAUGCAUCACUUAUCUCCUAAGUUCUAUAAAUGGCCAUGUGGAUCUUCAUGUGAAAGCCCGGUGAACUCUCCACUACUGAUCAAAAGAUGCACCAUAAUCUGUGUCAGCUCGAAUAUAACUCCAGAAGCUAGUUUUUGAAUAGUGAAGGUUAAAUUUAUUGUAAGUGGGAUUUCCACUUCGCGAAAUAUCCUACGGGAUAGUGAGUCCUCAGCCAUGGGGGCAGGAAUACCUUAUUUUUUGUUGAUUUGGGGGAUACGGUAGAGAAGGACUACUUUUCUCCUUCUUUGGUGUAAAUGUUGUUCAGGUUCAAGGUUGGGUUCAACUAACUCCUUAUCCCUUGCCAGAUUGCUAUUUUGUUAACCUUUUUCCUUAAAAUUUAAAGCCAAUACUAAGUGAAAAGCACCAAAGAAAUUUAAAAAGUAGAACUAAAAUUAGAGCACUUGCCAAACUAUAAAUCCCCAGCAACAACACCAAAAACUUAUUAUGGCCAAGGGCAUACGGAAGUGUACGUUGUCUCACCCAGUAGUAAAGUAGACUUAUAAAGUCCAAGUAUUGAUCCCUUAAAGACUUGUGUUGGUAACUAUUUAAUUAUAGUUUACUAUUGAGAUUAAUCAAGUCCAACCAUAAACACAAAGUUGAGAGUUUUAAACUGGAAGUAAAGUAAACAUUGUGGUAAAGUAAAAUUCUUAGACAAUCAAUGAAGAGAAACCUAGGUUAAGGCUAUAUGAACAAUCAUUCUAUGCUAUUGAACUUUAUUGGUUAGAUUACUUAUCUUGGUCGUUGAUUCACGGUGUUGAUAGUAUGACUAUGGUCUUCCGAGCCUCUAGUCACCUAUCUAACUUGGACCCACAACAAAAUCAUUGAGUAAGAAUGUAAGAACUAAGUUAAAAGCAUUCAUAUUUCAUCUUAUUAUGAACCAAAUAGGUAAAUUAGGUAUAUUCCCAUCCUUAGUGUAGAUUAUAACUUUAUUCUGUUGAAAAUUACAAUCCUAUUCUAUUUGCUCCAUGUUCUAUCCUCUUGUUCCUAUUUCCAGGCUCACAAAAUGACAGUGGAUGUAUUAUAAGGGUUGAGAAUCCUUAAAAUAGUUAUAAAAAGUAUAAAUAAAUCACAAAAUAUAAUGAAUAAUCAAAACCAAAUCAAUUCAUAACAAUAAUAAGCAUGUUCUUGGCCUUAACCCUGGAAAGGGGGCAUUUCGCCACUCAUGGACAUAACCGUAAUCAAGAUAGAUGAAUACAUGAUAAAAUCCAUAAACAAACUUAAGUAAGGGAAUAAAAACCAUAUUUAAAGUAUUAUACAUCCUAUCUAAAGGUUUAAAGGUUGUCCAAUGUAUUUUCAAUCAAGUUCAAGUGUCCUAAUUAUAGGAGGACAAUUCUUUCCGAUUUUGACAUGGGUACGCGUUGCGCCACUUAUCGUGGAACCUUGGGAGUGAGAUUCACACUAAUCAAGGAUACAAAUUUUUUGAUUAUUAACCUCCCUAUUUUUGACAUGCAUCCUAUAGAAGUGGCUAAGCUCCGUGAUGAGCUAGUGAACUCCAAGAGGUUUGUUUUACGUAAAAUCUUAUCCCAUGCUUUGCUCCAUCCAUUUCAAGCCUUGUGGUGUUGUUUCCACUUGAUUUACAGCUUUUAUAUCAUAUAUAUAUCAUCAGAAUAAACUCACAAGGCAUACUAUAUCAUCUAAACCACAAAUUAGUGCUCCAAACAACACAACAUCUAAGAUGGUGAAUUAGAAACUUAAGCUAAGAAUACUAGUUUUGCUUCUUUUGAUCUUUAACUUAGUUUUGUUUCUUGGAUUGAUUCAAUAGAUUCUUCAACAAUAUAAAAAAGUUUUUCACACAUAAUUACAUAAUUAAACAAUUAUGAACUCAUUACACACAUUAUAUUCCAUCGAGAUUAACUUGAACAACACCAAGCUCAAGCUAGUAACACUAGUUUUCUCGUUUGAGCACCAAGCGACCAAUUUUAGUCCAAAAUUGUUUAAAAAACACCUUAAACAUUGUAAUCAAUUACUUUAACACCUAUAUGCUCAAUUAUUUCAUUAUUAACACAUGAAACACAUAAGAAGUCCUCAAAAUAAAGGUAAAUAAGGAUGGAUUACAACUUUGAAGUGCAUAAAUCCACCUCAGAUCACUCCAUUUGAUGGCUUAUAUGGUAAAAGAUAUGAAUCUACACUAUGGUGGUUUAAGGUUUGUGAAAAUAAUUUUCUUGGUCUUAAUUUGGUUCACUAAGCUAUGGAGAAGUUGAAGGUAAUUCGAGAUAGAAUUAAGGCCGCCUAAAGUUACCCAAAGUCCUAUGCAGAUAUGAGGAAAAGAGAUUUGGAGUUCAAUAUUGGUGAUUAGUUAUUUUUGAAGGUGUCCUCCAUUAAGAGAGUGAUGCGGUUUGGUAUGAAGAGGAAGCUCAGUCCCCGUUAUAUUGGUCCAUACAUGGUUUUGAAGAGGGUUGGUAAUGUUGCAUAUGAAUUAGAGUUUCCCUCUAGUUUGAACUCCAUUCAUCCAGUGUUUCAUGUUUCACUAUUGAGAAAGUGAAUAGGUGAUCCUUUGCUGGUUGUUCCUUUGGAGGAGGUGGGUAUCUUAGAUUCCUUGUCAUAUAAGGAAGUCCUAAUUGAGAUUUUGGAUCAGCAAGUCCGUCGAUUGUAGACCAAGUAUGUGGCAUUGGUAAAGGUUCUUUAUAGGAACCAAAAGGUUGAAGAAGCUAUGUGGGAAGCCAAUGAGGACAUAAACACCAAGUAUCCGUACCUAUUUCUCAUUCCGGAUAAUUGUGCUUGAGGUAUGAUUAUUCUUUAACUUUGUUUUCUAACUUUGUUAAAGAAUAUUGUGAUUUCCUUAGUAUCUUUGUUUUUUUAUCUUUGUUAAAGGUAAGAGUAGUGGUAGUAUUUGCAUUUAAAUCGUGCUAAUAAAUUCCUUGUCUUACCAUUUGAGGAUGAAUGAUCCUUAGGGAGAGUAUGUAAUGCCUCGAGUUUUUGGGUCUUGAAAAUUUUCCAAGUUCUGAACUCACUGCCUUAGUAACGAUUGGACCCCAUGAGUCAUUGUGUAUCUUGAUAGUUCAUUGGGAUAAGUCGUAACUAUAUCAGUAAUUAAGUGGCUAAGUUCUACUCUGAUGAUGAGUUAUAAGGAGUGGCUAUGAGUCAAUAGUUGACCCGUAGUCAAUAUCGGCGCUUUAUCAGUUUUCAAGUUAAGAGCAUUUUAAUGGAACCAUUGAAACUUUAAUCCGAGAUUUGACUGUGUGGGGCCCAUAUGUAUAGUUCUAUUUCUGACAUAAUUCGCCCAAUAUGCUAAAAUAAGUCAACUGUUGGAACUUUCACUAUUUAGGAUUUGGUCUCGGGUCAACUAUUAGAGCUUUUAUUUGUUACUUCAAGACUCAUUUAUACUAUUGGGAAAUUAUGUUAUAAAUGGAACUAUACGUAUGGGCCCCACACUUAGUUAAAAUCUCAGAUUAAAGUUUCAAUGGUUCCAUUGAGCUUAGAAUAUCAAAUUUGGUAUAGUAUCAUAGUUUGUUAGUGUGCAUGGGGUUCCAAGUAAAUGUCGAGCACCCAUUCAAAGUCUGUUUUGGACAUGGUAAAAGUUUAGUGCAUGGCACCUAAUAGGUCUACUUUAACAUCCAUGGGAUGCUUUAGCGGCCCUGGCCCAUUAGCAGUGGCGCACUUUAGCACCCAAUGGCCUCUAAAGCGGUGCCUUCCUUAGCGCUAUUGAGGUAGCUUUAACAACAUCAACAACUUUAUGCCAGACCGCUUUAGCAUCCAGGUAUUUGUUUUAAUGGCACCAGUAGCCUAUUUAUCCUCUUUCCCCCACCUAAUUUUCUACCUUUUAUUCCAUAAUUCUUAUACCAAGGUGAGAGAUCAAAGAGAGGAAAAACUGGGAAAUCUACCACAUAAGUUAAAGUAAGCUAACCUAACUCUUCUUUGUCACUUCCCAUUGAUUUUUCCUUUGACUUCCAUCCAAAUUCUUGGUAAAAGUCUUAGAUAUUUGGUCUUAAAUUCCUAAAUUUUUAGGGUUGAUUAAAGACCCGAUUUGUGCUUGUUUGUGCUCAACUUUUGAGCAUACAUUCCUUGUCCAUUGAGGGACCUCAUGAGGGGUUCAAUUUUGGAUUCUAUUUGUUGGUCUUGUGGGCUCGUUCUUGACCCAAAAUUAGAGCAAACCCUUAUUACAGAAAUAAUCAUCUUAUUAACUCCUAAAAAUAUAAAUAUUACCAUUUUAAUAACGUGAUGACAUUUCGGGAUGUAUGGUGAAGACAAAUAAUUUGUAGGCAAUUCAAGGGUUACGAUUGCAUUAAGGUAAGCUUCAAUCUAAUAUUUUUCUUAAAAUGGUGUUUUAUACAUGUUGACUAUUAGAUGGAGAUGUUAGAAGGUGAUGUUGGGUAGAACACCAUGACUUAACCUAAAUUAUGAAUUUAUCGACUAAAAGGGUAACUGACCCUUAAGGUGAAAUACUUAUUAUGCUUCUACGAUCUUAUUACCUUAGGAUUCUAAUAAUGUUAGGAAUAUUUGAGACUAAUAACCCUUUAUUAUAAUAAUUAAUACUUGACUCAGUAGAUUGUAAUGGUUUUCCUGGAUUAUGAUGUUAUGGUUAUGUCAUAUAUGUAUUAAUGGGCUGAAGGCCGUGAUUAUGAUAUUGGUUGGAGUUUGGGAAGAAUUUUAUCCUGGUAAAGGACUUGGCCAUAGUUUAUCUCUUAUAAUUGUAUUGAUUGUAUAUAGUUAAUGGCAUUUAUAGAUUUGGUACAUUCAUGAUUAUUUAGAUGGCACAUGGUACGAUUCCAACUAAAAUAUGGUUCCCGCUAUUCACUUUUAAAAUGGAUUUCUUCAUAAUGGAAUUGUAACAUCUUAAUGAAUAACUUAUGAGCCUUUGUGAGUAAAAAUGACGUUAUUAAGAUUUGACCGAGAUAGAUUCUAUUCUAUGAUUUGUCCACUACUGUUUACCUAGGUUGAGAGAGAUUCUGACCCUUUUUACAUAUUUUAAUGAUUUAGUCCUAUAGUUUACCCUGGUUAAUGGAUUUAUGGACUUAGACUCUUUUUGCUACGUUCUAGCCCAUUCAUUUAUUAUGUAUAUAUAUAUAUAUAUAUCUGAUACUAGAUAGAGUGGAUUGACAAUGAUGAUAAUUAUUGGAAAUCAUGGAUCGAGACUAGGUUAGUGUUUAUGAGUACUCCUGAACUCUUUAGCAUCCCCUUCGUCUGUAAGCCAUCUGUCGGAGAAGAGACGUCAUUGUAGGUCCUGCCUUUAGGAACCAUUGAGAUAGAGGAGGUAUAUACACUAGGUUUCAUUAUAGUACUUAGAUCAGUUAUGGUAUUAUGGACUUACUUGGCAUUCAUUUUUGCAUGCACAUUCCUUUUCACUAGUAUGCCCUAUAUCUAUCAGUCUUAUUAGGGGUUGAAUAGGUACAUGUAUGAGUACUUUUUGCAGUAUAUUAUGUGUUACUUGUAUCUAUUAUCCUUUUAGGUUGUUGCAUUGGUAGAGGCUAUGACUGUUGUUUUUUAAGUGUUGAUUGAACCUUCCGAGCCUAUGAUGGUGGUAGUUUAUGAAAGACUCAUUUAGGUAUUAUUUGUUUGAACUAGAUGGUUACUUUAUGUUGUUAUUGUUAUUAUGGUUAGUUUGGGACAAGUUGAUUAUUAGACUAGUAUUGAGAUUUGAGGUAUGUUUUCGAAUUUUUUAUUUUAUAGUUAUUUUAUUAUGCAUGAUUACCCCAUGGUUAGGUAUUAUAGGUUUGGACCCUUAUUAUGUUAGAUAUAAUUCCUACUUUGAUUAGGAGGCCUUGAGAUGCUUGUGUGGUUACUUAGGUUGUACCUUUGAGUUAGCUUUGUUUGGGUAAAUUUAUCUAUCUAUAAUAGUUAUGGUAUUAUCGUAUAUCCCUCUCUUCCUUCAUUUAUUCAUGUUGUUUAUCCAUUCCUUGGCCUUGUAUAUAGAUAUACAUAUUCAUCUUCUAUUCUUUAUUUGUAUAAUGUCUAGUGAUAUAUGGAUAGUUCUUAGGUUCCUGAGUAUGGCUAGAAUAGAAAAGUUUAUCAUUCUUAUCUCCUUAGAUUUACCUCGUUAGUUUCUUGGAUAUUUUGGUGUAGUUUAUAUUUAUGAUUGCAUAAUAUUUAUAUUUGUAUUGUAUUAGAUCUCAACCGACAGUUGCCUGCUAAGUACCACGUGUUUAGUAUUCAUACUACAUUCUGUAGCCUGCAGAUCAUAUAUGGGUUCAUGCUGUUGUUGUGUGCAUCGAGUGGAGCUAAUAUGGUUUUGAGACCUAGGGUGAGCUCCCAGCAUUUUGAGUAUUACUGUUCUCCCUCUUAUAUACUAGACUAAUCUUUGCGUUAUCAUUAGAGAUGAGUUGUAUUAGUAUAUUCACUUAGUAUCUCAUUUUGUAAUGUUAUUACAUUAGAAGCUCUUGUACUGAUUCUACCAAGUUUUGGGGCUAUUUUUCGUUUUUCAAUCUUAUACUAUAUUUAUUCUACAUUAUUCCUACAUUUCUCUUGGUAGUCCAUUAUUAUUAGUUCCAACUAUGGGUUGUUUUACCUACUGGUGGAUUAUAAUAUGUUCCAUCAUGACUUGAGAAUUUAUGUUUUGACAAAUUAAUAUCAGAGCCUAGGUUUACCGGUGUGUUGGUACAUAAGCUAAGUGGCUAGGAGAGUCCUAUGGAUCGCUGUAGAGAUAUCCAUAAUGUAUCUUCAAGAGGCUACAAGGGAAUUCUUAGGUAAUUUUAUUCUUGACUCAUUGCCAUGUAUCCUUAAUUCUAUAAACCUUAAAUAUGUCCUUUGUCUCUAUUAUUUUCUAGAUGGAUGAUACUAGGUGUCUCUAUGUGAUUUUGGCAUGUAUUUCUAGAGCUUCAAUGCAGCGUCAGACCCAGGAGUCAAGGAUAGAUGUCAAAGAUCUUCAGCGUCAAUUAGAGCGUUUAGGUCCAACCCAAGCUUUGGUAGAGUUUGUCACUGCUUUAGUCUUUUGAGGUUCAGCAUUAGGGAUUGAUAAUGCUCUAAUAUACCUUAUUAAUUUGUAGAGGAUGGUUAUUGUCAAUAUCUCAACUUACGUUGAGGUCGAAUCGACGAGGAGCAAAAUUAUAAUUCUAGUCCUAUUGGUGUUAACACUUCCUAAUAAGAUACCUAAAGUGUAAAUAAAGUAAAAAUAAUGAUUUAAAUUGGGGGGGGGGGUUGGUUGGUUUUCGCAAGUGUUUAUCAAUAACAACUCAAAAUAACGAAUUAAAACAACAAUUGUUAUUUAAAUUCAAUAUGAGAGAAACUUGGGAUUAUGUCUACCUAAGGUCAAAUUAUGCAUGGGUGCAUGAAGAUUUAUUGUACAUUAUAGUUAUCGAAAAUAUGGUAGGCUAGGUCGAAGGUCCAUUCGACUAGUUUGUCAGUAAAACCUCAAGGACAUCACUCAUUGACCCUUUCGAGUACCUAACAAGUGUGUCAAUUACAACCACCUAAUACCUCAAUUGGGCAUCCCUAUUUUUAAGAAGAUUCCCAAGAUAUAGUCAACUUCCAAAUCACCCUUAGUGAAAAUUAGCAAAUUACAUCCAUUAACUAUUUACUAUUGCUUUGUCACCCAUAUCCCUCUUUCAAGGAUGAUAUAGCUUCCAAAAGUUGACCCAAACUCCUCUUUCAAGGAUGGUGUGAGCUUUCAAGAAUUUAGGGUUUUCACCCAUAAACCCAUUUUGGGUAUUUGGGGCUUUCACCCACAAAUCCCAACUAAUUAAACCAAGCAAUAGUGAAACCCAUUAUCUAAAAACUAACAUAUACACAAAUACAUCACAACCCAUACAUAAUUGCACCUUAGUUCAACAUAACCCAAGAUAAUGGAAGUUUAGCUACUCAUGAAGAAAAGAGAAAAAAAUAUACCAUAGGGAUUAUUCAAACUAUUCAUCCAUCAAUUACACUGAAUUCAAAGUCUCCAAAUCAAAAUACAAUUCUUGCCCUAAUUAGGGUUUAAAACUUCAUAUUCAAACUGUUCCAAUAGUGUAGAAUGCCCAAAAGAGAAAAGGUUUUAGCCUCUAAAGGAAUUAGGUUUGGCUGAAUGAAAUUAAAAAACUGCCCUUGGGCAUAUUCCCGUAUAGCUGCGAUUGCUGGAUCUUGUCCACAAUCAAAGCACCUUGACCUCGCUUGACUGGCCACGAUCAAGGUAACUGAGGCUUAUUUCUGCUUUAGGUCUUUUAGCUUCACUUCUUUUCUACUUUUUGAUCCUUUUUAGCUCGCAUCCACAUCUUUCCCUCACCUAACCUGUAUGCCUGUAAAAUAUGUAAAUUAGUGCAUUUAAUCACAACUUUGUCUCACUUAUACAUUCAAAGCAUAGUAGUGUACUUUAAUGUUGAGUACAAAUGAGUAGUAAAUUCACCACUCAUCAACACCCCCAACUUGAAUUUUUUCAUGCCCUCAAGCAACACUACCUCUUACCAUGAGAUAAUGCACAUGUAUACCUAAAUUAUAUGACUCAAUGACCACAAUGACUUUAAGCUUAGUUACUAACACAAAUAGCUCUUUAAACACGGGCAAUGCUACUCCCACAACCUCCCUCAACAUGAAAUGCAAUGUUCAAGGGUGCAAAAGACUUCAAAGAGAAACCUUGCAACAAUCUCUAAUACUCUAGAAGUGACUCACCUUUGACCUCAACUCCAACAUACUCCUUUUGCCUCAUUUUUCUGGAGAUGAUAAAAUCACUCACCUCAACUUAUGUACAUGCGUCUUCACAAGAAGGAAAAUUUCACACACCAAGUUGUCAAAUAUUCAACAAGGUAUUUUAAGUGAAAAUCUCUCUCUAUCACAAGAAUUCUCGAUGCGAACAAGUACCAUGCCAUAGGCUUUCCCCUAUUUUCAAUCGCCACUACAAUGAAUACACUUGGUUGGAGAUCUCGAAGGGAUUUUUGAGUUUGUAACAUGGGUUUGGGGUAGGGUAUGAUAUAAUUUAGGAACAACAUGGACAUAACCUCUCGAACAUAUAUAUCACACUACUUCAUCCAACUUUUGAUCAUGGCACUUCUUUUGUUUUCACUUUUUACACAUGUGCCUACUUUUAUUUCCUUGGUUCACCCAUUUUCUUUUCAUUUCUUUUUUCUUGCACACUUCGUGCUCUUUUUUCCUUUGUUGGAUCCUAUCUUUUUCUUAUUCAUUUUUUCUCAAUGCUUAAUCUUUAAGGCACUUACUUACAAUUUGGUGGUCCAAAGUUACCUCUUCUAAUCUUCACCACCCCAACUUUGGCGUUUAGCCUCAAGUUGUAUUUUUAAGUUUAAGAAAGGUAGGGUUCAAAAGAGGGAUAAAAAUUGAAUGCCUCACAUGUUGCAUUAUGUUUUCCAAAUAAAGAUCCAAAGGUUCAAAUUGGGUGACUAGUGAUAAUAUCUAAGAAAGGGUAGGCUUUUAAGCUAGAGUGGACUUCUAAUGUCGCUAAGAUGGCCUAGGAUCAUCUCACCAACCAAGUACAAUCAAGAUUAUCCUUGAGAGACUAAUGGGGUAUGUUCUAGAUGGUAUAAGUGUACAUGAGCUUUGGACAAAUAAGCUCACUGUACAUGGCAUGCUAAUUUGCCAAGGAGGCUAAAUUGCCCCUCCCGCUAGAGACAAAAAUAGAGCAUCUGUCAAUUUUCACAAGCCAAAAUUUUAGAUUCAUAAAAGGAGAAAAUGUAUUAUUACAAAGUCACUCACAUCUAUGCCCUUAAUUUUUGAAAAAUAUUGGACGGAAGGGGUGUUUUCUUUGCAUUUGCACCACACACAAUUUUCUAAUUAUGGAACCAACCCAAGCCUUUGUCUCACAUUUUGGUUUCCAUAUGGGCAAACCAUAAGGCUAUUCAGACUUCACCAUAGGUGUAAAUGUGAUCCCAAAUCCAAAAUGCCACAGUUACUCAUAUUUUCCAUGCAUUUGUGACCUCGAUACCACGAGUACUCAAACUUUCCCUGCAUCCAUGACUCAAAACCCAAUCACUAUGCUUUGUCUCUUAAGAAUGUCAUCAUUCAGUCUAUCAUAGGGAAAAGCUCGUCCAAUAUCUCCAAUCACAAAAUAAAGAUAAAGUAGAAAUCUAAAAAAAUGAUAAAUCUAUGAAAAUAUGGGCCCCAUUCAAGUCCUCGAAUAUUACAACCCAAAGAAAAAUAAUAAAAAUCAUCCAAAAGAACAUAAAAACAUCCAAAAAUAUUAAUAAUACAUACCCAAAUAAAAUAAAUAUGGAGACAGGCACCCCCAAGCAUAAAGAGAGAUAGGGGUGCUCCCAGAAACUAUAUCAAGAGCUGAUAUUACUCUGGGUCUGUGCAUUAUCAUCAGCAUCCUCAAGACUGGACCACACGGUUGGGUCUUCAUCAUUGCUCUCCACUCAGUAUAAAGGAAGUCUAUCAUGGGGUUUUAGGACCUUCCGUAGGCCCUUCACCCCCUUCUACAUAUUACUGAAGAAUUUAUCUCUAUUCUUCUCCUUUUUUUUUACCAUCUUCUCAUGUGAAACACAAAGAUCUCAAUGUAACGCUGCCAAGGACUAGUAUACUCUCUCAAGCCUAGAAAUGGUAUCUCCUUCUUUCCUCUGGUCCUCCUAAUACUUCUCAUAAUCAGAUCGGGACAUGUAUGAGUGACAGGUGGUGAAGGGCUCUCCCAAACCCUGGGACAAACCCUAUACAAGCUCCCUAAUGGCCAUAAUAUCAACACCAAUAUCCUUAAAAGGCCUAGUGGUGGAAGUUCUACAAAUCUUAGGCUCCUUACAUAUCGACUUUCCCAAGUCUAUCUUCCUGUUCUUGAUCUUGCCCGGUGUGCCCUCACCUUGAAUUUUUAGAGGAUAGAUAGGGGUGACCUAAGAAUAUCUAGGGUACUCUUCAACCUUAUCUCUCCUACAAAGCUCAAUAAUCAAAGAGGGAAAGGAGAGAUGUGUACCACCCUAGUUCUUAAAUUAUUUCAUGUUAGAAAUCAUGAGCUGACCAACAUUCAAAGGAAUGUCAUCUAGAAUGCAAGAAACCAUUCAAGUCCAUAAAUCAGGAACUGUUGUCUUGUGCGUACAAAGGGAGACUCAACUACAUAUGAUGUUAAACCAAAUCCGAGCCUCGACAGUGAAGUCAUUCAUGGAUAUGUUUCUCUUGGUCACCACCUAAGAGACUUACUUUUUGGGACAUAGUAUUUAUUCCAACCAUCUUCAUGGCUCACACCCUUUUUCUUUAAACUCACCUAUUUUUUUAUUUAGAUGCCCAUAGGUAUCAUUGAUUUGUUCUUCCCCAAAGUUCACCUACUUUCCCCAAAUCCAGAUAAUCAUAUUGGAUCAGUCUGAGAAAGUACUAUGCAAAGGUUAGUGUAGAACUCAUAGACCUAUUGUGCAUUUGCCUUUCAAGGAUCUGGGGAAAAGCACCGCCACCCCGAGGCCACAAGACUGUCAUGAAAUGCCAAAAGCUUUUUCAAUAAUUUCAUUAAGCAUAUUCCCCUCUCCAGGAGUAGCUUUGUCCUUGAAAGAUCACCAUAGUAAAGAGUGUGGCACUUUGGUGCCAUGAAUCAGACUUGGUCGUAUUCUUCCAUGCUAUGAUCCUGAAAAACAUGAGAACAAUGAAACCAUAUUAAUCAUUGAAAUUUGUAUGUAUAAACUAAGCCACGUUGUUCACUAAAGCUCAAUUAGUGAUUACUUGGUGGUGUUUGGAAAAAAAAUUAGAGGGUAGAAUUUUUGGCCCAGGCAAAAAUCAGCCUUAGUUACCGCAGUCGCGGUCUCGGUGACCACGAUCCCGGUAUCUACGACUGAUUUCAUGCCAAAAUUUCCAAUGCCCAAAAAUUGAAAUUUUUAGCCAAAACAUAUUCUACAACAAGAAUUUGCAUUGAAAUCAUUGAACAAGUUUACUAGGUACUCGAUUAUGCCUUUAGAAUGAAAGAAAAACCACUAGUGAAUACUCUUUUGGGAAUUUGAUCAUACACUUGGUGUGCACCUUUCAGUUUUCUCAACUUCACACACAAUUUGAGUACUCAAUGUUUCCCCAUGCCCGUGCACUCCAUAUUCUAGAAGCUAACCAACACAUAAGUUCAUUUUAAAACAGAUUUAUCAUUGAAAACCAUAGAUUUAGGUAUUCCCCAUAACAUGCAUUGUAUGUCCUAUUUUAAAUAAUUAAAGCUUGGAUUCAAGACAUUUACCAGAGGGGAAUUAUGCAGGAGGAUGCUUUAAUGCUUUUGAAUUCCCAAAUUGUGCCCAAUAUUGGGUGCAAUUUGAGAGGAAAUUUGAGAAAUCAAAAUGACAAAAAUGGGGCAUUCAGAUGUUCUUUUAAGCAGACUCAACUGAGAUUGUGUUCAGGGGUUUGCGAUCGCGGACAUGUGGGUAACUACAAUUGCAAAUACGUUCUCGCAAUUGCGGUAAAUGAGGGAAUUAUUGCACCUCUGUUUUCCCUUGUUCAGCUUAUUACUCAUUUUGACACAUUUUCCCUUGUUCAGAUCACUAAGCAAAAAUUUCACUCUUUCNNNNNNNNNNNNNNNNNNNNNNNNNNNNNNNNNNNNNNNNNNNNNNNNNNNNNNNNNNNNNNNNNNNNNNNNNNNNNNNNNNNNNNNNNNNNNNNNNNNNNNNNNNNNNNNNNNNNNNNNNNNNNNNNNNNNNNNNNNNNNNNNNNNNNNNNNNNNNNNNNNNNNNNNNNNNNNNNNNNNNNNNNNNNNNNNNNNNNNNNNNNNNNNNNNNNNNNNNNNNNNNNNNNNNNNNNNNNNNNNNNNNNNNNNNNNNNNNNNNNNNNNNNNNNNNNNNNNNNNNNNNNNNNNNNNNNNNNNNNNNNNNNNNNNNNNNNNNNNNNNNNNNNNNNNNNNNNNNNNNNNNNNNNNNNNNNNNNNNNNNNNNNNNNNNNNNNNNNNNNNNNNNNNNNNNNNNNNNNNNNNNNNNNNNNNNNNNNNNNNNNNNNNNNNNNNNNNNNNNNNNNNNNNNNNNNNNNNNNNNNNNNNNNNNNNNNNNNNNNNNNNNNNNNNNNNNNNNNNNNNNNNNNNNNNNNNNNNNNNNNNNNNNNNNNNNNNNNNNNNNNNNNNNNNNNNNNNNNNNNNNNNNNNNNNNNNNNNNNNNNNNNNNNNNNNNNNNNNNNUCCCUUUCUCAAACUAAUCCAACACAUGCUAUAGUGACAUAAUUGCAUGGAUUAUUUAAUUGACAAUGUUAAAAUAUACACUACAAAAUUAAAAACAAAGGAUACGAGCCCCUUUUGUGGCAUUUGUAGGUUGCCUCCCACAAAGCGCCUUAGUUUUCAUUGUGGCACGAUAUGUUCCUUCUUCCUCAAGUUGGGUCCUCAAGGGACUCAUCAUUUAAUUCCUCAACUUAAACAUCUAUCAGCAAUACCACUCAAAGCUCUAUAGGUUAUUUUCUUAUUUUGCAUACUCAAAAGGACACUUCACCAUCAUGAACUAUAAACUUCAUUUAGCCAAGCUCCAAAUCAAUAAUGGCUCUCCCAGUGGCAAGAAAAGGUCGUCCAAGGAUGUUAGGUACCUCUUAGUCCAUUUCACAAUCUAGCACCAUAAAAUUUACCGGGAGGAUGAAUCUAUCCACUUUUACUAACAUGUCGAACACAAUACUAACCAGUUUCUUGAUAGACCAGUUUUCCAUCAAAAGCCUUAUUAAUGUUGGAGUAGGGGUUCCCAAGCCAAGCCUAUUAUAUAUUAUGAAGGGCAUGCGAUUUAUACUCACACCAAGGUCACAUAAAGCCUUUUCAAACUUAUGUGUCUCGAUAGUGCAUUGAAUUCUAAAAGCUCUUGGAUCUCCUUUCUUUCCCUCUAUCUCACUAGCCAUCAUAGCACUACACCCAUGAGUAACUUAAAUGGUAUCACUCUUAACAAGCCUCUUCUUGGACAUCAAAUUUUCAUAAAUUUAGCAUAUCUCAAGAUAUUUUGUAUAGCCCCAAGCAAUGGGAUAUUAAUGGACAGGUUUCUAAGCUUAGCCAUGAAUGUUUUAAAUUUAGCAUUAUCCUCAUUUUUUUAAGCCUUUAAUAGAAUGGAGAGAAAACUAUCAUGGUGGGCAUUGGAUCACUUCUCAUAUCAUCAUUUACAAAUAACUUCAGAUCACCCUCUUCACUAUCAACUUAUUCAUUCAGCAGCUCAUUUUCACCCACAUUAUCUCCUCAACUUCCUUUAAAUGAACAUGAAGAGUCUUACAACUCCUAGUGAAUAUUGACGAUACUUGAACUUUAUUUUUUGGCUCAUAAUAGUGUCACUAGAAAGACCCUUUUUGGUCUAGCAUUUAAUUGAGUAGAGAUUUGCCUGAUUUGUGUUUCUAAUCAUUUGAUAGAAGUGGAGUGGUUCACAACUAUUUGGUUGAGUUGCAAAAUAUUGCCUUUAAAUUCAUGAACUAUUUUGUCCGUUCCCUCAACUUUCAUUAAAAUUCUUGCUAAGACAUCUUUUAUUUUGUAUUUAUCGGGCUCGAUAGAGCUACCUUCUUUGUUCUUUGCCUGAUCAUAAGGAGGCACAUAAAAAAUCAAAGAGGAGAAAACAUAUUUUCGAGAUCAGAAUCGGUAUCUAAUGAAUUCAAUAGUUCCAGUAAAAAUGAAAGAAAAAUAAAAAAAAUGACAUCACAACGAGAUCCUAAUCUCAAAACAAAAAGAAAGGGGGAUAUGGCAAAAUCGAUAGGUGCUACGGACUUAAUUGGAUUGAGCUUUGGUAUGGAAGCUUACUAAGUGAUCACUUUUAAAUUUAGAGAAACCCUGGAAUGAUAAAAAAUGGGCAUUACUGAGCCAAAUCCCAUAUACGUGGGGUGGGAACCCCCCGAAUAGCUGGCCAAAUAUCGAAUCUCUUCAUCAAGAUUCUUGGCCUCUUCAUCAUCAUACGUCUUGGAUUCUAGGACAUUCACUACUUUUCUGGGUGUACCCAUCAUAUGCUUCAUCAAAAGCUCCACUUGAGUCAUUACUUUUGCCAUAUUAUCUUCUCUAUCCUUAUCUCUCUUUCUUUGUUCCUUAUUAACUAUAGAGGUAGUAGGAGAUACUUUUAGUACCUCAGCAUCCUGGGUAUUGCAUCCCAGGUUUUUCUUGGUAACUUUCUCCACCAAAUUUGAAGCCACAUGAUAAUUCAACUUCAUAAAAGAGCCCCCCGCCGCAUUGUCUACCGUAGUUUUGUUGAGCGUAUCAUGAGCCCUGUAGAAGAUUUGGAUAAGCAUCUUCUCUAGGACAUUAUGGUUUGGACAAUGCAUGAGUUUUCCAUUAAAUUUUUCCCAUACCUCGUACAAGGGAGAUCUAUUCAAUUGCCUAAUGUUCAUGAUCUUAUCAGGCAAUUGAAUCAUUUUGGAUGCUGGGAAAUACUGGUCAAGGAAGACCAUAUUGAGUUUAUUCCAUGUAGUGAUUGAUCCAUCUGAAAGAGAGUAAAGCCAUAGUGUCGCCUCUCUCAUUAGAGAAAAUAGAAAGUGACGAAGAUGGAUAGACUCUUGGGUUAUGUGUGCAAUAUCAAAGGGUAUACACACUUUUAUGAAGUUCAUCAAAUGCAAGUUGGGUUUCUCAUAGGCUUGUCCCCCAAAAACUCCCUUCAUUGGUAGCAUAUGCAAUAUAACGCUCAUGACAUGAAAAACAUCAUUUCCAUGAGUAGGACAAUAACAACUAAAACCAAUGAAUUAAAAUAACAAUUCCGAUAUAAAUUCAAUAUGAGAGAAUCUUGGGAUUAUGUCAACCAAAGGGAAAAUUAUGCAUGGGUGCAUGAAAAUUUAGUGUACAUUCUAGUUAUCAACAAAGUGGUAUGCUAGGUCGAAGGUCCGUUAGGCUAGUUUGUCAACAAAACCUCAAGGAUAUAACUCGUUGACCCUUUUUAGUACCAAAGAAGUGUGUCAAUUACAACCACCUAUUACCUCAAUUGGCCAUCCCUAUCUCUAGGAAGAUGCCUAAUAUAUAGUCAACUUCCUAAUCACCCUUACGUCUAAGAUAGUAAAAAUUAGUAAAUGAUGUACAUUAAUUGUCCACUAUUACUUUGUCACCCAUUUUCCUCUUUCAAGGAUGAUAUGGGUUCAAAAAGUUCACCCAAACUCUUAUUUCAAUGAUUGUGUGAGCUUUCAAGAAUUUAGGGUUUUCACCGACAAACCUAUUUUGGGUAUUUGGGGCAUUCUCUCAAAAAUCCCAACUAACUAAACCAAGAAAUAGUUAAACCCAUUAUUUAUAAACUAACAUAUAAAAAAUAUAUCACAACCUACACAUAAUUGCACCUUAGUUCAGUAUAAUCCCAAGACAAUGAAAGUUUAGCUACUCAUGAAGAAAAGAGAAAGAAAUAUACCAUAGGGAUUAUUCAAAGCAUCAAUCUUUAAAUUAUACUAAAUUCAAAGUCUCCAAAUUAAAAUACAAUUGUUUUCCAAAUUAGGGUUUAAAACUUUAAAUUCAAAAUGUUCCACGAGUGUAUAAUGCCCCAAAAAAAAGGGUUUUAGCCUCUAAAAGGAAUUGGGUUUGGCCGAAUGAAAUUACAAAAUUUCCCCUAGGUAGAUUCCCAUGUAGCCAUAAUUGUUGGAGCUUGUUUGUGAUCGUGUUUGCCGCAACUGCAAUAAGGACAUCGCAAUUGUGGCACCUUGACUUGGCUAGACUGGCCGUGAUCGCGGUAAAUGAGGCUUAUUUCUACUUUAGGUCUUCUAGAUGCACUUCUUUUCUCUUUUUUGAUCCUUUUUAGUUCACAUCCGCAUCUUUCAUACUACUAACCUGUAUGCCUAGAAAAUAUGAAAAUUAGGGCAUUUAAUCACAACUUAGUCUUACUUAUACAUUUAAACCAUAGUAUUGUGCAUGAAUGUUGAGUGCAAAUGAAUGGUAAAUUCACCACUCAUUAAAGGUCCUAAGUCAUUUUGUGGAUCCUCUCGAAUAGAGUGGAAUUUGGUUCAUUGAAUAGUUCUUAUGAUAGAGUUGGAUUUAUAGGUGUUCAUUAAGGCCCCUUUUCGGUUUUAGAGUAUGAGAUUAGGUUUUUAAAGUGGUCCAAGAAUAUUCCUAUGCUAUAUACUUCAAAGUAUGGAAUUAUGCAUUAAUUUAUUAAAGGAUUAGCAUUGCCACUCUACUUGAUAUUUGAGCAUUUGAUAGCAACAGAAUCUUUCUUCUUUUAGGUUGUUGAUCACGUAAGGCCAUAGAGAGAACAUGUAAUGAGACUUAUGAAGGUGGAGAUAAGAGAUCAUAUCAUUAGUAAAGUGUAAUUGGUUUUCCAUCCAAGAUUAAGGAUUCUCCCAAUGGAGGUCAGCUUCAUUGGUAUCCUAUCGAUCCGACAUAGAUAGUAUUUUAAACUAAGGUUGGGUCUUAGACUAGUCAUGGUGAUAAUAGCGGGUAAGGUUCUUAUCGAACCUUACAGGGUAUUUGGUAUGGAUCUUCAGGCCAUGGUGGUCGUUUAUGAUUAGAGGAUACAAUAAUUUGUAGUAUUCUAUGAGCUUAUUUGGUUGUGGCUAGAUAGGACAUUUCUCUAGAGAGUACCCUAGAUACAGUUGGUUGCUUUGAUAAUGUUACCAUGUAUUCCUAGCCAAAGUACAGUUCCUGAGGUGUUUUAUGAUUGCAAAGAGGAUGUUUAUUUUAGUAGAGAGUUCCCUUAGUGUUAGUUAGUCAUUAGGUUGGGGUCAGCUUAUGUUUCUUGCCAGGUUAGAGUUCGGGGUUUGCUAUGACUAUAGAGAGAUCGACCACUGGUCCUGAGAGUUUCCCUAAUGUAGGAUUAUUGUCCAUUUGGCUCAUUCAGAUUAGUCUUACAGUAUUAUGGCCUCGUUUAUUAGAGGCAAUGCUCUUAGCACCUUAGUUGAUAGUUUUUAUGGUCGGUCUGAGUUUGGACCCAUUUAGAUUUGUUCUUCCCUAGACCCAUCGGGUGUGUGACUUUGGAUUUUGUCAUGAUAGGUGAACUUUUAUUUCCUUCAUUUACCUUUUCAUUUAAGUGUAUUGCGGUUCUUGUACCAAUCAAUGAUUGUAUGCUUUGGUAGGUUUAUAUUAAUUAUUAUGUAUCUUGAUAUGUAUUCAUGAUUAUAUGAUAGUCCUAUAGAUUAUUUCUUUUAGUAGUUGAUGGAGUGGAACAAUGUUGAUAUUUCCCUGAGGGUGCACCAUUUGGAUUCGAGUCCUAUUUACCUUGGAACAUUGGCUUUCUUAUGGCCCUAGAGUGGUACUUGCUGUUGAUUUUUUGUUUUGGUACCAUCUACUUAUUAUAUUGAUGAUUAUAUUACUAUUGUUAUUAUUAUCAUUGUUUGGUGUUUAUCAAUGCUUGAAUGGUUGAUGGCUGGACUAAUAGUAUUUAAUCAGAAUUUCUUUCUCUUAGUUCUUAUUUGUUGACCUUGGCGGCUUGCUUUGUUUGAUGAUUUCUCUCUUGUAGUGAGGUAGUUGGCCUUUUAUGAUACUUUUAUGGUUCUAGAGAUAGUAAUUGGCUAACUAUCCAUUUCUUGGUUUGAGAUUUUUGUACUUUCCUUCUGAUUUGCUGAGAUUUUAGCAUUGGGUAUUCUUCUAUAGAAUCCAUUUCAGCUAUUGAUCAAUUUGGGCUCCGUUCUUCCGAUUUCACUAGUUCAUCGACCGAUAGUAAUUUUAAUAUUGAUGUCAAAAAGUCUUGGAUUAGUUUUUAAGGUUUGUAGGGUUUGUCUGUUAGUGAUUGUUUUCUCUUGGUAUUGGUGUGGAUUUAGAUGCUUUAUUUAUGCUGUGAUGUGGUUCUUGUCUUAUUGUAGUUAAGAGAGUUAUAGGUAGGUAGUCUUUCUAUCUUGCUAGUGAUUAUUUCUUAAGUUGGUAAACUGGGAAUUAAUUAUCUUAAGUUGCUUAGUUUAUUUUUGUACUAGUGGUCUUGACCUUGGCAUUGGUGUCGAGAAUUGAUGCUUUCUUCUUCGACAUGUGAUUCAUGGUUUGAUUGGGUUAAGGUUUUCCUACUUCAGUAUAUUCUGGAAAAUCCUUAUUUCAGAAUUUGUUUGGCCUAAAAAGACUUGAUGUAGUGCCAUUCCUAGGUGAUGUGUGCCUAUGGGUAUUCUUUGCUGAGAUGGAGUACUGGAUUGAUUAAUUUUAGGCUAAAGUUACAUUUCUCCAAGUUACUAGAGUUUUGGUUAUAUCUAGUGUAGUUUGCAGCCUUGGUGCAUUCUUGAGUAUUAUUUGGUCUGUGCCCUCUAGUGGAUUUAGUUUUGGUUUUUUGUUUUUUCAUUUGAUGAUUUAUCCUCUAUUAUGACCUCGUUCUUUAGCUAUAUUUUUAUUUUAGCUUGGUAUGAUUCAAUAAGGAUAAGUUUGAUUAGAUAGUAAGGUCGAUUGGGGUGCCUAGCCUUAGUUUAGGAUGGUGGGCUUAGUUUUGGACUUGGCAACUUGGGAUGGAGAUUUGGAGGUUAUGACAGAUUGAGAGUGUGGAUACUUACACUUCUUUAGGUUUGGUUUCGGUAGUUGAGAUCAAAUAGUUCAUCCUUAGAGCCGAGAAUUUAGUUUGAAGUUGUAUAGUUUAGGUGCAACCUUUAUUUUCAGAUAUGCCCAGUUGGGAUUUCAUAUAUAGGAUGGAUAAGCUUACUUUUUGGUUAAUUAUUUGGUCUUGUUCAGUUCAGAUAGAUGGUGGUUGAUAGAUAUUCAUAUGAUAGUCCAUUGGUCUUGAUCUUAAUUUUCAGUUUUUGUUGGGAUUUUUUGAUGAUUUACUCAUUGAGAUUAGUAUGUAUAAGUUGGAUUCAAGAUUGAUUCAUUUUUAAUUAAUGGGACAUCCUAUAUCGUAUUGUUCAGUGAUGAGUAGUAGUGCUUCCAACUAUUGGUUUCUAGUUUUAUUGGUCAUCCAGACCAAUUGUAGCAUUGGCAUAGACUUUGGUCAUCUCUAUUUGUGUGCCUAGGUAGCGCCUUAUGGGUUUAUCCCCAUGUCUUCCAUUAUGGAUUUUUAGCGUGAUGGGAUUGCACGAAUAGGACUCGACUGACAUUCUACUUGGUUUGGAGUAGAUUGUAGGUUUGGUAAGGAAAAAGAAGGAUAUAUUUGGAUUUGGAGUUGGUUGCAUAACUCAUGAUUUUCUUUUCCUUUAGCUUUGAUGAGUUUUCAUUUCUUUGUGUUGGUAUCAGUGGGGUAUUAGUGAGUUGUGGUUUCAAUUUAUAUGCAUCGGCCUUCCUCAGUUCAGUUGGUCGUAGUUGUGGUUGAAAUUGAGAUUUGGUUGUUUGAAGGGAAGAAAGAAAGUUGGGUGGAAAAAGGGAUACCUAUGGCAAUAUCCCAUGGAGGUAUUUUCCUAUCAUGGAGGUUAUCUGGUGAGUCGUGCUCGAAUCAUACGGGUCCAAUACUGCAUCUUUUCAAACUUUAAAGAUCUUUCUAUCCAUCAACUUUCGCAGAUGAAAGUCCUUUUAGUAGUGGAUAUUGUAAUGACCCUUUAGGUAAUUUUCUUGAUUUGCAUGUAUUUCUAGUAUUUUGAGCCUUCUCACAGUGGCUACGGAUCAUUUAUGAUUUGCCGGAGCUAUCGGUUUAGUUAUCAGAUAGCUUGUUUGGAUUUUUGGCUCAUUUCCCUAUUUUAGAUACAAACUCCUCCAUGAUAAAAUGUUAUAAUUGGAGUUUGAUAACUCGAUUUUCGGUGUCAAAAAUUGCUACAACUUCCUAUGCUCGUUGAUUAAAUAAUUAUCACAUCAAAUAUCAUUAACAUAAACCACAAUAAUACCAGAUUUCAUUUAAUUAUUACACCUUCAAAAAUAAGCCAAAAAAUAGUCCUAAGUUCUUCAAAACAUAGCUAGGGAGGUCUAGAUGCAACUUCUAUCUCCUGUUUCAGCAUAACGACAUUUUGGGUCAUUAACAAGAUGUCACCCAUGUUGCUGAAUCAAUGGGUUCACUUUUCGUAUCCCAUGUAGCCUCUUCAAUAGUUCGUUCCUCCAUUGGACCUUCAUAUAAGGAAUAACUUGUGUUCUUUUGUUCCUCACAUCUUUAGCUUGGUAGCAAUACGUUCUUUUGGAUCCCAAUGAAUAAUAUAGUCACCAUCUCUAUGGUACUUUUUAAUAUUAACACAAAAUAUAGGGUGAACUCCAGACAUAAUAGGGGGUAAGGCUAGCAUAUAUGUUACCGACCCUACUUUAUUUAACACCUUAAAGUGUCCUAUGUAACUUGGCUCAACAUGCCCUUCUUUUUGAAUUGCAUUACAUGCUUCAUGGGUGACUCCUUCAAAAGUACCUUUUCUCCUUUCUCAAAGUAUAUAUCUCUUAACUUUUUAUAUGUGUAUUCCUUUUGUCAACUUUGAUCUACCACGAGCUUUUACUGAAGUCAUUCUGCAUAUCUUUUCCUUAAGGCCUCACCUCAAAUGUGUCAAACCACUCAAUUGGGGACUUAUAUCGUCUACCAUAUAAGGCCUCAAAAGAAGCCAUGUCGCUACUAGAUUGGUAGAUAUUAUUUUAGGAAAAUUAACAUAAUGGUAAGUAUUAGUCCCAUUGACUCCCCAAAUCCAUGACGCAACAUCAAAGUAUAUCUUCAAACACUUGGACAACCUGUUCUAAUUAACCAUCGGUUCAUGGAUAAAAACUUGCUCGGGUCCAAUCUAGAAUAAAUCAUUGACUAAAAAUUUUUCCAAAAGUUAGAAGUUAGCUGAGUACCCUAAUCUGAUACAAUGGACACCAAUACCCUAUAUAACCUCUCAAUUUCCUUCACAUAAAUCUUAGCCAACUUGGUCAUAUUAUAAUCAACUCUUACUAGAAUAAAGUGAGCUGACUUAGUCAACCUGUCAAUAAUGACAAAAAUAAAGUCACAUUUACUCAAAGUUCUUGGAAUACCAAACAUAAAAUCAUUAUCCAUUCCUACUUCUAUUCUAGAAGGGGCAUCAACUGAAAGAUACCAAUAGGUUUUCGAUGUGUGUAUUUAAAAUAUUGGCACUUUUGAAAUUUAACUACAAAAUUCACAAUGUCAUGCUUCAUCCUUCACCACCAAUAGUGUUGUUCUCAAGUCUCUUUACAUAUUCUUGACACUUCGAAUAUGGAGUACUUGGAAUUAUGGCCUUUUAUAGAAUGGAUGGAAUCAAGUAAUCUACUCGAGGCACACAUAAUCAACCUCAGAUUCUCAGGGCCCCUUAUUCAUCCAAAAUGGCCUCCUUCGCUUUUCUUUAUAACAUUUUUUCUCUGAGGUUGUUCAACUUCUUAUCUUUAAACAAACUACUCUUAAUCUAACCAUAGAACAUGGACUUGGCCUCCACGUGUGCCAACACACUUUCGUCACUAGUUUCUUGUAAUCUCAGAAAAACAUUAUCCAAAUAUCAUACCUCUCUCACAAAUGGGCACCUGGAUACCUACAAUAUUUCUAAACAUCCUAUGUUCACUGGUUUCCAGCUUAGUGCAUCCGCCACCACAUUGGCCUUGCCUUGGUACUAUAGAAUUGAGAUGCCAUAGUAUUUAAUCAACUCUAUCUACAUCCUCUAUCUUAUAUUCAAGUACUUCUGAGUGAACACAUAAUGUAAAAUAUGGUGGUCUGAGAAAACCUCACACUUAACCCUAUAGAGAAAGUGUCUCCAAAAUCUUAAAGCGAACACCAUGGCUGCUAAUUCCAUGUCAUACGGGGGUAGUUUUUCUCAUUGGGUUUCAAAUGUCUCAAAGCAUAAGAAAUAACAUUUUGAUCCUGUAUCAACACAACACGUAAACCUAAAUGAAAGGUAGUAUAAAACAUAAUAAAAUCUUUUUCCUUAAUAGGCAGGGUUAGUACUAAACCAAAAGUCAAAUUUUUUUGAGAUUUUUAAUGCUCUCCUCACACUUGUUAUCACAAUUAAAUGGAAUGUCCUUCUAAGUAGGUGGGUUAUGUGUGAAGCAAUGGAAGCAAAUGCCUUAACAAAUCAAUGAUAGAAGUUUGCUAAUCUCACAAAACUAUGGAUCUCUAUCACAUUCAUCGAUCUGGCCCAAUUUUUUAACUACCUUAACUUUUGCUCGUCCACUAUAACCACAUGUUUUGAAACCAUGUGCCCCAAGAAGCACACUAAUAAAGUGAGAAUUGACACUUAGAUUACCUAGAAUAUUAUUAUUUUUCCUUUAAUAACUUUAACACAAUUUGUAAAUAAGAUUCAUUCUCUUUUUCACUCUUAGAAUAAAUAAUUAUAUCAUGAAUAAACACAAUGAUGAAUGAAUGCAAAAAGAACUUAAAGACUUUAUUAAUUAAGAUUAUGAAAGAAGAUGGGGAAUUAAUCAAGCCAAAAUACAUAACAAAAAGAACAUAGUACCUAUAAAGAGUUCAGAUAGAAGUCUUUAGGAUAUCCUCCUCUAUGAUCUUUAGCUGAUGACAACUCGACCUCAAAUCAAUCUUAGAGAAUACUACAACUGCUUGUAACUAGUCAAACAAAUCAUCUAUUCUAGGCAAAGGAUAUUUGUUAUCAAUGAUCACCUUAUUCUAAUGGCGGUAGUUUAUGCACAUCCUCGCACUACCAUAUUUCUUUUUCACAAAAAACACAGGUACACCCCAAAGGGAGAUGUUUGGGCUAUAGAGCCUUAUGUAACAACUCUUUCAAAUAGGAUUUUAAUUCUCUUAACUAUGCUAGUUCCAUAUGAUAUGGAGGGAUAAAAAUGGGUCUAGUAACCUUCUCUAGAUCUAUACAAAAUUCAACUUCCCAAUCUAUUUAUACCCAAAAGAUUGUUUAGAAACACUUCUAGGAAAUCAUAAACCACUAGAACCAAUGCUAUUCGAGGGACUAUAAAUUUUUCUUCAUAAUGAUUGGAUAAGAAUUCCCUACACCCCUUCUUCACUAAUUUCCUGGCAUAUGCAGACAUAACCCACCCUGAAUUAGGAUUAAAUGUGCCCUCCCACUCUAACUUCUUUUCCUUGGCCAUGGUUAUAAUGAUGAUUUUGGCAUAACAAUCAAGAAAAACAUUGUAAAAGGACAACCAACUCAUUCCCAAAAGAAUAUCAAAUUCCUACAUUUAUAAAAUGAGUAAGUAUGUUAAGGUCUUAAACCUAAUUAAUAUCAUAGAACACACACAAUAUACCUAAUAAAUGUACACAACCACUCUAACUAGUAUAGGCACAUACAUGGGAGUAUCAAGAUAUUCAGAAUCUAAUUUCCAACCUAUAGAAAAUAUCUUAGACACAUAAGAAAUAUGGAACCAUGAUCAACCAAUAUAGAAGUCAUACAAUAAUAGAUAAGAUAAGUACUUAUGAUCACUACAUUAGAAUCUUCUGCCUCAUGAUGAGCCAAAACUUCAUAAAGUGUUUUAUCACCUCCUUAACUACCACGUUCGCCCUGAGAUUUAUUUAUACUAUAUUAUUCUCCACCUUGUUUAGACUAGUUGCCACUCUUAGCUUAUCCACCAUUUCCACCUUGUAGAUGUCCCAUAUCAUUUUCUCUUCUACCAUAACCUAUCAAGACUAGAGCAGUAAAAGUUGAUUGUUGAGUUAACUAACCUACAAAUAAGAUAUUAGGAAAAUACCUUCUCAUGUAUCCCAAACCCCCAUACUCAAAUCAUAUAGGUCAAAAAAAUAGGCUUUUAAACUGAAGAGGGAGAAGGUGUGUAGGUAUGGACUCAACAAAGUUGAUAAUUGAACCUGGAUGGCCCCUUGUAGAAACUAGCAUAGCUGAAUGGUAGGUCUUAAAAGAACCAUGCCCCUUUUAAAAAGUUCUGCUAAAUUGGCCUGAGGUUUAAUCCUUCUUCUAAUCUGCCAUUACUUUUCUCUAUUUCUCAAAUGUUUAAUCCCUUUUGGAAAAUUUAACAAAAUCUGAAAAGAUUUACUAGUCACUAUGAUAGAUAAGGAGUAUAACUAAAUACUGAAAUUCAAACCCUUCACGAGAUACCUAAUCUGCUGUUCCUCUAAAUUAAUCAAUUGAAGUGUCUAGUGGGACAAUGCAUGAAGCUUGGACUCAUUGGCCGCCAACAAAUAUGUUACCCUACUUCAACCUUAGAAACACACCUUUAUUUUAGUCAUGAUAAGUGUGGGGAACAUAUUUCUCAAGAAAUACAUUCUAAAAUUAAGCACAAGUAAGUAGAGGUAAGGCAACCCUACACUCUACAAAUAAUAUCUACCAUUGCUUAGCUUCAUUCUAAAGUUGAAAGAAAACAAACUCCACCCCAUACUUUUCUAUGGUCUAGGAUUAAACCCCAAUUUGCAUCAUUAAUAGGUUUCGAAUAAUUUUCUAAGGUUAAACAAAGUAAAUUAAAAAUUAGAAUAUAAUUACUUACCUUCAAAGAUUAAAAAAACUUUGAAAUCCUUUUGAAAAUCACCUUUUACCAAAGUGCUACAGUAUUUUUAAAAAAGAGGGAAUGAAAACAUUUUUUGGGUUAAAAAACUAAAAAUUUAUUGUGUGUUACCACGAUUGCGGUUAAAUUUUCAUUGCUACAGUUCUCGUUGUUUUACUAGAAGUGGCCACUGCGGUUCCCAUGAUAGAUGCAACAUUUACUUUUUUUAUUGUAGUGAUAUGAGGUAGAAUCUUAGGACAUUUCUUCAAUUUUUCAUAUUUUAAAACACACACUAUUAAUUUUGACACCGCGAAUCAACAUCUCUAUGAUAAAUGCUAUAACCAGAGUUCUUUAAUUCUAUUUCUAGUGCAGGAAGUUGAUACGACUUUUCAUACUCAUGGGAAAUAUAAUUAUCACAUGAAAUAUUUUCACCAUAAAUCACAUUAAAACCAGAUUUCAUUUAAUUAUCACACCAAGAAAAAUAAGUCAAGACUAGUCUAAAAUUCCUUAAAAUUUAGCUAAGAGGAUUCAAGGUGUAAUUUCUACAUCCUAGUUUAGCAUAACGAUAUUUGGGAUCAUUAUAAAUAAGGUACCACUGGCCAAAUCUGUGGGGUCCUUAUCCCUCAUGUCCCCAAACUUUGCAUAGUGUGUAAGAUCAAAAUGCAUGGCUUCCUCGAUACCCUCUAGAAAGAAGCCCAAUUUUAAGCUUCUGGAAAAAUUAUCUCUCAAAUUUGAAAUGUCAAAUCCAUCAUAAACUUAAGAAUCCUCUCAGUCCAAUCAAAGCAACCACUAUAGCAUGGUAAUUUGUGCAUAAAGUCUUGUACUCAGUCACAAAAAUUCCCACCUAAGUCAAACGCGCAAACUGAUAGCUCCACUCCUUCAUCAAGCUAUGGCAAACAAACCAAAUUUGAAACGCCUAGAAAAAGAGCCGCUAAGUUAUAUGGGGAGAUUUUAAUAGUCUAGAAUAAUCAUAGGAAUUAAACCACUACUUGGUUGGGCCAUGUAUAUAAUGGUCUCUAUAGUAAACUUUAUGCGACUCCAAUAACCCCAUAUUCUAAAACCUCUUAUGGAAACUCAUAAGCAUCCUCACUCUGGCCACCUAAUAUUGAGGUGGAUCGAUCUUCAUAAGACUCUCAAAUAUUUGUUACUCCUCACUAAGCAUAGCUUCUCUAACCAUGCUUGAUGCUCCUAUACACGGUAAAGUCAUACUAUCAUGAAAAGAGAGAAACAAGUUUUCUUCUCCAAAAAAAGAUUUUUUUUUGGUAAUAAAUAAAUUUAUUUAAUCAAGCUUACAACACUAGAAAGAUGGUCACCAGCCUCCUAUUAGAAAGAAACAACAAUAACAACUAUGACAAACUGUCUAUCCUAGGCAUUACAAUGGAAAAAAUUGAGAGAGUGUCAGCUUAGGAGCAAAUCUUGGUUUUCUCUGUCCUUUAAAAGAAAUCUCUUGCACGAUGAUUUGACAUAUAUUAUGAAUAGUCAUUCUCUUUUAUGAAAUUAUCCGCCAGUUCCUCUCCUGACAUACGUGGUAAAAACAAUAGCGCUGCUCAAGAAAAAAGAUUAUAUAGCCAAUUCAGGUAUGUUUUUCUAGACUAAAUUUUGUUAUUAUUGUAUAUUUAAGUAAGAAUCAUAUAGUUCCCCCAUCUUGAAUAAUUAAUCUAAUUUCAUGGUUGUAAGAUGUUAUACAAUCUCUUAUUUGGAAUAAAACCCAUCAGCCAGAAAGGCUGAAAUUGCUAUAAAGUGUAACCCCCAAAGCCUCAAACUCCCCUACCCCCUCCCCUACAAACAAUUAAAAAAAUAGUUCUAUUUUCAAUUCUCCCUAUCCCGCCCCCAUAAACCCAUCCUUGCAUAAUAUGUUUAAUUUUUUAGAUUUAAUUUGAUACUAAAAAUAAAAUUGAUGAAAUCUCUUUUAAUGUAUAAGUUAAUUCAUCAGUGAAGAUUAGUGUUGUUAUAUAUAUAGAAAUUAUAUAUUUAUGACGUAUUCUAUACAACAAUAGCAUUUGCGAAUUCUUCUUUAUUCCUUCCUCUAUCUCAAUUUAUGUGGUGUGGUUGGAAUUUCGAGAGUCAAACAAUUUCUUUAUCAAAAUUUCUUUAUAUGAUUCUGAGAUAUUUGAAGUUGUUAUUUUUUUUUAUAAUUUAGAGUAAUUUCACCCAAUAUUUAAGUAUACAAAUUUUAUAUCAACAAACUUAAAUCUUUUUAGUCUUAAUAUACAAUUAAAGUUUAGAAGUUUGAAUCUCAAAAUUUAUCACGACCCGAUUUCUCAAGUCAUGAUGACGUCUACCUUAUCCCAUAAGUAGACAAACCAAGCCAUCACGUAAAAUAAUAGGUAAUGGGCUAAUAGGCAGAAACCAAAAAAGAUCGCAAAUAAUGAUAGCAACAGUAAUAAUAAGUGAAAACCAUAAAGGAAAUAUAUAGAAUAUACCAAAAUGAGAGAAGGAAAAAGGACCAAAUAUACAAACAAAUCUCUCCCAAGACCUGGUAAAGUCAGUACUAGAGCCACUACUAAAAGAUAUUGAAAAUGCUAGAUAGAAUCUAUAAUGUACACAACAUAUAUACAAGAAGUCUCGAGUAUAAAUUACUAAACUGGAAUAGAUAGAGGAGGAUCAACCUCGGACGAUAGUAUGCCCACCCUACUUCGAAUCAGUACUGAAAGGUAGAAACCAUGUCAAGGCCGAUUACUGGUACUCAUAGCUACAUCAAGAAAAAGAUGCAGAAGUAUAGUAUGAGUACCAAAGCAAUGGAUACUUAGUAGGUAUCAUUUGUCUACUGAACUCAAUACAUGAAAAGUAUAACUAAAAUAUGAUGGUGUAAUCUAAGUCAAUGGUAAAUGGGGAUAGAAAGGUAAACAACCAUUGAGCUACACAAAUACACUAAAAGAAAUAAGUGUAAGUGAUACAGAAAGAUAAACAAUUCAAUAAUAAAAAAAAUCAAACAUAACCUAACUGAGGCCUCAAAAGCCCGCAAGGCACACUGAAGAAGACAAUUAACCUAAUCGUUCCCCCAUAAACUGAUGGGAAACACAAGAAGUAAUUUAAAGAAAAUAAAUAUAAAUAAUCCAUAAUUGAACCAAUCCCAAGAAAUCAUAGUAGUCAUCUAGAUGUGUACCGAAGUUGAACCGACACCAAUGGGUAAUAACGAGAAGCUAGACCCUAGGCUCAAACCGGUAGUGGUGGAUAAUAAUAAGAGGCCAUACACCAAAUUUGAAUUGAAAAUAGUGGGUAAUAACAAGAGGUCACAUGUAUGAUAUAUAAUAGAACUCAUAACCAGAUUCCGGACUCAAAUCGAAACUCAGAGGAACCAUAACUCCCGACAACAAUAGUAAUCAAAAUCAAAACUCCCAAAUCAUCAUAACCAGAUGCCGAACUCAAACAAAAACUCAUAAUAACCAAACCCAAUUGAAAAAUUAAAAUCCAAACCAUACCAUAACCAAUGCCAAAGUGGUCCCAAAAUUCAUAAUUAAUGACAGAAAUAAAUUAUUUGCUAAACAUAAACCAAGACUAAAAUACAUUUAAAUAACUAUUUGCAUACCUUAAAUAAAAAGGGACGAAUCCAAUGUUCCACAACUUAAUUCCACAUCCUAAAGUUAUACAUAUUAUAUUAUACUAAAAUAUAAAAUAUCAAAAUUUAUUAGAACGGGGCCCUUACCGAAUGAUAAGGCAUGGCAUAUGUAUUAAAUGAUAUGCAAACUACAAGUACUUGUCCAAUUCUAGCAUAAUAUUACAUAAUUACUGUAAAUAAGCUCAAUUUAAAGGUAGGGUAAGCAUAUGCCACUUGAAUGCCUAAGCUAUAAUGUCUCUAUAUGAAGCUUCUGAAUAGGUCCAGCUAGAGCUCAAGUUGAAUAAAUGUAGCAAUAUCUUAAAAUUUAAUUUGUAAUGCAAUCGAGCAUGAAUGAAAAUUCAUUAAUAAAUUUUUUUUAAAGAAAGGUCAUAUGAAAAGACUGUUAACACUUUAAUGUUGAAUGCAAACAUUUUAGAAGAAAGGUUAUCAUUCUUAAAAGAUAUGUUUGAAUGGAAUUUGUAAUUAUAUAAGAAAGUUUACAUUUCUUAACACCUAUGAUUGUAAUAACUUGGCAUUAUAUUUCUAAAAUAAUGACACCACUUAAUUUGGUAUCCUUGUGCAUAGAUUCUGCAUAAAGGAGGGGUGGUAGCACCAUCCCUUGCUCUCCAUUAUAGUCGCACUAGGGUAUUGGAUAGGUUCAUGGAAAAAUAAAUAUAAUAUUUUGAAUAUACCAUAAUAAAUAGAAAAUUAUUUCUAAUAAAAUCUCUAUUAUAUAAGAAAAUACCUGAAGUCUCAAACGCAUAUUAUGCUCGGUCUCCCAAGUAGCCUCCUCUGCUGAAUGGUGAUGCCUCUGAACCUUAACUAUGGGAAUGUCCAUGGAGUGCAAUCGUCUGACAUCUCUAGUCAAACUGGACAUUGGUUUUUCUAUAAAUAUUCUCCUCUCAUCUAACUAAACCAAGUCCCACUGAAGCAUGUGCGACGUAUCUAAAAUAUACUGCCGUAACAUAGAUACAUGGAACACCAGAUGGAUGGCUAAGAAGGCAGGAUGUAAUGCCAGCACACAAGCUACCUCCCCUACUUUUUCUAGAAUCACAAAGGGUCCAAUAUACCGGGGGCUCAAAAGUCUCAAACCAACCAACAAGAGAUCAAUACUAUCUAUAAUAAAAUGCCUUAAAUGGGGCUAUCUGAAUACUCAAAUGAAAGCUAUUAUUAUACUCAAACUCCACCAGAGGUAGAAACUAGUCCCACUAAACCCUAGAAUCAAAUACACAAGUGUGGAGCAUGUCCUCCAAAACCUGAAUAGUCUACUCUGAUAGUCCAUCAGUCUGGGGAUAAAUAUGGUGCUAAGAUCAACCUAGGUGCCCAACUCCUCCUGAAAUAUCCUCUAGAAGCUAGAAGUUAACUGAGAGCCAUGGUUUGAGAAAAUAGACAAAGGGAUCCCAUGUAGGUUAACCACCUCUUGAAUAUCAACAUAGGCUAACCUCUCGGCACUAUAGGAAACUCAAAUAGGGAUAAAAUAUAUUGACUUAGUCAAUUAAUCCAUGAUGACCCAAAUGCUAUCAAACCCAUGGGAAGUGCGAGGCAACCCACCUACGAAAUCCAUCCUUACUCGCUCCACUUCUACCCGAGAAUGGGUAGCGACUAAAGUAAUCCACCAAGUUUCUGAUACUCAGCCUUUACCUACUGACAAUAAAGUCAUUAGGCCAUAAACCCUUUUAUAUCUCUCCAUAUACGACUCCACCAGUAAUGCUACCUCAAAUCCUUAUACAUCUUAGUUGUCCUAGGGUACAUAGAAUAUCUAGAGUUAUAAGGCUCACGAUGAAUAAACUAAAUCAAAUCUCCAACCCUUGGAACACUAAUAUGACCAUCAAACCUCAAGAACGCCUCAAAAUCUAAGGUAUCCCUCCUAGACUCACCCUCAAAACCUAUUCUUGAAUGCAACAAAAACUUCUAUCCUAUAUUAAUAAUCCAAAAUCUGCUCUAACAAGGUAGAUUUGGCCUCAACAUUAGCAAUAAUCCUUCGAUGGUCAGAUAUAUCUAGAUGAACCAUCAAGUUAGAUAAAGACUAGAUGUCCAAAGCCAACAUUAGCUAAGAAGCUAAAAUAAAGGUUAAGCUACCCAUGCCUACCAACUUCCAGCUCAAGGUAUCCGCUACCACAUUUACCUUGCACAGAUGGUAGAGAACAGAGAUAUUAUUGUCCUUCAGCCACUCAGUCCCUUUGUACUGCCUCAAAUUAAGCUAUUUUUGGGUCAUAAUAUCCUGAAGACUAUGGUUAUGAAUAAAUAUCUCAAAGCAAACCCCAUAAAAAUAAUGUCUCCAAAUCCUAAGUGCAAAUACUACCUCUGCCAACACCAAGUUAUGAGUGGAGUAGUUGCACUCAUGCACCUUUAUCUAUCUCAAUGAAUAUGCAAUAACAUGAUCCCUACACAUCAAGACAUACCCCAAAAUCACACCAGACAUAUCCAAAUAAAUAGUAAAAUCCUCUUCCUCAACUGAAGCAUCAUAAUAGGAGAUGAAGUAAGCAAAUCCUUGAGUUUUAGAAAGCUUACCUCACAACUCAUAAACCACUUAAACAUAACCUCCUUCUGGUUCAGUCUAGUCAUAGGGGUUAUAAUAGAAGAAAAAUCUUUAGCAAACCACCUAUAGUAACCUGCCAAUCCAAUAAAACUAUAAAUAUUACUAGGUGAUGUAAGUCUAUCCCAACUCGAACAGCCUCAAUAUUCACCAGGUCCACCAUAACACCAUUCUUAGAAUCUACGUGGCCGAAGAAAGAUAUCGAAUCAAUCCAAAAAUCACUCUUCGAGAACUUGGCAUAAAGCCGAUGAUCUUUCAAAAUACAGAGAACAGGCCUCAAAUAUUAUCGUGCUCCUCCCUAUUCCUUGAAUAUACUAGAAUGUCAUUAAUAAAUACUAUUAUGAAAGAGUCCAAAUAUAGCCUGAAUACAUGGUUCAUCAGAUCCAUAAAGGUUGCUAGGGCAUUGGUCAGCCCAAAAGACAUCACCAGGAACUCAUAAUGACUGUAACAAAUCCUGAAGGUUGUCUUAGAGAUGUCUACAACCCUAAAUCUCAGUUGAUAAUAACUAAAACUUAAUUCUAUCAUAGAAAACAUUGUUUCACCCAAAAGAUGGUCAAGCAAAUCAUCGAUACAAGGAAUAAGAUACUUAUUCUUUAUUUAACUGCCUGUAUUUAAUACAUAUAUGUGUAGAGCCAUCUUUUUUCUUUACAAACAUAAUUGGAGCACCUCAAGGCAAUACACUUGGUCUAUUAAAACCCUUAUACAAAAGAUCCUAAACCUGGCUAUUCGUCUCUUUCAACUCAGCAGAAGCCAUAAAAAUAGGUCGGGUGCCUAGCUGGAGGUCAAUAGUACACUCUAUAUCACUCUCAGGAAGAAUGCUAGGUAGGUCGGUACAAAACACAUUAGUAAACUUGUAAACAAUAGGAAUGGAGUCAAGUGAUGGCCUCUCAGCACUAAUACCCAAAUAUACGCAAGAAAUGACUCACAACCCUUCAAUAUAAGUCUUCUAGCCCAAAUAUAAGAAAUAAUUCUCAUUGGUUCAUGGAUAAUAGAACCUUGCCAUAUAAUUAAGGGUAUUCUAGGCAAGGCUAAGGUAACAGUAUUAGAAAAAUAAUCAAAGAUUGCAUGGUAAGGAAAUAGCUAAUCCAAGCCUAGAAUCAUAUUAAAUCUAUCGUAUCUAGGAUAAUGAGAUCAAUCUAAGUAUCAAACUCCUAAAAAGUCACUAAACAAGAUCUAUAUACCUCAUCCACUACUAAAGAAUCACCCAUGGGAGUAGCUAUACCCAAUGGAAUGGAUAAGGACUCUGAACAUAAACCUAGCCACAAUGGAAAAUAAGCAAAAACAUAUGAAGAUGUGGAGCUAGGAUAAAACAAAGUAAAAUCUAGAUAAUGACAUAUGAAAAUUAUAUUUGUGAUCACAACAUCUGAAGCCUCAACCUCUAAUCUACCUGGUAUAGCAUAUAAGUGACCUUGUCUGCUACUGGACUGGGUGCCUACCCGACUACCUAUCCCACCUUCCUAUAGACCACCUCUAGAACCUUGAAGACCACCCCAAUGACCCUAUGAACCAUCUCAAGCUAUCAUAAAUACUGAUCUGAGUAGGUUUGAAGAGUGAAUGAAAUGCCCAAUCAUCCUACAUUGCAGAAACUCAUGAGAAAAGUGACCAAUAACCCCUCUAUCAUAACAUGCCUCUGGUAUCCUGCUCUGUCUAGAAGGUCUAAUAGAUCUAAAAUCACUGCCUUAACUAGAUGAUCCUGAUUGAAUACCUCUCCCUCUGUGGUUGACUACUACUUUUACUAUUGAAACCACUAUAACUGAGCUGACCCCUAUCUAAUAUUUAAAGUGAUGCCUAAAAUUACCAACUAAGCUAACCCCAAUGCUGAAAAUAUUGUUUCUAGGGUACCAAUUGUUAAACCCUCAGCCUAUGGGCUGUGAACUACUAUAGCUACCCUUGUAAUAUGAUCUUUUAUUGCUUACCCCUUGGGCCUCAUGAUCAUCCGCUAUAUACAAUAAAAUGCUCAAUAAUCUUAGAAAAAUACAUUCUUAAAUUCAAUUAACUCUGUGUAUCCCUAUAAAGUAAUAAUCCUUAUCCCCUAACAAAGCAUCAAUCUGCUCAUACUUUAUAAGAAGAAUCAUAGUGGCAUAUCUAGAUAACUUAUGGAAUCUUGCCUCAUACUCAACCAUAAACAUAGAAUUAUGUCUCAAAGUAGAAAAUUUAUCCUGAAGAUGCUCAUGCAUGUUGGAAGGUAUAUACCUCUCCAGAAAGCCUCUAUGAAUUAAGUCCAAGUCACUAGUGAAGAGCCAAUUGGCCGAGAAUCAAGAUAACCACUCCACCACCACCUCUCUAUCAUGUCUAGCUAAUAAACAACCAAGUUCACUACUCGUGACUCAACCAAGCUAAAAUUCCAUAAUCGUUCCUCGCAAUUAGACAGAAACUUGUAAGCAUCCUCUCAUAAGGUCCCAGCAAACCUAGUUAGAGUCAAUCUCAAAAAUCUUCCUAGCAACUUUUAUUUCUCUAAAUACAUUCUUGGAUGGGCUACUACCGAUUUUGGGACUACUGGUGCUAAUGAUUUGAGGUGGAUUUGAGCACCUUAGUGUUGCUAUUCGGGUUUAUUUAGCUUUGUUUUGAGAACUUCUUUUGUCCUUAAUGAGUGAAUAUUGGCAUAAUUGAGCAUAUAAGUGUUAAAUUACUUUAUUUUAGUGUUUAAGGUUUUUUUCAAACAAGUUUGUAAUUAAUUAUUUCUGUUAGAGUGAAAAUCAGAAAACUAAUGUUACUAGCUCGAGCUAUGUGUUAUUCUAGUUGAUCUUGAUGAAUUCUAGUGUGUGUAAUGAGUUCAUAAUGGUAUGAUUAUGUAAUCAUGGGUGUAAAACCUUGUUUAUAGUCCUUAAUAAUCAAUUGAAACAAUCCAAGAGUCAAAACAAAGUUAUAUAUCAAAAGGAAAAAACUAGUAUUAUUAGCUUAAGUUUCUAGGUCAUCGUCUUGGAUGUUGUGUUGUGUUGUAAUCUAAUCCAUAGUGUUUGAUGAUAUAUGGAUGAUACACGAGAUGUAAAUCAAUUUUAAAUAACAUCACAAGGCUUCGAAUAGAUGGAAAAAAGCACGGGAUAAGACGACGUAAAAAUAGAUGAUUUGCGGUCACUAGCAUGUUUUAGAGCAUAUCCAUAGCUAUGGGGUGAGUUACAUAUCUUAGGGGAUUUAUAAGGGGCCAAAACAGUGUUUAUAUUCUAUGGGGGAGUUUCACACACCCUAGGUACCACAAUAGAGGGAGCGACGCAGACCCUAGCUCAAAAUCAGCAGAUUUGACCUCCUAUAAAUAAGACACUUGAACAUAAUGUUAAACACCUUGGACGACUUUGAAACUUUGAGGGAGGAUGUAUAGAACUUAAAAUAGGGUUUUUAUUACUUUACGUUAGUUUUUUUAUGGAUUUUAACAUGUAUUCUAUCUUUGCGAUUACUGUUAUGUGCAUGAGUGGCUAAAAGCCCUUUUCCAGGGUUAAGGCCAAAAACAUGAUUACUCUUGUUAUUAAUUGAUUUAGAUUUGAUUAUUUUUCAUAUUUUAUUAUUUUAUUAUCCUUUUUAUUACUAUUUAUAGGAUUCAUGACCCUUAGAAUACAUCCAUUGUCAUCUUAUGAUCCUGGAAGGAGGAACAAGAGGAUAGAACAUAGGGUAACUAAAGUAGACUUAUAAUAUUCUACAGAAUGAAGUUAUCAUUUGAAAUUAGGAUAGGAAUAUACUUAAGUGAUCUAUUCGGUUCAUUAUGGUAUGAAAUAUGAAUUCAUUUAACUUAGUUCUAACAUCCUCACUCAAUGAUGUAGUUGUAGGUCUAAGUUAGAUAGGUGAUUAGAGGCUCGAAAAACCAUAGUCGUAAUAUCAACCCCGUGAAUAAACAACCAAGAUGAGUAACAUAACAAAUGAAGUUUUAUAGCUUAUUAUGAUUGCUCAUAGAGCCUCAACCCUAGGUUUCUUUCAUUGAUUGUCCAAGAAUCUUUAAUUUACCGUAUUGAUUACGUUACUUCUAGUUAUAAUUUGCAGAUUCUCGUAGCUAUGUUUGCACUAAUUUAAUAUAAAUAGUAAACUAGAAUUGAAUAGUUGUGUAAGGGAUCUAUAUUUGGCUUUAUUUAAUGCCAUUUUAUUACUUGGUGAGGCCACGUACACUUGUGUGUGCACAACAAGUUUUUGGCACCAUUGUUGGGGACUUGUAAUUUGGAAACUACUUUAGUUUUAAUUUUACUUUUUGGAUUUCUUUGGUUCUUUUCACUUGGAAUUGGUUCUGACUUUGUAGGCGCAGGUUAAUAGACUAGUAAGCUGGCAAGGAAUUGGGAGUUGGUUGAACCCAGCCCUGAGCCCAAGCAAUGCUUACACUAAAGGAGAAGAGAAGUUGUCCAUUUAUACCAGAUCUCACAAAUUAAUAAAGAACAAGAUAUUCCUUCUCUCAUGGGUGAGGAUCUACUAACCCUCAGGACAAUUUGUGAAGUGGAAAUUCUGCUUGCGACAAAUUUGACCUCCCAUAUUCAAAAAUCAACUAUUAGAGGUAGAUUCGAGCUGAAGUAGAACAUGGUACAACUCUUUCAUAGCAGUGGAAAAUUCACCGGGCUAUCAUAUUAAGAUCCAUAAGUCUACUUAUAGAACAUUUUGGAGAUCAAAGAUGCAUUCAUCCCUAUGGGUGUAUCAACUGAUUAUAUGAGGCUGACACUCUUUCUCUUUUCACUGUUGGGGGAAGCAAGGAAGUGGUUGAAUGCUGAGCUGGCAGAUUCCAACACAACUUAGGUUUACUUAGCUUAAAAGUUCCCCAUCUACUACUUUCCAUCUGGCAAGACUGUGAGACUUCACAAUGAGAUUUUGAGCUCUAAAUAUAGGCUACAUGAGAACCUUUAUCAUACUUGAGGGAGAUUCAAGUCUCUUCUAUGGGACUGUCCACAUCAUCAGCAGUCCAAUGAUUUAUUAGCUCACAACUUUGUUGAAUCCAUUCACCAUAACAGGAAACUUUUUCUAUAUUUAGGUUUAGGUGGUCAGGCUCAGGAAAAACCAUAUGAUGAGCUAUAUAUUCUUUUAAGCCAUAUUGCACAAGAAAAUCCAGAUUGGCAUGGUGUUGCCUCAAGAGGCUUAGUGAAAAAGGUCGCGUGCAUAAUUGAAAUGGGUAGUAUUAUAGCCUUAGCCACCCAACUAUCAGCUCUACAGAGCCAAAUGAUGACAUAAUUUAGCAAGUUAAGUAUGCAGUAAUCUCAAGCUCAGGUAAAUACAGUACAACAGACUCUUACAGAGUGUGAGGUUUGUGGGAAUAGUGGCCACUCUGCAGAUUUAUGUGGUGCAAGUAUCGAGUCUAUCACUUUUGUAGGUAAUGCUCAAAGGCCAAAUUAUGGUAAUGUCUACAACCAAAAGUGACAGACUCAGGCACCAAAUUAUUUGUGGAACAAUAGUUAGCAAAUUUAGCAUCAAAAAAACACACAGACCAGUAACAUAGAGGACAUGCUAAAGAAGAUCAUGGAAACUCAAGAAAAAAAUGGCGAUUAAACUCAAAAAUCAACAAGUACUUCAGAAAUUAUUGGAGUAUCAGUUAAGGAAAAUGCAUCAAGCAUAAAAUACCAAACCUCAAGGAGGUUUUCCAAGUGAUACUGAAACUCCCAAACAAGUAAUGGCAAUAACUUUAAGGGGUGUUAAAGAAUUGAUUGACAUACCUCCAAAGACAAAUAAGGAGGUAGAUUCAGAGUUGAUUCCUCAACCGAUUACACACAAAGUUGUUGAUUAUUUAGGGAAUUCUGAGUACCCAAAAACAAAAGUUGUGAAAAAGGUUAAGGUGUAUCCACCACCUCCAUUUCCAUAGAGGCUAAACAAAGCAUAGGAGGGUGCAUAUUCUAAGAAGUUCAUUAAGAUGUUCAGAGAUCUUCACAUUAACCUUUCUCUUUUAGAGGUUUUACAAGAAAUUCUCAAGUACGCUAAGUACUUGAAAGAUGCGGUGACUAAUAACAUUAAGCUACAGGAUAUUAAGACAGCAACACUCACUAAAGAGUGUAACUCUGUGGUAAUACUAAAGAUGCUCAAAAAUCUUUAGGACCUUGGAAAGUUCACUCUCCCCAUUAAGAUUGGAAGCAGUGAGGUGGUCCACUUACUGACUGACUUAGAGAUAGGUAUCAAUUUGAUAACCCUAUCAUUGUUCAACAUCUUGGGUUUAGGAAAGUUGAAAUCAUGCUCUAUGCUACUCCUAAUGCCAGAUCAUACUAUAGUCCAUCCUGAAGGAAUCAUUGAGGACAUUCUUAUCAAGGUUAGUAAGUUUAUUAUCCCUGUUGAUUUUAUUAUUUUGGAUUAAAAGGAAGAUAAUAAGGUAUUGAUUAUCUUGGAUAUUCAUUCUUGGCGAUGGAAGGAUCAUUGAUAGAUGUGAGAGAAGGCAUGCUCAAAAUGAUGUUAGAUAAUGAAGAGGUGGUCUUCAAGGUAUACCAACAACUUAAUAAACUAUCCCAUUACAAGAAUUUAUGCAUGAUUACAGUGAUGUAAGUGUAUAAGUCUGGGGUGGUAGAGCCUAAUCCACCAAAGACCUCUUUGAACUUUCUCAUUAAGAUACCUAAGCCACCAAUACCUAAGCCCAAAGUGAUGCCGAUGGAUGAUCUAGAAAAUUCUAUUGUUGAGAAUGCUGUGGACCUUGAGAGUUCACACUCAAGAGGUCAUAAACGAAUAAGAAGAUGGCCUCCAAGUAGGAGGAAAAGGAUAAAGAAAAAUGGUUAAGUGUGAUGAUUAGGUCAUUCUGCAACACUAAAUAAGGCACUACAUGAAAGGAACCCAAGUUAAGGUAGGUUUUAUUUUUAGUAUUCUAAGUUUUUACUUCACGUAGUUUUCUUUUUGUGUUGAAUCAUAGGUUAAUGGGAAGUCUAAGUACCAAAAACCUAAGCUAAAGAGCAUGGAUAAGACUAGUGUGGGGUCCCCGAACCCUUUUGGUGUAAGAAAAUGCUACAAAUUUGGCCUAUAGGCCUCAGGGAGUAUUACUAUCUCCACUCUUAAGUAUACUUUGGGGACAAAGUAGAAUUUUAAGUGUACGGUGGGAAAAUUUCCAUUAAUUCAGGUGAAGAGAUGUUGUAGGGUCUUGAGUCUUAGUUGUUUUUCUAGGUUUUGGGUAAAUUUGAAAAAAAUACAAAAAGAUUUUCACUUUUUAGUUUUUAGUUUAUUUGGGUUAGUCUAGUAGAUGCACCCUUCACCCACCCCGUGGUUAUUCUUUUUGGUUCUUUUCCAUGGGGAAGCCCCUUGAACCCAGUAUCCUUUUUCUUUUUAGGAUUAAAUUUUAAAAUAUUUUGUUUUAGGUAAGUGAGAUAUUCUUGUUGGUGUUAUGUAUUAGUACAUGAUGCAAGUGGGUUUGUAUGUAAAGAGCAUGUGGAUUGUGUGAAUUACUACUUUUUAGACUCUUGGGCUUAUGAUUAUGACUCUUGUACAUUGUUGGCUUAAUGUUGAAUUCAUGCAAUCAUUUGGUUAAGAGUCUAUGAUGAUCCUACUUUAGUUGAGCAUGUUCCAUGUGUGUGUGAGUUGCUUUAUAUUUCUUUUUGCAUGUGAUGUCUAGAACUUGCCUGUUGUGUGUGCAAAGUAAAAUAAAGAGUGUGGUUUUAGGAGAUGAUAUAUGCAUUUCUUUUGUAGCCAUGUGUCAUACCCUCUUUUAUAUACCCUUGUGCAUAAUCUUAGUUAGCCCUAUUGAGCCUUUAGCUUGUUUUCUUUGGUAGCCUCAUAUGUAACCUGUAUCCCUUCUUUGAUUGACCUUAAUUUAUUCCAAAGCUCCUAAGAGCUUUAGUGUAAUAUUAAUUGAGUUAAGGAGUUUGAAAAAAUAAGAGGAAAAAAGUUAAAAGUGAAUCCCCAAAUUAAUAGUUAUUGGUGCGUACAAUUGAUGUGUUGUGGUUAGGAGUGAGAAAUUUGAGCUGAAAAUAAAUCAUGAAUUAAUAAAUAAUACUUCCUUCCAUAUUGUUUUUAUGUGAGAUUAAUGAAAUGGGGAAAAAUAAAAAAUAUGUGUGAAGGUAUAUGAGGUGGGAGGUUGGUUGUUAGAGGUGAAUUGAAUGAAAAGUGUGAUGUAUUAAAGCACUUAGGGAAGAUAGUUACUAUUCUUGGCAAAACCAGUUCCUACCCAUCCCUUAGCCUACAUUACAACACUUAAAGAUCAUUUGAUCUUGAGACUUAACAUUCUAAUAUUAGUAGAGUACUACACUUAAGGAAAGCCUAUGGUUCAUCUUGUGUAACCUGUGAAUUUGUUGAGAGAGUAAAGGUAAUUUGAUCCUUUUAUCCAUUCUGUGAUAAAUUGCAUCUAUGUGAGUAAGUAUGGGUAACUCUUUUGUUUUUAGGGCACAUGUUUAAUGAUAUUUCGUGAUCUGUAUAAUGUCUUUGAUUAAGAAAUAUGUAUGAGGUUUCCAACUUAGUGAGUCAAUUCUUGAGGCUAGGAUGUUUUGGAGUAGAAUUCUUGAUCUUUCAGUUUUAUGUAUAACAUAGUUAAUGUAAGACUUGCAUUCUGUGUAGUCACUGUAGUGCUAUCUUGAGUGUCUUGUCUAUAGUAUAAGUGUGGAUUCUCCUCUGAUUCUAAUUCUUAGAUUAAAGAUCUAUUCAAGGACGAACAAUGCUUUAAGUGUGGGGUUGUGAUCUGAGGUGGAUUUAUGCACCUCAGUUUUGUUAUCCGGGAUUAUUUAGCUUAGUUUUGAAGACUUCUUGUGUGCUUAAUGAGUGAAUAUUACAUAAUUCAGAAUAUAAGUGUUAAAGUACUUGAUUACAAUGUUUAAAGUGUUUUUCAAAUAAGGUUGUAAUUAAUUUGGUCACUUAGAGUGAAAACAAGAAAACUAGUGUUACUAGCUCGAGCUAUGUGUUGUUCUAGUUGAUCUAGAUGAAUUCCAGUGUGUGUAAUAAGUUCCUAAUGGUAUGAUUGUGUAAUUAUGUAAGGAAAAACUUUAGAGUGCUUAAGAAUCAAUUUAAUCAAGCCAAGAGUCAAAACAAAGUUAAAGAUAAAAAGGAAAAAACUAGCAUUCUUAGCUUAAAUUUCUAGGUCACCGUCCUGAAUGUUGUGUUGUUUUUAGAUCAAAUCCAUGGUCUUUAAUUAGGUCAAAAUCACCAAAUUUGACCUCCAGUAAAUAGGACACUUGAACAUAAUUGUAAACACCUUAGACGGCUUUGAAACUUUGAGGGAGGAUGGACAACACUACAACUAGGUUUUUUCUUCUUUUAAUUUAGUUUGUUUAUGAAUUUUAACAUAUAUUCUAUCAUUGCAAUUACGGUUAUGUCCAUGAGCGGCUAAAAGACAUUUUCCAGAGUUAAGGCCAAGAACAUGAUUACUCUUGUUAUGAGUUGAUUUGGUUUUGAUUAUUUAUCAUAUUUAGUUUUUUGCUUAUCCUUGUUAUUACUAUUUUGAGCAUUCGCGACCCUUAUAAUACAUCCAUUGUCAUCUUGUGAGCCCGGAAGGAGGAACAAGAGGAUAGAACAUGGGGUAACUAAAGUAGUAUUAUAAUCUUCUAUAGAAUGAAGUUAUGAUUGCACUUAGGAUAGGAAUAUACCUAUGUGACCUAUUUGGUUUAUUACAGGAUGAAAUAUGAUAGCAUUUAACUUAGUUCUCACAUCCCCGCUAAACGAUGUAGUUGUGGGUCUAAGUUAGAUAGGUGAUUAGAGGCUCGAAAGACCAUAGUCGUAAUAUUAAUCCCAUGAAUCAACAACUAGGAUAAGUAACAUAACAAAUGUUGUUUAAUAGUAGAGUAUGAUUGUUCGUAGAGCCUUAACCCUGGGUUUCUCCCAUUUAUUGUCCAAGAAGGUUUAAUUUACCACAUUGUUUACUUUACUUCUAGUUAUAUCUCUCAAAUUCUCGUCGUUACAUUUGUAUUAUCUUAAUCUCAAUAGUGAACUAGAAUUGGAUUUUUGUCAAUUAAAGUUUCUGAGGGAUCGAUAUUCGGCUUUAUUUAUGGCCACUGUAUUACUUGGUGAGACCACGUACACUUGCUUGUACGCUUGGGUGCAACAGCUGGUGGAACCACCACCUAGGCAUCGCUGCCAUAGGUUGUGCCCCUAAAUUAACACUAGCCGGUGUUGCUGCCUGAGCUCCUUCAAUCUGUGGUCCACCCACUAACCACAAUAACUAUACCAAUGUAUCCAAGGAACCAAAGAAUAUAUAAAAUUAGGUAGAGCCUGGGAUGCCCUUGGCCUAGCUACUGAUGUGGAGGAAUACCUUGAGCUCUCUCAGUCUUAGACGCUAUAAAAAUAUCUGGAGAUGGAUCCAUAGCCUGAUCUAAAACUGGGGAUGUUGCUCUAUCCUUCCCCUGCCCUCUAAGUCGAUCUCGACCCCUGGCCAGAACUCUAGUAGUGGGCUUAGGAUCCUAAUCCCCAGUUUCAAAACCUCACAUCAUAGCCAUAUAUGUAAAGACUAAACCAAUACAAAUUAAGAACCAACUCAGACUACACGCAGAGAAAGGGAUCAAGAAAAUGAUAUUUUUCUGUAAAAAUGCUCCAUAACCUCCCUAAUAUAGGAUACAGAUGUCUCUGUACCGAUCCGCGGGACUCUACUAAACAUCGUCUCCAGUUCUAAUAGUACCAGUGAAACCUAGGCUCUAAUACUAAGCUAUCACGACCCUAUUUUGCAAGUUAUGAUAGUGCCUAUCUUAUCCUACCAGUAGGCUAACCAAGACAUAGCCCAGAAUAAUAAGUAACUAGCUAUCAGGCAGAAACCAAAAAAGAUCAUAUAUAAUGAUAACAGUAGUAAUAAUAAGUGAAAACUAGAAAGGAAACAUAUAUAAUAUAUCAAAAAAGAGAGAAGGAAAAAGGAGCAAAUAUAUAAAAAAAAUCCCUCCCAAGACCUAGUAAGGCCAGUACUAGAGCCACUACUAAAACAUACCCUAAGUACUAGAUAGAAUCUAUAAUAUACACAACCUAUACGAGAAACCUCAAGUAUAAUAGACUAAACUGGAAUAGAUAGAGAAAGAUCGUCCUCAGACGAUAGUAAGCUUACCCUGCUCUAAAUCAAUACUAAAAUUUAUAGACCAUGUUAAGUUCGACUGCUAGUACUCGGAUCUGCAUCAAGAAAAUGAUGUAGAAGUGUAGUAUGAGUACCAAAGCAAUGGUUACUCGGCAGGCAUGAACGGUCGACUGAUCUCAAUAUAGAAAAAGUAUGACUAAAAUGGGAGAGUGUAAUAUAAGUCAAUGGUAAACUUGGAUAGAAAGGUAAAAAACCAUCGGGCUAUGAAAAUAUGCUAAAAUAAAUAAGUAUAAGUGAUACAGAAAGUUAAAUAAUGCAGUAAUAAAAAGCAUAUCAAACAUAACCUAACUGGGGCCCCAUAAACCCGCUAGGCACACUGAAGAAGACAAUUAAACCAAUCGUGCCCUUAUAAGUCGGUAGGACAAUCAAGAAGUAAUUUGAAGAAAAUAAACAUAAAUAAUCUAUAACUAAACGAAUCCAAAUAAAUCAUUGUAGUCAUCCAAAUAUGCAGAUUAAACCAGCACCAAUGGAUAGUAAUGAGAGGCUAGAUGUCGAGCUCAAAUAGGUAGUGGUGGAUAAUAACAAAAGGCCAUAUGCCGGAUUCAAAUUAGAAAUAGUGGGUAAUAACGAGAGGGCCACAUGUAAGAUAUACAAAAAAACUCAUAACCAGAUAUUGGACUCAAUUCGAAACUCAAAGGAACCACAACUCCCAGAACAACAACAGUAAUCAAUACUAGAACUAACAAAUCAUCAUAACCAGAUGUCGGACUCAAACUGGAACUCAUAGUAACCAUACCCAAUUGUAAAAUUAAAAUCCAAACCAUAACAUAUCCAAUGAAAAAGUAGUACAAAAUUCAUAAUUAAUGACAGAAAUAAAGUAUAUGUUAAACUUAAACCCAAAAUUAAAAUAUAUUUAAAUAACCAUUUGCAUAUCUUGAUAAAAAAGGUAUGAAUCCAAGGUUCCGUAACUUAAUAUCACUUCCUAAAGUGAUAGAUACUUUGUUAUACUAAAAUAUGAGAUAUCAAAAUUUACAAGAACGGGGUCCUAACCGGAUAAAUAAGGCAUGACAUAUGUAUUAAAUUGUACGUAAACUAUAAGUACUUGUCAAAAUCUAGAAAAAUAGUAUACAAUCACCAUAAAUAAUCUUAAUCUAAAGGUAGGGUAAGCCUAGCCUACCUGGAAGCCAAAGCUAAAAUGUCUCUCUAUGAAACCUCUAGACAUUGUCCCGCUAGAACUUGAGUUUAAUAAAUAUAGCAGUAAAUUAAAAUUUACUUUGUAAUUGAAUCAAGUAUGAAUGAAAAUUCAUUAAUAGCAAUUUUUUAAGAAAGGUCAUAGGAACGGAACGUUAACACUUUAAUAUUGAAUAAAUUUUUGUGCAUUUUAUAAGAAAGUCUAUCAUUCUUAAAAGAUGUGUUUGAAUGGAUUUAUAAUUAUAUAAGAAAGUUUAUUUUUCUUAACACAUAUGAUUGUUAUGACUUUACAUUAUAUUACUAACAUAAUGACACCACAUAAUUCAGUGUCCUUGUGCAUAGAUUCCACGUGUAGAUGGGGUGGCAACACCAACCAUUGUUCUCCGUUAUAGUCAUACUCGGGUAUUGUAUAGUAUUGAAACAUAGGGGGUGCACCACCAAAUAAGGGACCAGGUCCCUCAUAUUCAGAUAUAGGCAAUAAAUUAGUAAAGCAGUAAGGAAAUAAAACAUUGCAGGAAAGUAAGGAGCAUAAUGAUUUAACAUAGAAACCUCCUUCCUCAAGGGAGGAAAAACUAUGGCUUUCCCUCACAAGCACUAAAGAAUCCACUAUAACCAAAAUCAUGAUACAGACUACAUUGGAACAUAACUCUGAGAUCCACUAAUUUGUAACAACUCUAUUACAAACUCUCCUUGACCACUCCGUCAAGAUCUCUUCUAAAUAUUGAUUAACUCUGACCAAUAUCAACUCAAGUAACUCUACCUAAGCACUCUACAGACAUAAAUAAAAUCAUUACUCUUAUAAGAUGAGUAAUUCGAUUACAGACCAAUACUUGACUCAAGAACAAUUACUCUCUCAGUGGAACAGAAACUUAAAACAUGAGCAAUAUUGUGUUUUAUCCAUUUUCUUCUUAAAUAACCAAAUUGAAAAAACUAUUGAAUUGAGAAACAUUAUUUUCUAAUUAUAAAAGGAUAAUGAUUAAGGUAGAAUAUCCAUUGGCCCACGUGUCCUGAUUGGUACCCAGCUCAUUUGCGCAAUUUAUUACACUAACAUGCAAACCUUUGCAGAAAUGUCAUAGCUAUAUCUUUUCAUAAAGUCCUAAGGACCUAGUCCUUUAUUGUAAGUUGAUCAUUAUCAAAACAAGAUAUAGAAAUUUUCCCCUUUUUUAAUGAUGACAAACCAUAGAUUUUGGAGUAUAAAACUUUACUUAGAUCAUUCAAUCAGUGUGAUCACCACUACUAUCAGUUAAUGUUCCCUUAUCACUAUGCACCAUGCUUCCCCCUAUUAAUAUACCAACAUCAUUUUCUACUUCCCCUGUCACUCUACUAACAUGCUUCUCCUUUUCAAUAAUAUGUAAUUCAACACAUCAUUCAACAUAUAUGCCUACCUACCAAAUAAAUUUAGUAUUCCCCCUUUUGAAAUCAUUGAAAAGUAAGAAAAGUAAACCAAGAGUAAAAUAAGAACAAUCCAGUUAACUCAUAGCCACUUUCAUAAGUACCCAUUGUAUUUGAUGAGGUAGUUAGGGUACUUCCAUAACUCAUAGUAGUCAUCAUCAGUUUGUCUUCAGAAAAGACCGAUAUGAAGUAAAAUUCCCUAACUACCUCAUCAAAUAUAAUGGGAAUGGUCAUUUUCAUAAGAUAGAGCCAUCUUUGAUGUUUAACAAGUUCAAUUAAUUCCAUCAAGCCUGAUUUUUUUAAUACACUUGAGUCAAAAACUCUCCUAGUCAGUACUUUUUGAUUUCUCAAGAACCUGUUUCUAACUUCCUUAGGCACAAGCUUUUUUUUUUCCUCCUAUUUUCUUCUGUUAAAAGCACUGAUAGAUUUUGUUUUAAUAAUUUCCUUGUUGGGACUAGGGUCCUCUGAAGUCUUGCUUCAUAGUAGGACUUCUAGAUUUCACACCAAAACUUUUUGUUUUCAUACUGACAUAUUGUGUCUUGGGACCAAACAGACUCUCUUUUGGGUUCUUUAAUAGAAAAAUGUGAUUUUCAAUAACCCAAUCAUCACUUAUCAUUACACUACCAAAAGGAUUAUGUGUUUUCAGGGAUAAAUUUUCAUCAAUGAGUUGAGUGAAGAAGGAUUCUAUCUUUGAAGAGAUAGGAUGAAUUACCUUGGUUAAAUCUUUGAAGGAAGGGAGAUUUUCAGACAACACAACUUUGGGAAGGAUAUCAACCUUAAUUUGAUAUCUAAUUUAGAAGAAGGAUAAUAAAAGGCUCUAUUUUUAGGAAUUUCAUUUAUUUGAUGUUAAUUCAAAGAGGUAGUUGUGAAGACUAGCUCAGUCAAUAUUGUUUUGAUAAGGAUAUGAAAGAUGAGUGGGCUUAGAGCCUUGAAGAAGGUUUGAGAGAUGAUUUUUAUCUACACUAAAUUUUGAGGACAUGACUAUUUUAAUAAAGUAGUUUUCUGAAAGGAUUGGAGAAUUUUUUAGGGGAAUUCUAAGUCCUUUGUGGGGUUUUAGAAUAAUGAAUUGUCUGACAUUUGAACACCUGUCCCCUCCCCUCCCCCCUCCCUUUAAAAAAAAAGACUAUGGGACUUAGGAUAUUUAAGAUUAGGUACUCCUUUAAAAGAAAAUAGAACACAGAUCAUGAAAAGAAAUUAGGGGAACUAAUUUGCAUAAGGAUAAACUUUUGAAAGAAUGAGAUGAGAUUGAUUUCAAUUUUAAGGUGACUCAUCUUUCUUUUUAGUAUAAUACAAUUUUAUGACACAUAUAUAGAAGAUGUGACUUAUUCUAAUAGAACAAAAAAAUGCACAUUCACGAUACUAACCUAAGAGAUGGGACCAUGUUCCUCUCUUUCUUGAGUGAAUCCUUAAAUUUGUAUUUGUCUUAAUUGUUCUCUUUUAGUCCCAUAAAUAUAUACCUGUAAAGGUAUGGUACUGAGUUAGACCAAUAGGUACAUAUUUUAUCAAGGAUACCUGUCUCCUGAUCAUAGCCAAUUUUAUGGAGAAAAACUGAUUCAUCUAGUAAGUCAGGUUAUUUUAAUCAACCCCAGCCUCAACCUAUUCUUCACAAAUUGUUCCUUCUGAAGAGCCUUAGUAAAUAUGUCUGCUAUCUGAUCCUCAAUCUUGAAAAACUUCAUGCAAAUAGAUCCAUUUUCAACAUUGUCUCUAAGAAAAUAAUGUCUUACAUCAAUAUGCUUGGUCCUUUUAUGUUGCGCUGGAUUAUUAUUCAUGUUAAGAGCACUUAUAUUGUCACACAUUAGAGGUAUAGUAUAUGAGACAGUCCCAAAAUUCUUUAGUUCCUGUUUAAUCCAUAACAAUUGAGCACAAAAAAAAGUUGUAGCCAUAUACGCAACUUCAACAUUAGAUUAAGAAAUUCUACUUCUUAGAAUCCCGAGAGAUUAAAGAAGAACAAAGAUAAUGAUCCAUUGCUGAGGUGGUUUUUCUAUCCACCAAAUCUCUAGUGUAAUGAACAUUUGCAUAUCCUAUUAGAUCAAAACUAUCUUCAGAUGGAUAGUACAGGACCAGGUCCCCUAUCCCUUUCAGAUACUUGAGAAUUCUUUUUGUAACUUUCAAAUGAAACUUCUUUGGGCAAGCCUAAAAUCUGGAUCACAUUGCCACACUGAAUACAAUAUCUAGCCUACUUGUACUGAGAUAUAGUAAGGAUCCAAUAAUCCCUCUAUACAUGGUUUAAUUAACUGAUGGAAAAGGUUUAUCAUUAUCUAUCUUUGAACUAGUUCUAAUUGGAGUUUAAAUUGGCUUGGCAUCUUCCAUGUUGUAUUUCUUCAGUAUCUCCUUGAUAUGUUUAUAUUGAUAAAUCAUUGUCCCUUAAGAAGUUUGCUUGAACUAUAGUCCUAGAAGAAACUUAAUUCACCCAUUAUGCUUAUUUUAAAUUCACUCCCCAUUAGCUUUACAAACUCUUCACAUAGUGAUUUAGAAGUAUCUCUAAAGAUUAUAUCAUCAACAUAUAUCUGAACAAUUAGAAAGUUGCUACCUUUGGGCCUUAAAAAAGAGUAUUGUCAAUUUUCCCUCUUUUAAAGCCAUUUUCCAGAAGAAACUUUGAGAGUCUCUCAUACCAAGCCCUUGGUUCUUUCUUCAAACCAUAAAAAGCUUUAUCUAAUGUAAGCACAUGAUGUGGAAAAUCUGCAUCUUUAAAAAAUAGAGGUUUCUUAACAUAGACUUCUUUCUUCAAGCUUCCAUUCAGAAAAGAACUUUUAACAUCCACUUGGAAGAGUUUGAACCCUAUGCAUGCAGCAAAUGUAAUAAGAAUUUUGAUAGCCUUUAUCCUUGCUACAGGGGAAUAUGUCUCAUCAUAAUCAAUUCCUUCCUCCUCGAUAUAAACUUGGACAACUAGUAUUGCUUUAUUUUUAUUAAUAAAUCCAUGCUCAUCCUACUAGUUUUUGUACACCCAUUUGAUUUUAAUAAUUAUUUUGUCAAUAGGUCUAAGGACCAGGUGCCAGUCUUCAUUCUAAUUAUUAAAGAUCUUUCAACAUUACAUUGAUCCAGUCAGCAUCUUUCAAAGCCGUUUUCAUAUUUUUAGGCCCAAUUUGAGACAAGAAUGCUGAGAAUGCCAUGAAAUUUUAGGCUUGAUCUCUCAUUUAGACUCCAAAUUCCAAAGGUGUAGUCAUAUUCUCAAGUGGGUGAAAAGAUUAUUGACUCUAGUUUGAUCUUCUGAGAUGAGUUCCAUUGGGACCAAGUACCUAAGGUGUUUGACUAAACCCUGCUUGAUGUUCUUCAAUAGGAUUAGGGGUUUGUAACUAAGAUCCUAGAACACUAUCAUCUUCAACCAUUCCCAACUGCAUCAUUUGGUCCUUAACCUUCAUAUUCAGCAAUAUCAUUCCUUUGAAGGAAUGAGGUCUUUAGUAUCAGAAUCUUCAUCAUCACCUAAAUUCACUACUAUUCCAAAAUCAUCAAAGACCACAUGUAUAUUUUCUUCCACACACAGAGUUUCUUAAUUGAAAACUCUAUAUGCUUUGCUUAUGGGGGAAUAGCCCAAGAAUGUUGCUUCAUCACUUUUGUAGUCAAACUUUCCUAGUUAAUUUUGUGAUUAUUUAGCACAAACCACUUACACCCAAAAGGUCUGGGGUAAUCAAGCUUAGAUUUUCUAUUGAACUAAAGCUCAUAUGGGGUAUUGUUUUGGGGAAAUCUAAUUAAACACCUAUUUGUCACAUAACAGGCAGUAUUUACAACUUCACCCUAAAAGCUCUUUGGAAGAACAUUGUCAAUCAGCAUGGUCCUAGCAAUCUCUAUGAGGGUUUUGUUCUUUCUUUUGACAACUCCAUUUUGUUGAGGAGAGCUCAAAGUAGAGAAGUUGUGACUGAUUCCAUAUUAAGAACAAAAUCUUGCAACUUAGGAGUUCUUAAAUUCAGUUCUAUGUUCAGAUCUAAGUUCAACAAUUUUACAAUUAUGCUUCAUUUGAAUUUUCAUGGCAAAAUUUACCAGAACCUCAUAGGUUUCAUCCUUGGUUCUCAAGAACUUUAUCCAGGUGAACCUAGAAAUAAUGACAAAUGCAUGCUUUUUUUCUCAUUUGCUUUGGACUUUAAUAGGUCCACAUAGAUCGAUAUGCAGCAACUCAAGAACUUAAAGGAGCAGCUAGUUUGUUUACCCUAACACAAGUAUCACAAAUCAUUUUUCUGGAAAUUUCAUCUUUGGCAUGCCCUAGACCAGGUCCUUUGAAAUUAACUUGUUUAGCAAAGAGAAACUUACAUGUCCCAGCCUUUUGUGCUAUAGAUCAGUAUCUUCACUUUAAACACUUAAGAAAGUUAAUUCCCCAUCAGUUACAUACUUUAAAUCAUCCACAUACAUGUUUUAAAACCUAUUGGCUUUGAGAAUAACUCUCCCAGACUUCAAGCUUGACACAUCACAUCCAUUAAAUAAAAACCUCACCUUAUUACUUUGUGACAGAUUUGAGAAAUACUUAGAAGACUAUACUUGAGCCAUUCACAUAGUACACAUGUUCUAUUACUUGAUCAGGUGAUUUUCCAAUCUUUCCCACACCACGGAUAUAGCCCUUUUUACUAUUUCCAAGAGAGUCACCUCCACCUUGAAGUGUCUUUAGAGAGAGAAAGCAGUCGGUCCUUCCAGUCAUAUGCUUUGAUUAUCCACUAUCCAUAAACUAGUUCUGAAUGCAUUCCCUUUCUCCUACCUGUAAUUAGAAUUAUUUGUUAGAUUUGAGAACCCACUUGAGUUUGAGUUCCCAAAAUGAAGAUAAUGGUAUGAUUAAAUCAUACUUUGACCAUCUAGGUAGAGAGUUCUUCUUCAUAUUUUUCAAGAGUAUGGAACCCUUAGUGUAACAAUUUUAAUACUUAAUAUAACUAGCACUACUCAUUAUAGCUCUAAGAAAAUAUUUAUAGUUUUUUUCAAGUUCCCAUCUCUUCUAUAAUGAAUACAUAGAGGUUUGUGGACUUUGUUUCUAACACCAUACAUAUCUUUCCCUUGAAACCCAAGUGAUAGGGUUUUACACUGAUAUCUAAGUCCUUUACCAUUAUAGAUAUCCUGACCAGUUAAAUUAAAAAGGAUUUGUGAGUGUGUUCCCCUUUAGUGAAUUGGUAAGUUCUUCUCUUAUAUAGACCAAGUCCCUUUCUAGUUCCUCAUUCUUAUUGAGUGUAGUCGUGAGUUUCUUUUGAGAAUCCCUCAAUUUUUCAUCAAUCUUAAUUUGAAGCCUUAGGUCUUCUUUCUUCCCUUUACCAUCAGAAUCAUCCGCUUUCUUCAGUUGAUUUAUUAGACCCAGAUUUUUAUAUUUUAACUUAGUGAACUAUUCCUCUAUUUCAUAUAUCUGGAGAGUUAAGGUGAUUAAUUUAUGUUGUUGAUUUUCUUUCUCUUCUAACAUAUUUUUCUCAGCAAUCAAUUCACAAACAUAAUCAUUCAAUACAUUUGAAAGCUUCUUUAUCUUUCUAGCAGAGUAGUUAUCUAAAUUUUCUUUAAUGUUAGAAAUAGUUACCUUAUUUUCUUAUUCGUCUUCAGUGUUUGAGAAAACAAGGAUUCAAAGGUGAUAUUUUCAUCCUCCGCUGCCAGCGUAGAAAUAUCUCCUAGUUUUUAAUCCUUCUCAAAUUCACUGAAGUAAUCUACCCAGAUAGCUAAUGCCUUUUUCACUGCAUAAUCAGUUACAACCUUUCUCUUGACUUUUCAGGGACCUGAUCCUUCUUCUUUCCUUUAUCACCUUCUGCCUCUAGAUAUUCUUGAUAACCCAAUUUGUGAAUUAGGCAAUCUUUGAUGAAAUGCCCAAGUUUUCCACAUUUGUGGCAAACUUUAAUUGUACCUCCCUUUUUGUUGCUACUUCCUCUUCCUUGAAUCUAACCACUUUUGUUCAUUGCACUAACAAACCUUUUUUCAAAUAGACAGCAUCAAUGUCUUCCUUACUUGAAUCAGACUUUAAAGCCUUCAAUGCCAUAGAUUUUUCUAUUUUUGCUUCCUUCUUGUUUUGCCCUUGCUACUUCUUGAGCCUAUGAGGGUUCAAAUUACUAAUAAGUUCAUCCGUUGUGAGAGUUUUCAGGUUUCCUGCCUCAGUGAUAGCAUCUAAUUUGCUUUCCCAGGAUUUAGAACUAACAAAAUUUUUAUCACUUGUUUACACAUAGGAAUAACUUCUCCAAAGUAGGGCAACUCAUUGGUAAUUGAAGUGAAUCUAGUACACAUCUCUUGGAUAGUUUCUCCUCUUUUAUGGUGAAGGUUUCAUAUUGAGUAGUCGGUAUAUUAACUUUUGAAUCCUUAACAUCAAUGGUUCCUUUAUGAGCAGUCCUCAAUUAAUUCUAGAUUUCCUUAGCAUUUUUACAAGCUAAAAUCCUAUUAUAUUCAUCAGUUCCUAUGUCAUAGACAACCAAUUUCUUUAUCCUGUAAUUCUUCUCAACUUUCUUUCAAUCUUUAUCAUCAAACUCUCUCCGGGUUUUGACAACCAUCCUUGUUAUAUCUCCUUCUUUGACCUCUCUAAUUGGAACAUAAUGACCAUCAACUAUUACAUCCAUAAAUUCACUAUCCUCAGUCAUAAUGAAGUCAUAUAUCUUGGUUUUUCACCACCCAUAGUACUAUCUAUUAAAGCGGGAUAGUCCAGUGGUAGAUUGCCCUUCUUCCAGAUUAGGUGGAGUAACCAUGACCAAUAAAUCACUCUAGGUAUGAACCUUUUAGAGUGUCCUUGCACUGAUACCAAUUGUGAAACAUAGGGAGUGCACCACCUUAUAAGGGACUAGGACCCUCAGAGUCACAUACAGGCAAUAAAGCAGUAAAGUAGUAAGAAAAUAAAACUUUGCUGGUAAAGAACAUAAUGAUUUAACAUGGAAACCUCCUUAUUCAAGAGAUAAAAAAUCAUGGAUUUCCCUCACAAGCACUUAAGAAUCCACUAUAUUCAAACUCAUGAUUACAGACUCCAUUGGAACUUAACUCUAAGCUCCACUAUUUUUUAACAACUUUAUUACAAACUCACUUUGACAACUCUAUCAAGAUAUCUUCUCAAUACUGAUUAAAUCUAACCAAUGUCAACUCAGGUAACUCUACCUAAGCACUCUACAUACAUAAGUAAAAUAUUACUCUUAUAAGGCAAGUAAUUUAUUAUAGACCAACACUUGACUCAACAACAAUUACUCUCUCAGCAUACAGAAACUUGAAACUUGAGCAAUAUUAAGUUUCCGCCAUUUUUCUUCUUGAAUAACCAAAUUGCAAAAUCUAUCAAACUGAGAAGAAUUCUUUUCUAUGUAUAGAAGGAUGGUGAUUUGGUUAGAAUUUUGAUUGGGUCAGGUUUCCUGAUUGGUACAUAGCUCACAUACGCAGUUUGUUACACUAACAGACAAAACUGCACAAACAUAUGACAACUGUAUGUUUUUAUGAAGGUUCCUUGUUGUCAACUGAUCAUCAUCAAAAUAAGAUAUAGCACAUAGAUUCAUGGUAAGAUAAAUAUAAUAUUUUGAAUAUACCAUAAUUAAUAGAAAAUUAUUUCUAAUAAAAUUUUUAUUUAUAUAAUAAUAUUAUUUUAAUAUUUUUAAAUUUACUAUCUCAGCUUAGAAUAUUAAUAGACCAUAAAAGUUAUUAUAAAGUAACAUAAAUAUAGCAUAACUUAAAGAAUUAUCACUAUCAAAAAUAUCUUAGAAGGAUAAUAAAUUGUAUUUCUACCAAAUGCCAAUUUAAAUUAAAUAUUCCACAAUAUAUUUUGAUAUCACUAAAAUUUACAAACAAACUUCCAAAAAUUGAACUAUCAGCUCCAGUAAGUCAUAAAUAACUUGGGUGGUUAUAGAAAAGCUCUAGAUACGGAAAUGUAUGAAAACAAGUUAAAUUACCAUGAGGGUCAUUACAAAAUUUUAGUUAUGCUUUAAAGAUUGGGACAGAAGAAGUGGGGAUGACAAUGGGAAGGUGCGAGUGUGGGACGAGCUGGGGCAAGGUGGAUAUGGAUUUAUGUAGAUUCUGGUGGAUUGAAACUAUUUUAAAAGAAUUUAGUGUGGGUUGUGGGUUACGGUUCCCUCUUUUCACUCUAUGGAACUGACACUUGAGAAAAACUUAAUCUUUUGCUCAAAAUACAAAAGAAAUUCUAGUUGUAUUUUUUUAGGAAUUAAGGAAAGUUAAUAUAACAAAUUAAAUAUAGAACUAAAGCAUUCUAAAGAUAUAUUAAUUAUUUAGAAUUUGCUUGGAACUGUAGAAAGGAAAUCGAUAGUUGUGUUGAAUAUUAGGGUGGUUAGUAAAACAGUACUAUUGUUAUGAUCAAGUGAACUUACAGUAUUAGAUACUUGCAUUAAGAAACAAAACAUACAAAGGAGGAAGGUUCUUAAUGAGCUCUUGGACUUGAAAAGUUAGUAAUUUUUUGUUUCUACAUAUUAUAGUGAUUAUUAUGAUCAUUUCUUCCCUCUAUUAAGAUUUCAUAUUGAAAAUUGAUAUACGUUAUUUAGGAGAAGAGAAAAUAGUCUAUUACCCCUUGAAUCUUUAUCCGAAAUCCCAAUACACACUCAACCUUCUUGGGGGUCCUAUUACCUCCUUUAACUAUUUAAAAAUAAAAUUAUUAUCCACUUAAAAACUCACAUGAAGAUAUGUAUUGACAAGUGAUCAAUACACAACUUUUAUGUAAUACCAUGUAAUAUCAACGUGCUAUUAUAUUUUUAUAGCAAAAAAUAAUUAUUUUUUCUUAGUAUAUCUCUUCUCUCUUUUUUCCUCUUCCCUUUUCUAUUUUUCUUUCUUGUUUUAUUUUUCCUUUUCUUUGUAACUUUCUUACUUUUCAUUUUUUGAUGAUCGGAGAGACACCAAGAAGGUAAAGAAGAUGGCACCAAAUAAGCAUCAUUUUAAUUUCAAACGUCAGAUUUAUGAUUUGUAUGGUGAGGGAGAAUUGAAAACUAUUUGCUAUAAAAUUUUUUGGUGUAUAAAAUUUGGGGAAUGGAGGAGGUGAGUUGAGAAGGGCGAUGUCGGUGGAGAAUGUAUUAUUGUGUAGUUUUAAGGAUUUAUAUAAAGGAGUGAAGAUGAUGAUAAAGAUUUUUAGGACUGUUGGAAUUUAUUUAAUCUCAAUCUUUACCGUUCUUGUUAAUUUUAUUUUAGAUUUGCUUAUCCUUUUAGUUUCUUGAUAAAAGCUACAAAUUUUUUUCUUUAUAUUGAAUUUUGAAUUUUCUUUUUCAAAAUUGAAUAAAUGAUUUUUUUUGUGGGUCUUGUGCUUGAGGGAAUCAAUGAAAUUGGAACACAAAAAGAGAUUCAUUGGAGAUGAGAAAGAUGAGAGAUUGGUGUUGGAUGUCAUUGAUGAGUUCUUGAAGUUUUUUUUUUGUGAGAAUGAUGAUGAUGAUGAUGAUGAUUCAGAAGAAGAAGAAGAAGAGGAAGAGGAAGAGCAAGAGCAAGAGCAAGAGCAAGAGCAAGAGGAAGAGGAAGAGGAAGAGGAAGAGAAAGCAGGGGAAGAAGAAGAAUAAGAAGAAGCAGAAGAAGAAAAAGCAGAAGCAGAAGAAGAAACAAAAGAAGAAGUAGAAGAAGAAGAAGAAGAGGAAGAAGAAGAAGAAGAAGAAGAGGAAGAGGAAGAGGAAGAGGAAGAGGAAGAGGAAGAGGAAGAGGAAGAGGAAGAGGAAGAAGAAUAAGAAGAAGCAGAAGAAGAAAAAGCAGAAGUAGAAGAAGAAACAAAAGAAGAAGUAGUAGAAGAAGAAGAAGAAGAAGUAGAAGAAGAAGAAGAAGAAGAAGAAGAAGCAGAAGAAGAAGCAGAAGAAGAAGCAGAAGAAGAAGAAGAAGAAGAAGAAGAAGAAGAAGAAGAAGAAGAAGAAGAAAGAUAAUGAAUAAAUAAAAAUAAUACUUAAAAUUAUAUAUAUACACAUAUAUAUAUGUAAAGAAAUAUUAAAAAUAAAAUUUUAAUAUAUUCUAUUCGUGCUCACUCUCUCAGAGAGAGUGAAAUGCAUUCACUUUAUCACCUCAGCAUUUAGGGAGAAAAUAAUUUCAUUUUUAAAUAGUUUAGGGGGGUGAUAGGACCCUCCUGAAGGUUGAACGUGUAGUUAGAAUUUUGGAUAAAGAUUGGAGGGAUAAUAGAUCAUUUUCUCUUUAGGAGAAUACUACUAUACUCCUUUAGGUAAUAUUCGAAUAUUUUGUUGCAUUAAAAUUAUUAGCAUUGUCAAUCAAAAGUAAAUUAAAGUUUUGGUACCAAAUGAGAUACUCAUAAAUCUGGUUGACCGUAAGUCCAAAAUAUAUAGAUUUGUAAAGGUUUUUCAUCCUUCAUCCUCACAAGGUACAUUGUUUUCUUUAUCUUACCAUAUAUAUUGAUUUAUUUAUUUUAGUUAUAUGAACUAAAUUGAGACCUCUUUGUUAAUGGAUAAUUUCUUUAGGAUACUUUCUUUUGGUGAUAUAAAAUUUUCAAAGCACUACGUCAGAACUUUGGACAAUGAAAAAUAAAUGAAACAAAACUAAGGAGAAAGAAUGGAAAUUGUCUAGGAGAUUGAAGGAAAAUGGAAAAAGAAACUGAACAUAAGCUUUAUUUGUGAAACAAAAAUACUCCCUCCAUUUUUUUUAAUUUGUUCUUUUUGUGAUGUGUUUAUAUUCUUUUUUUAGUAAUCCUUUAAUAUUUUAAGAAUAAUUUGAUCAAUAUCUUCCUAUUAUACCCUUGUUGGAAUUAUCAAGAUCAUUAAUUGAGAAUUUCUAUUUCAAUAUAUGUAAUUACUAAUUAGGAAGAGGUAUAUAAUUAAUUAAGGGUAUAUUGGUACAUACAUUUAAUUUUCUAGGAGUGAGAACUUUAUUAAGGGGUGUGUCCAACCUAAAAGAAACAAAUAAAAAGGAAUGGAGGGAGUAACUUUUUAAAUACAGAAAUACAACAAGAGUAAUAAUAUAAAUUAAUUAAUAUAAUUUUAUAGGAUAAUGAUUUUUUUCAUUUUAUGAAUAUCAUAUUUUACUAUCUAAUGCACUCUUUCUUUUAAAAAAACAGGAUAAAACUAAAAAGCUGUGUGUGGCAGGUCUAUGUAUAGUGGGAUGGGAUGGGGUGGGAUGAGAUGAGAUAUGAUGGGAUAAGUUAAAGAUAAAAAUAUUUUUUAGGGUGGUGUGGGGGUGGGGGGUGGGUUUAAGUUUAGAGAACAAAAUGAAUUCUUAGACGUAUACUAGGAUUGUAGCUUUAGUCAAAUGUGUGUUUAGGGGAAAAUGACGAGGAGACUAAACCUACAAAAAAAUAAGUCAUUGACAAAACCUAUGUACCUCGGUAAUUAAUUAUUUUCCAAAGAAUAAAUUAUGUGUUUAGGAGAAAAAUAAAAAAGAUAGUACUAAACCUAGAAAAAACAAGCGAUUGACGAAAUUUAUGUGCGUCAGUUAGUAAUUAUGAUUCGAAGCAUAUAUCAUGUAUUUAGAAUAAAAUGAGAAGGAUUAAACCAGAAAAAAUAAGUCAUUGACAAAACCUAUUUGUGUCAGUAAUUAAUUAUGAUUCGAAGCAUAUACCAUGUGUUUAGGAAAAAUGACAAGGAUACUAAACAUACAAAAUAAUAAGUCAUUGAAAUUUAUACUUUUUAGAAAUUUGAUUAGAAGCAUAUAUCAUGUAUUUAGGAAAAAACAACAAGGAUAAUAAACAUAUAAAAAAAUAAGUCAUUGAAAUCACUGCUUGUUAGUAAAUUAUGAUUAGAAGUAUAUACCACGUAUUUCAAGAAAAACAACAAAGAUACUAAACCUACAAAAAAAAUAAGUCAUUGAAAAAUCUAUGCUUGUCAGUUACUUGUGAUUAGAAACAUAUACCAUGUGUUUUGGGGAAAACUAUAAGGAUACUAAACCUACAAAAAAAAA